rnacentral:lncRNA from 1 species
UUUUUUUUUUUUUUUUUUUUUGUGGUUUAUGGGUGUGUGUUAUAUUUUUUAAGUAACAGAAGAGAAAAGACUCUCUACUCUAGAAGGAAAACUGGACUCCACGGAAAGUUCUCUCGGCCCAGCACGCUGAAAUGGGUCAGUGGAACUCUGGGUUGAGUGGAUCCAUCGACUUUUCCGCAUUCGUUCAUUGUGUAUAGGCAGAAUGAGCUGGUGUAAACUUCACCUCUUGCUAAAGUCUAGUGAGAAAAAUCACAAAAAAAAAAAUUAAAAACUGUGAAAUUUAGAAAUUUUUGGUUCUAAGAAUUUUACUCUAGUUGUUAUUGCAUCAUUUACAAAUUAAUUGUAAUGUGUAUGUAUGACUUGAUGGUAAUCUAAUAUUUUAAAAAAAUUUAAUCGAUGUUGAUCGUGUCAUUAACUGCUUCUAAUUGUGUAAAAGUUAAUUUUAAAAAACUAGAACAAAAAAGCACCCCAAAAAAUAAUUUUUAUUCUUUUUUUAGGGUGAACAAAUAAGUAGCAAGUUUGCAUAGAAAAGAUGUAUUGUUUGUACAGUUGGACCAUUGUACUAGCACGGAUCUGCUCAGCUUCCUAUCAAAAUGAUAAAAUCCCCCUUAGACAAAAACGAUUCUAUCUAUUAAAUAAAUACAAUCUAAGGCAACUUUUCAUCAAAGCUUCAUCUUUUUAUAACCUUCUUCAAACACAUAAAAAAUGAUGCCUGUUCUUCCUCAUUUUGGUGGCAUGGCUCAAAAGGUUGUUAGGAUAGCUAAAACGUUUCGAAAGGAGGUGGUUUCCAGUCCUAAUGCAAUAGGAUUAUGUGCUAGCGACACCCUUUCUAUUUUGAUAGCUAUGAAACAAAUGGAACAAGCAAUGAAUGCUGAUAAGCAAAAUGAGUUAAACCAUGAUGAAAGAUGUACAGAGGUGAAGAAGAAUGUCAGAGAAAGUAAAGAAAAGGUUAUACUGGCAGUCAAAAAAGAAUCUGCUCAGCCACCCAAAAACUUUAAGGAAUUGAUGAAAAUCCAUGACAAACAAUAUUCAUCUUCUUGGUUUUGGACCGACAAAAGGGUCAACCUUCUCUAAGCGAUGCUAGAAAGUUUUCAGAAGGAGGCUAAUGUUAAGGAGAAGAUGUACCUAGAUGCCAAUGAGGCAAAAAAAAAAAAUAUUGGGUUGAUGAGUUUUCGGAUUUUUGGAUCUUAUACCUAAGUCAGCUUUUGAAUGACUUAGAUUCGAGACUAACACGUGUGUUUUUCUAAGAAUGAGUUAGUGUAAACUUCACCUCAUGCUAAAGUCCAGUGAGAUAAACCACAAAAAAAAAAUUUAAGAACCAUGAAAUUUAGAAAUUUUUGGUUCUAAGAAUUUUAUUCUAGUUUUUAUUGCAUCAUUUAUAAAUUAAUUGUAAUGUGUAUGUAUGACUUGAUGGUAAUGUAAUAUUUUAAAAAAAUUUAAUCGAUGUUGAUUGUGUCCUUAACUGCUUUUAAUUGUGUAAAAGUUAAUUUUAAAAAAUCAGAACAAAAAAACACCUAAAAAAAAUCUUAUUUUUAAUCUUUUUUUAGGUUGAACAAAUUAAGUAGCAAGUUUGUACAGAAAAGCUGUGUUGUUUGUACAGUUAGGCUGUUGCACUAGCACGAAUCAACUCAGCUUUCUAUCAAAAUGACAAAAUCACCCUUAGAUGAAACUAUUCUAUCUAUUAAAUAAAUACAGCCCAAGGCAACUUUUCUCCAAAACUUCAUCUUUUUAUAACAUUCUUCAAACACAUCAAAAAUGAUGCCAGUUCUUCCUCAUUUUGGUGGCAUGGCUCAAAAGGUUGUUGGGAUAGCGAAAAAGUUUGGAAAAGGAGGUGGUUCUAGUCCUAAUACGAUAGGAUUCUGUGUUAGCAAUACCACUUCUAUUUUGAUAGUUGUGAAACAAAUGGAACAAGCAUGGAAUGUUGAUGAGAAGAAUGAGUUAAAUGAUUAAAAAUGUAGAAAGGUGAAGAAAACUGUCAGAGAGAGUGAAAGAAGGUUAUACUGGCAAUCAAAAAAAAUCUGCUCAGCCCACCAAAAAUUUGAAGGAGUUGAUGAAAUUCCACGGCAAACAAAACUCAUCUUCUUGGUUUUGGACCGACAAAAGGGUCAACCUUCUCCAAGCGAAGCUAGAAAGUUUUUUGAAGGAGGCUGAGGUGAAGGAUAUGAUGUACCUGGAUGCUAUUGAGGUAAAAAAAAAUGUUGGGUUGAUGAGUUUUCAGAUUUUUGGAUCUUAUACCUAAGUCAGCUUUUGAAUUACUUAGAUUCAAGACUAACACGUGUACUUUUCUAAGAAUGAGUUAGUGCAAACUUCUCCUCAUGCUAAAGUCCAAUGAGAAAAAUCACAAAAAAAAAUUGAAGAACAGUGAAAUUUAGAAAUUUUUGGUUCUAAGAAUUUUACUCUAGUUUUUAUUGCAUCAUUUACAAAUUAAUUGUAAUGUGUAUAUAUGACUUGAUGGUAAUCUAAUAUUUAAAAAAAAUUUAAUUGAUGUUGAUCGUGUCCUUAACUGCUUCUAAUUGUGUAAAAGUUAUUUCAAAAAAUCAGAAUAAAAAAGCACCCCAAAAAAUUGUUAUUUUUAAUUUUUUUUAGGGUGAACAAAUUAAGUAGACAGUUUGUACAAAAAAACUGUGUUGUUUGUACAGCUGGGCUUUUGCACUAGCACGGAUCAGCUCAGCUUCCUAUCAAAAUGACAAUAUGCCCCUUAGACCAAACUAUUCUAUCUAUUAAAUAAAUACAACCCAAGGCAACUUUUCACCAAAAUUUCAUCUUUUUAUAACAUUCUUCAAACACAUAAAAAACGAUGCUAGUUCUUCCUCAUUUUGGUGGCAUGUCAAAAAAUGUUGUAGGGACAGCUAAAAAGUUUGGAAAGGAGACGGUUUCUAGUCCUAAUGCGAUAGGAAUAUAGUGAGGUGAAAAUACCCUUUCUAGCAAUACCCUUUCUAUUUUAAUAGCUGUGAAACAAAUGGAACAAGCAAGGAAUGUUGAUGAGCAGAAUGAGUUAAAUCGUGAUGAAAGAUGUAGUGAGGUAAACAAGACUGUCAGAGAGAGUGAAAGAAAGGUUACACUAGCAUUCAAAAAAAAGGCUGCUCAGCCCACCAAAAAUUUGAAGGAGUUGAUGAAAACUCAUGACAAACAAUACUCAUCUUCUUGGUUUUGACCAACAAAAAGGUAAACCUUCUCCAAAUGAAACUAGAAAGUUUUCCGAAGGAGGCUGAGGUGAAGGAGAAGAUGUACCUAGACGCCAUUGAGGUAAAAAAAAAUGUUUGGUUGCUGAGUUUUCAAACUUUUGGAACUUAUACCUAAGUCAGCUUUUGAAUGACUUAGAUCCAAGACUAACAUGUGCGUUUUUCUAAGAAUGAGCUGGCGUAAACUUUACCUCAUGCUAAAGUCAAGUGAUAAAAACAAGGAAAAAAAAAUUUAAGAACAGAGAAAUUUAGAAAUUUUUAGUUCUAAGAAUUUUAGUCUAAUUUUUAUUGUAUCAUUUACAAAGUAAUUGUAAUGUGUAUGUAUGACUUGAUGGUAAUCUAAUAUUUUAAAAAAAUUUAAUCGAUGUUGAUCGUUUCCUUAACUGCUUCUAAAUUGUGUAAAAGUUAAUUUUAAAAAUCAGAAUAAAAAAGCACCCAAAAAAAUCUUACGCUAAAUCUUUUUCUAGGAUGAACAAAUUAAGUAGCAAGUUUGUAUAGAAAAACUGUGUUGUUUGUACAAUUAGGCUGUUGCACUAGGACGGAUUAGCUUAGCUUACUAUAAAAAUGGCAAAAUCCCCCUUAGACCAAACUAUUCUAUCUAUUAAAUAAAUACAACCCGAGGCAACUUUUCACCAAAAUUUCAUCUUUUUAUAACCUUCUUCAAAUACAUCAAAAAUGAUGCUAGUUCUUACUCAUUUUAGUGGCAUGAAAGUUCUUCCUCAUUAUGGUGGCAUGGCUCAAAACAUUGUUGAGAUAGCUAAAAAGUUUGGGAAGGAGGUGGUUUCUAGUUCUAAUGCGAUAGGGUUUUGUGCUAGCAAUACCCUUUUUAUUUUGAUAGCUGUAAAACAAAUGGACCAAACAAGGAAUACUGAUGAGUAGAAUGACUAGAAUGCAAGACUAACACGUGUGUUUUUCUAAGAAUGAGCAGGUGCAAACUUCUCCUUAUGCUAAAGUCCAGUGAGAAAAUCACAAAAAAAAAUUAAGAACAUUGAAAUUUAGAAAUUUUUGGUUCUAAGUUUUUUACUCUAAUUUUUAUUGCAUCAUUUACAAAUUAAUUGUAAUGUGUAUGUAUGACUUGAUGGUAAUCUAAUAUUUAAAUAAAAUUUAAUUGAUGUUGAUCCUAUCCUUAACUACUUUUAAUUUUGUAAAAGUUAAUUUUAAAAAAUCAGAACAAAAAAGCACCCAAAGAAAUCUUAUUUUUAAUCUUUUUUCAGGGUGAACAACUUAAGUAGCAAGUUUGUACAGGAAAGCUGUGUUGUUUGUAAAGCAGGGCUGUUGCACUAGCACAGAUUAGCUCAGCUUCCUAUCAAAAUGACAAAAUCCCCCUUAGACCAAACUAUUCUAUCUAUUAAAUAUAUGCAAACGAAGGCAACUUUGCACCAGAAUUUCAUCUUUUUAUAACCUUUUUCAAACACAUCAAAAACGCUGCCAGUUCUUCCUCAUUUUGUUGGCAUGGUUCAAAAAGUUGUUGGAAUAGCUACAAAGUUUGAAAAGACAGUGGUUUCUAGUCCUAAUGCAACAGGGUUCUGUGCUAACGAUACCCUUUCUAUUUUGAUAGUUGUGAAACAAAUGGCACAAGCAAGGAAUGCUGAUAAGCAGAAUGAGUUAAACCAUGAUGAAAGAUAUAAAGAGGUGAAGAAGACUACCAGAGAAAGUGAAGAAAAGGUUAUACUGGUAGUAAAAAAAAAGACUGCUCAGCCCACCAAAAAUUUUAAAGAGUUGAUGAAAAUCCAUGACCAACAAUACACAUCUUCUUGGUUUUCAUAAGUUUUCAUAGGUGAACAAGCCCUUAGGAUUGAUAAGUUUUCAUAUUUUUGGAUCUUAUACCUAAGUUAGCUUUUGAAUGACUUAGAUUCAAGACUAACAAGUGUUUUUUAAGAAUGAGUUGGUGUAAACUUCACAGCAUGCUAAAGUCCAUUGAGAAAAACAACAAAAAAAAUUAAGAACCGUAAAAUUUAGAAAUUUUUUGUUCCAAGAAUUUUACUCCAGUUUAGUUGCAUCAUUUACAAAUUAAUUGUAAUGUGUAUGUAUGACUUGAUGGUAAUCUAAUACUUUAAAAAAAUUUAAUCAAUUUGAUCGUGUCCCCAACUGCCUUUAAUUGUGUAAAAGUUAAUUUUAAAAAAUUAGAAUAUAAAACGCCCAAAAAAAAUCUUAUUUUUAAUCUUUUUUUAGGGUGAACAAAUUAAGUAGCAACUUUGUACAGAAAAGUUCUAUUGUUUGUAUAGUGGGUCGUUGCACUAGCACGAAUCAGCUCAGCUUCCUAUCAAAAUGGCAAAAUCCCCCUUAGACCAAACUAUUCUAUGUAUUAAAUGAAUACAAACGAAGGUAGCUUUUCACCAAAAUUUCAUUUUUUUAAAACCUUCUUCAAACUCAUAAAAAACGAUGCCAAUUUUUCCUCAUUUUGGUGGCAUGAAAGUUCUUUCUCAUUUUGAUGGCAUGGCUCAAAAGAUUGUUGGGAUAGCUAAAAAGUUUGGAAAUGAGUUGGUUUCUAGUUCUAAUGCGAUAGCCCUUUGUAUUUUGAUAGCUGUGAAACAAAUAGAACAAGCAAGGAAUACUAAUAAGCAGAAUUAGUUAAACCAUGAUGAAUGAUGUUGAGCGGUAAAGAAGACUGUCACACAGAGUGAAAGAAAGGUUAUACAGGUAUUUUAAAAAGAGGCUGCUCAGCCCACAAAAAAUUUGGAGGAGUUGAUGAAAAUCCAUAACCAAGAAUACACAUUUUCUUGGUUUUGGACCGAUAAAAGGAUCAACCUUCUCCAAGCGAAGCUAGAAAGUUUUCAAAUGGAGGCUGAGGUGAAGAAGAAGAUGUACCUGGUUGCCAUUUAGGUAAAAAAAAUUGUUGGGCUGAUGAGUUUUUGGAUUUUUGGAUCUUAUACCUAAGUCAGCUUUUGAAUGAUUUAGAUUCAAGACUAACACUUGUGUUUUUCUAAGAAUGAGUUGGUGUAAACUUCACAGCAUACUAAAGUCCAUUGAGAAAAACCAGAAAAAAAAAUUUAAGAACCGUGAAAUUUAGAAAUUUUUUUUUCGAAAAAUUUUACUAUAGUUUUUAAUGCAUCAUUUACAAAUUAAUUGUAAUGUGUAUGUAUGACUUGAUGGUAAUCUAAUAUUUUAAAAAAAUUUAAUCAAUGUUGAUCGUGUCCUCAACUGCCUCUAAUUGUUUAAAAUGUAAUUUUAAAAAAUCAGAAUAAAAAACACCCAAAAAAAUCUUAUUUUUAAUCUUCUUUUAGGGUGAACAAAUUAAGUAGCAAGUUUGUACAGAAAAGUUGUGUUGUUUGUACAGUUGGGCUGUUGCACUAGCACGAAUCAGCUCAGCUUCCUAUCAAAAUGAUAAAAUUCCCCUUAAACCAAACUAUUCUAUCUGUUAAAUAUAUACAAACGAAGGUAACUUUUCACCAAAAUUUCAUUUUUUAUAACCUUCUUCAAACACAUUAAAAACGGAGCCAAUUCUUACUCAUUUUGAUGGCAUGACAGUUCUUCCUCAUUUUGAUGGCAUGGCUCAAAAAGUUGUUGGGAUAGCUAAAAAGUUUGGAAACGAGGUGGUUUCUAGUCUUAAUGCGAUAGGGUUCUGUGCCAGUGAUACCCUUUGUAUUUUGAUAGCUGUGAAACAAAUGGAACAAGCAAGGAAUACCGAUAAGCAGAAUGAGUUAAAUCAUGAUGAUAGAUGUACAUAGGUGAAGAAAACUGUCAGAGGGAAUGAAAGAAUGGUUAUACUGCUAGUCAAAAAAAAGGUUGCUCAACCCACCAAAAAUUUUAAAGAGUUGAUGAAAAUUCAUGACCAACAAUACACAUCUCUUGGUUUUGGCCCGCAUAAAAGGUCAACCUUCUCCAAGCGAAACUAGAAAGUUUUCACAAGGAGACUGAGAUGAAGGAAAAGAUGCACCUGGAUGCCAUUUAGGUAAAAAAAAAUGUUGGAUUGAUGAGUUUUCGGAUUUUUGGAUCUUAUACCUAAGUCAGCUUUUGAAUGACUUAGAUUCAAGACUAACAAGUGUGUUUUUUUAAAAAUAAGUUGGUGUAAACUUCACAGCAUGCUAAAGUCCAUUGAGAAAAAUCACAAAAAAAAAAAAAAAAUUUAAGAACCGUGAAAUUUAGAAAAUUUUUUUUCCAAGAAUUUUACUCCAGUUUUUAUUGCAUCAUUACAAAUUAAUUGUAAUGUGUAUGUAUGACUUCAUGGUAAUCCAAUACUUUAAAAAAAUUUAAUCAAUGUUGAUCGUGUCCCUACCUGCUUUUAAUUGCGUAAAAGUUAAUUUUAAAAAAUCAGACUAAAAAAAUACUAAAAAAUCUUAUUUUUCAUCUUUUUUGUGGUGAACAAAUUAAUUAGCAAGUUUGCACAGAAAAACUGUGUUAUUUGCGCAGUUGGGCUGUUGCGCUAGCAUGGAUCAGCUCUGCUUCCUAUCAAAAAGACAAAAUUCACCUUAGACCACACUAUUCUAUCUAUUAAAUAUAUACAAGGCAAAUUUUCAUCAGAAUUUCAUCUUUUUAUAAGCUUCUUCAAACACAUAAAAAAACGAUGCCAGUUCUUUCUCAUUUUGGUGGCAUGAAAGUUCUUCCUCAUUUUGAUGGUGUGGCUCAAAAAGUUGUUGGGAUAGCUAAAACGUUUCGAAAGGAGGUGGUUUCCAGUUUUAAUGCAAUAGGGUUCUGUGCUAGCGACACCCUUUCUAUUUUGAUAGUUGUGAAACAAAUGGAACAAGCAAUGAAUGCUGAUAAGCAAAAUGAGUUAAACCAUGAUGAAAGAUGUACAGAGGUGAAGAAGAAUGUCAGAGAGAGUAAAGAAAAAGUUAUACAGGCAGUCAAAAAAGAAUCUGCUCAGCCACCCAAAAACUUUAAGGAAUUGAUGAAAAUCCAUGACCAACAAUAUAUAUUUUCUUGGUUUCGGCCCGACAAAAGGGUCAACAUUCCCCAAACGAAACUAGAAAGUUUUCAGAAGGAGGCUGACGUGAAAGAGAAGAUGUACCUGGAUGCCAUUAGAAGAUGUACCUGGAUGCCAUUAACGUAAAAAAAAAUGUUGGGUUGAUGAGUUUUCAGAUUUUUGGAUCCUAUAUCUAAAUCAGCUUUUGAAUGACUUAUAUUCAAGACUAACAUGUGCGUUUCUCUAAAAAUGAGCUGGUGUAAACUUCACAGCAUGCUAAAGUUCGUUGAGAAAAACAAAAAAAAAAAAAAUGUGGGAACCGUGAAAUUUAGAAAUUUUUUGAUCUAAGAUUUUUACUCUAGUUUUUAUUGCAUCAUUAACAAAUUAAUUGUAAUAUGCAUGUAUGACUUGAUGGUAAUCUAAUAUUUAUAAAAUUUCAAUCAAUGUUGAUCGUGUCCUCAACUGCUUCUAAUUGUGUAAAAGUUAAUUUUAAAAAAUCAGAAUAAAAAAUACCCAAAAAAAUCAUAUUUUUAAUCUUUUUUAGGGUGAACAAAUUAUGUGGCACGUUUGUGUUGAAAAGCUAUGCUGUUUGUACAGUUGGGCUGUUGCACUAGCACGGAUCUGCUCAGCUUUCUAUCAAAAUGAUGAAAUCCCCCUUAGACCAAACUAUUCUAUCUAUUAAAUAAAUACAACCAAAGGCAACUUUUCAUCAAAACUUCAUCUUUUUAUAACCAUCUUCAAACGCAUAAAAAACGAUGCCAGUUAUUCCUCAUUUUGGUAGCAUGAAAGUUGUUCCUAAUUUUGAUGGUAUGACUUAAAAAGUUGUUGGUAUCUCUAAAAAGUUUGGAAAAGAAGUGGUUUCUAGUCCUAAUGCAAUAGGGUUCUGUGCUAGCGAUACCCUUUCUAUUUUGAUAGCUGUGAACCAAAUGGAAAACGUAAGGAAUGCUGAUAAGCGGAAUGAGUUAAAUCAUGAUGAACCAUAUAGAUAGGUGAAGAAGAUUGUCAGAGAGAGUGAAGGAAAGAAUUUACUGGCAGUCAAAAAAGAGACUACUCAGCCCACCAAAAAUUUUAAUGAGUUGAUGAAAAUUCAUGACCAACAAUACAUAUCUUCGUAGUUUUGAACGAAUAAACUGUCAAUCUUCUCCAAGCGAAACUAGAAGGUUUUCAGAAUGAGGCUGAGGUGAAGGAAAAGAUGUACCUGGAUGCCAUUGAGGUAAAAAAAAUAUUGGGUUGAUAAGUUUUUGAAUUUUUGGAUCUUAUACCUAAGUCGGCUUUUGAAUGACUUAAAUUUAAGACUAACAUGUGUGUUUUUCUAAGAAUUAGGUGGUGUAAAUUUCACAGCAUGCUAAAGUCAAUUGAGAAAAAUCAAAAAAAAAUUUAGAAACCGUGAAAUUUAGAAAUUUUUUGUUCUAAGAUUUUUGCUCUAGUUUUUAUUAUAUCAUUUACAAAUUAAUUGUAAUGUGUAUGUAUGACUUGUUGGUAAUCUAAUAUUUUUAAAAAAUUUAAUCAAUAUUUAUCGUGUCCUUAAAUGCUUCUAAUUAUGUAAAAGUUAAUUUUAAAAAAUCAGAAUAAAAAAGCACCCAAAAAAUCUUUAAUCUUUUUUAGCGUGAAAAAAUUAGGUAGCAAGUUUGUACAAAAAAGCUGUGUGGUUUGUACAACUGGGCAGUUGCACUAGUACGAAUCAGCUCAGCUUCCUAUCAAAAUGAUAAAAUCCCCUUUAGACCAAACUAUUCUAUCUAUUAAAUAAAUAUGGCUCAGGGCAACUUUUCACUAAAACGUUAUCUUUUUAUAACCUUAUUCAAGCACAUCAAAAACGAUGCCAGUUCUUCCUUAUUUUGGUGACAUGAAAGUUUUUUCUCAUUUUGGUGGCAUGGCUCAAAAGGUUGUUGGGAUAGCUAAAAUGUUUGGAAAGGAGGUGGAACCGAACCACGUUAAAUAUUAUGUGUCGUUUAUCUUUCAUGCUUGUGGCUUGUUUGCUCAUUAAAUUAUUGUGUACUUGACAUCUCAAUAGUUGUUUGUUCCACGCUUGGAUCCUAACAGAAUAUACUGGACUGGAAUAUAUGUGGCUAUUAUUGUUGUUAUAGUAUUAUGUGAAUAGAUCUGGCUAUGAUGUGAUACUAUGUGAAGGUGCUUCAGUCUACGAGGGUUGAAAAAUUCACCCCCGAGGUGGGUGAACAACUUGACACAGAAAAACGUUCCGUCGUUCAUCUUGUACCUGAUCUAAAGAAUCCUCCGGGCAUGAUAGUUCAAGUUCUUGAUGAGGGAUACAUUUGCAAUGGGUAGAUUCUUAGACGUGCAAAGGUAGGAGUCUCACGUGCUGUGGAGACCAGGGGAAGAAGCAAAAAUGCAUGAGUGAGAUUAUGAGAUAUGACUGCUAUAGUAUGUUUUAGACUCCACUUUAUAGUAUGUUCUACUUUUGAGACAUUUUGCAAGUUCGCAAAGUUGCAAAAACUAGUUUCAUUUCAUGGUUGAUGUACUUUAUCAAUGGUAAAUAGGUAAUGUGGAUAAUAUCUGCUUCCGUGCUUGCCAAGAAAAUCAAAUUUUGUGCUAUAUAAUCAACAAGCAAUCCCUAAUAUUUGCUUCCCUAGAUAAUGAUGCUACAAAAAAUGGGAUCUUGUGCUAUAUAAUCUGCAUGUUAUCGUUACUUCGUUCUUGAUUUCCUGCUUCACAAUGUGAUUGAUUAAAUGCGAUGAAAUAUCACAACAACAAUUUUUUCUCCUUUUGGUUCUUUCAAUUUGGUGACGACCUUGUUUCUUUUUAAUCUCAGAUUCUAAUCUCUUAUCUUUAGAUGUUUCUCUUUUAAUUUCUUUUAUUUUACUUUUGGUCCAAAUAUAUCAAUCUAGGUUUAAAGAUACUGCAGAAAAGAAACCCAGUUUUAUUGCGGCUGUAUUGCAUUUACUGUAAUGGACACUUUUUUUUUUCCUUUUUUUUUGUUCUUUUUAUUUCUUUCCACUCUCAGACUCUUUAUCUCUAGAUGUUUGCCUUCUUUUUCAACUUCUUUUAUCUUACUUCUCGUCCAAAUAUAGCAAUUUAGGUUCAAGUGCACUUAUUUUAUUGGAGACCUCUUGCCAUUUUUUUCCCCUUUUAAUCUCAGACUCUUAUCUCUAGAUUUGAAAGAAUCGAUAUUACAAAUAUCAUCUAAGAUUUGUCUUCAAUUUCUUCGAGUCAUGGCUAUAGAAUGGCACACCCUAAAGCCCAUGUCCGAGAUGGGCGGAGCCUCGACCUGAAUCUUUUUAGUACGGAUCACGACACUGGGACUAAAAGUACGAAUGUUGAAUGCGCCAACUCGGGGUUUACCAAAGCCCGAUUCAGCAAGUCUAACAAAUCGAAUUUAUCAAAUAUGGAGUCUCUCUAUAGGCUAACAAAAAUUUAUGUCCGAAUUUAGAGUCUUUAUUCGACGGGAAAAAGUUUAUCAACUAAAAAUAAUCACUGUAUAAAAAGUUGAUCCUUGUAAUUUAUAAAUGAUCACGAUGUAACAUAUUAAUCCUUAUACUUUAUACUUUAUAGCAAACAGCCUGUCAUAAAACUAGAACCAUGAUGAAAGAUGUACAGAGGUGAAGAAGAAUGUCAGAGAGAGUGAAGAGAAGGUUAUAAUGGCAGUCAAAAAAGAAUCUACUCAGCCACCCAAAAAUUUUAAGGAAUUGAUGAAAAUUCAUGACCAACAAUACAUAUUUUCUUGGUUUUGGCCCAACAAAAAGGUCAACCUUCUCCAAACGAAACUAGAAAGUUUUCAAAAGGAGACUGAGGUGAAAGAAAAGAUAUACCUGGAUGCCAUUGACUUAAAAAAAAAUGUUGAGUUGAUGAGUUUUCAGAUUUUUGGAUCCUAUAUCUAAAUCAGCUUUUGAAUGACCUAGAUUCAAGACUAACAUGUGCGUUUCUCUAAAAAUGAGCUAGUGUAAACUUAACAGCAUGCUAAAGUUCGUUGAGAAAAACAAAAAAAAAUUAGGAAUCGUGAAAUUUAGAAAAUUUUUGUUUUGAGAUUUUUAGUCUAGUUUUUAUUACAUCAUUUACAAAUUAAUUGUAAUAUGUAUGUAGGACUUGAUGGUAAUCUAAUAUUUAAAAAAAUUUUAAUCAAUGUUGAUCUUGUCCCAACUGCUUCUAAUUGUGUAAAAGUUAAUUUUAAAAAAUCAGAAUAAAAAACACCCAAAAAAAUCUUAUUUUUAAUCUUUUUUAGGGUGAACAAAUUAUGUAGCACGUUUGUGCUGAAAAGCUGUGCUGUUUGUACAGUUGCGUUGUUGCACUAGCACGGAUCUGCUCAGCUUUCUAUCAAAAUAACGAAAUCCCCUUUAGACCAAACUAUUCUAUCUAGUAAAUAAAUACAACCUAAGGCAACUUUUCAUCAAAAUUUCAUCUUUUUAUAACCAUCUUCAAACGCAUAAAAAACGAUGCCAGUUAUUCCUCAUUUUGGUGGCAUGAAAGUUCUUCCUAAUUUUGAUGGCAUGACUUAAAAAGUUGUUGGUAUCUCUAAAAAGUUUGGAAAAGAAGUGGUUUCUAGUCCUAAUGCCAUAGGGUUCUAUGCUAGUGAUACCCUUUCUAUUUUGAUAGCUGUGAAACAAAUGGAACAAGUAAGGAAUGCUGAUAAGCAGAAUGAGUUAAAUCAUGAUGAAACAUGUAGAGAGAUGAAGAAGAUUGUCAGAGAGAGUGAAGAAAAGGCUUUACUGACAGUCAAAAAAGAGGCUGCUCAGCCCACCAAAAAUUUUAAGGAGUUGAUGAAAAUUCAUGACCAACAAUACAUAUCUCCUUGGUUUUGACUCGAAUAAACGGUCAACCUUCUCCAAGCGAAACUAGAAAGUUUUCAGAAGGAGGCUGAGGUGAAGGAAAAGAUGUAACUGGAUGCCAUUGAGGUAAAAAAAAUGUUGGGUUGAUGAGUUUUUGAAUUUUUGGAUCUUAUACCUAAGUCAGCUUUUGAAUGAUUUAGAUUCAAGACUAACAUGUGUGUUUUUUGUGUAAACUUCACAGCAUGCUAAAGUCUGUUGAGAAAAAUCACAAAAAAAAAUUUAGGAACCGUAAAAUUUAAAAAUUUUUUGUUCUAAGAUUUUUGCUCUAGUUUUUAUUACAUCAUUUACAAAUUAAUUGUAAUGUGUAUGUAUGACUUGUUGGUAAUCUAAUAUUUUUUAAAAAUUUAAUCAAUAGUUAUCGUGUCCUUAAAUGCUUCUAAUUAUGUAAAAGUUAAUUUUACAUAGUCAGAAUAAAAAAGCACCCAAAAAAUCUUAUUUUUAAUCUUUUUUAGCGUGAAAAAAUUAAGUAGCAAGUUUGUACAGAAAAGCUGUGUGGUUUGUACAACUGGGCAGUUGCACUAGUACGAAUCAGCUCAGCUUCCUAUCAAAAUGAUAAAAUCCCCUUUAGACCAAACUAUUCUAUCUAUUAAAUAAAUAUGGCCCAGGGCAACUUUUCACUAAAAUGUCAUAUUUUUAUAACCUUAUUCAAGUACAUCAAAAACGAUACCAGUUCUACCUUAUUUUGGUGACAUGAAAGUUUUUUCUCAUUUUGGUGGCAUGGCUCAAAAGGUUGUUGGGAUAACUAAAAUGUUUGGAAAGGAGGCGGUUUCUAGUCCUAAUGUGUAUGCUAGCAAUACCUUUUCUAUUUUGAUAGCUGUGAAACAAAUGGAACAAGCAAGAAAUGUUGAUGAGCAGAAUAAGUUAAACCAUGAUGAUAGAUGUAGAGAGGUGAAAAAGACUGUCAGAGAGAGUGAAAGAAAGGUUAUACUGGCAGUAAAAAAAGUGAUUGCUCAGCCCACCAAAAAUUUGAAGGAGUUGAUGAAAAUCCAUAACAGACAAUACUCAUGUUCUUGGUUUUGGACAGAUAAAAGGGUCAACCUUCUCCAAGCGAAACUAGAAAGUUUUCAGAAGGAGGGUGAGGUGAAGGAGAAGAUGUACUUGGAAGGCAUUGAGGUAAAAAAAAUGUUGGGUUGAUGAGUUUUCGGAUUUUUUGAUCUUAUACCUAAGUAAGCUUUUGAAUGACAUAGAUUUGGGACUAACACGUGUGUUUUCCUAAGAAUGAGCUGGUGUAAACUUCACCUCAUGCUAAAGUCCAGUGAGAUAAACCACAAAAAAAAAAAAAUUUAAGAACCAUGAAAUUUAGAAAUUUUUGGUUCUAAGAAUUUUACUCUAGUUUUUAUUACAUCAUUUACAAAUUAAUUAUAAUGUGUAUGUAUGACUUGAUGGUAAUCUAAUAUUUAAAAAAAAUUAAUUGAUGUUGAUCGUGUCCUUAACUGCUUCUAAUUGUGUAAAAAUUAAUUUUAAAAAUCAGAAUAAAAAAGCACCAAAAAAUCUUAUUUUUAAUCUUUUUUUAGGGUGAACAAAUUAAGUAGCAAUUUUGUACAGAAAAGUUGUGUUGUUUGUACAGCUCAAAUAUUGCACUAGCACGGAUCAGCUCAGCUUCCUAUCAAAAUAACAAAAUCCCCAUUAGACCAACCUAUUCCAUCUAUUAAAUAAAUACAACCCAAAGUAACUUUUCACCAAAAUUUCAUCUUUUUACAACCUUUUUCAAACACAUAAAAAAUCAUGCUAGUUCUUCCUGAUUUUGGUUCCAUGAAAGUUCUUCCUCAUUUUGGUGGCAUGGCUCAAAAGGUUGUUGGGAUAGUUAAAAUGUUUGAAAAGAAGUGGCUUCUAAUCCUAAUGCGAUAGGGUUUUAUGCUAGCAAUACCCUUUCUAUUUUGAUAGUUGUGGCACAAAUAGAACAAGUAAGGAAUGCUGAUAAGUAGAAUGAGUUAAAUCAUGAUGAAAGAUGUAGGGAGAUAAAGAAAACUGUUAGAGAGAGUGAAAGAAAUGUUAUACUUGCAAUAAAAAAAGAGGCUGCUCAGCCCAUAAAAAAUUUGAAGGAGUUGAUGAAAACCCGUGACAAACAAUACUCAUCUUCUUGCUUUUGGACCGACAAAAUGAUCAACCUUCUCUAAGCGAAGCUAGAAAGUUUUUAGAUGGAGGCUGAGGUGAAGAAGAAGAUGUACCUGGAUGCCAUUCAAGUAAAAAAAAAUGUUGGGCUGAUGAGUUUUUGAAUUUUUGGAUCUUAUACCUAAGUCAGCUUUUGAAUGAUUUAGAUUCAAGACCGACACAUGUGUUUUUCUAAGAAUCUCAGGGAGGACUUGUGUUACUUCUUUAUAUCGUGUUUAUAGCGUUGAAAAAAGGAAGAAACAAUCUGGCUUUGUUUGUAGCAUGUUGAGUUCUAAAAGUUCCCAACACCUUUUUUCCUCUCUAUUUCACUUUUAAUAUUGUUUUGAUUGGACUUAGAUUAUUGAAUCGAUUUAGAUGCUCCGAGUGUUUGUUUAUAUUUUGUAUUUGUUGGUAUAUUCAUAUGGCAGAUUUAGUGCUUAUUUGGGUUUAAUGAACAUUAAUUGUUCCCUUAAUCAGUAGUUUUAUUUUGUCUCCUGUGUUGUUCAUUUUAGGGGUUGGCUAAUGUGAUUUUGGACAUUGACGUACAAGAUCAUGAAAAGAAAAGCACACUUAGAGGAGGUACGUAUCCAUUUUCUUACAACUGGAAUAUGUUAGGAAAUUGGCUAAAAUUUUUUUAGAUAGGUUUCUUGUUUUGUGUGGAAGUAACUAGUUUUCUAAUUGAUUUUAGUUACUUGAAAUAGUAGCAAAGAAAUAUUCUAUUUAGUUUAGAAUUAGAAGUUAUUUUCUACAAGUGUAGGGAUUAGAAUUGGUUUCCUAUUGUUAUUUGAGUUUUGGCCAAAUAAUGUUCCAUAUAAAUAGGUGGAUUGAUAUACUACAAAGAUAUACACAAAGGCACACAACAGGGCAUCAUGUAACCUUAUACAUGGGGUAAGAGAUGGUUCUUGAGAGAUGAGAGAUGAUAUACAAGAGUUGGGCUUAGAUUCAAGUUGUAUUCUUGUAUAGGUUUUCUCUCAUAAUAAAGAAUGGGUUUCUCUCUGUGGACGUAAGCUCAAUGGUGGAACCGAAUCACGUUAAAUAUUAUGUGUCGUUUAUCUUUCAUGCUUGUGGCUUGUUUGCUCAUUAAAUUAUUGUGUACUUGACAUCUCAAUAGUUGUUUGUUCCGCGCUUGGAUCCUAACAGAAUAUACUGGACUGGAAUAUGUGUGGCUAUUACUGUUGUUAUAGUAUUAUGUGAAUAGAUCUGGCUAUGAUGUGAUACUAUGUGAAGGUGCUUCAGUCUACGAGGGUUGAAAAAUUCACCCCCGAGGUGGGUGAACAACUUGACACGGAAAAACGUUCCGUCGUUCAUCUUGUACCUGAUCUAAAGAAUCCUCCGGGCAUGAUAGUUCAAGUUCUUGAUGAGGGAUACAUUUGCAAUGGGUAGAUUCUUAGACGUGCAAAGGUAGGAGUCUCACGUGCUGUGGAGACCAGGGGAAGAAGCAAAAAUGCAUGAGUGAGAUUAUGAGAUAUGACUGCUAUAGUAUGUUUUAGACUCCACUUUAUAGUAUGUUCUACUUUUGAGACAUUUUGCAAGUUCGCAAAGUUGCAAAAACUAGUUUCAUUUCAUGGUUGAUGUACUUUAUCAAUGGUAAUUAGGUAAUGUGGAUAAUAUCUGCUUCCGUGAUUGCCAAGAAAAUCAAAUUUUGUGCUAUAUAAUCAACAAGCAAUCCCUAAUAUUUGCUUCCCUAGAUAAUGAUGCUACAAAAAAUGGGAUCUUGUGCUAUAUAAUUUGCAUGUUAUCGUUACUUCGUUCUUGAUUUCCUGCUUCACAAUGUGAUUGAUUAAAUGCGAUGAAGUAUCACAACAGCAAUUUUUUCUCCUUUUGUUUCUUUCAACUUGGUGACCUUCUUUCUUUUUAAUCUCAGACUCUUAUCUUUAGAUGUUUCUCUUCAUUUUUAACUUCUUUUAUUUUACUUCUGGUCCAAAUAUAGCAAUCUAGCUUCAAAGAUACUGCAGAAAAGAAACCCAAUUUUUUGCACUUAUUGUAAUGGACACUCUUUCUUUUUUCUUUUUUUUUUGUUCUUUUUAUUUCUUUUCACUCUUAGACUCUUUAUCUCCAGAUGUUUGCCUUUUUUUUUAAACUUCUUUUAUCUUACUUCUGGUCCAAAUAUGGCAAUCUAGGUUCAAAGAUAUUGCAGAAACCCAGUUUUAUUGCGGCUGCAGUGCACUUAUUUUAUUGGAGACCUCUUGCCCUUUUUUUUCCCCUUUUAGUCUCAGACUCUUAUCUCUAGAUUUCAAAGAAUCGAUAUUGCAAAAACCAUCUAAGAUUAGUCUUCAAUUUCUUCGAGCCAUGGCUAUAGAAUGGCACACCCUAAGGCUCAUGUCCAAGAUGGGCGGAGUCUAGACCUCAAUCUUUUUAGUGCGGAUCACGACACUGGGCCUAAGAGUACGAAUGUUGAAUGCGCCAAGUUGGGGUUUACCAAAGCCCGAUUCAGCAAGUCUAAUAACUCGAAUUUAUCCAAUAUGGAGUCUCUCUAUAGGCUAACAAAAAUUUAUGUCCGAAUUCAGAGUCUUUAUUUGACGGGAAAAAGUUUAUCAACUAAAAAUGAUCACUGUAUAAAAAGUUGAUCCUUGUAAUUUAUAAAUGAUCACUAUGUAAAAUAUUAAUCCUUAUACUUUAUACUUUAUAGUGAACAGCCUAUCAUGAAACUAGAACCAUGAUGAAAGAUGUACAAAGGUGAAGAAGAAUGUCAGAGAGAGUGAAGAAAAGGUUAUAAUACUUCAUACUUUUUAAGUUUUUCGUGAACACAUUUUUUAAUCAUGUUUUUACUUCACAGACAUCAAAUUACUAUAAUACAUUUUUCUACAAAAACUUCUAAAAAUAAUGAUCCAAACGGGUUGUGAGCUCUUUUAAGUUUUUGUAGCAACAAAUAUUUCCUCGUGAAUUAGGGGUAACAAGAAGAGUUGUUCCUCAGAGGUUAAUAACUUUGAUUGACUCAAAAAAAAAAAAAAAGAGUACUAUUUGUAUUACAAAAUGUAAAUAGUUGUGUUAAUGCCAAUUUUUUGUACGAAAAAGUUGUGUUUGUACAACUAGGCUAGUGGCACUAGCACUGAUCACUAGGCAGAAGAGCUCAACUUCCUAUCAAAAUCCCCUUAGACCAAACCAUUUCUAACCAUUUCUACCUAUUAAAUACAAUCCUUCAUACAUCUAAGACAACUUUUCACCAAAACUUCAUCUUUUUAUUAUCUUCUUGAAACGCAUAAAAAACAAUGCAAGUUGUUCUUCCCCAUUUUGGUAGCAUGGCUUAAAAGAUUUUUGGCAUAGCUAAAAAAUUUGGAAAGGAGGUGGUGUGAUGUCUAGUCCUAAUGCAAUAGGUUUUGUGCCAGCAGUGCUGUUUCUGUUCCAAUAGCUGUGAUACAAAUGGAACAAACAAGGAAUGCUGAUAAGUAGAAUGAGUUAAACCAUGAUAAAAGAUGCAUAGAGGUGAAGAAGGUCGUCAGAGAGAGCGAAAGAAAGGUUAUACUGAUAGUAAAAAAAGAGGCAGCAAAAAAUUUGAAGGAGAUGAUAAAAAUCCAUGACAAACAAUACUCAUCUUCUUGAUUUUGGACUGACAAAAGAGUCUCAAAUCCAAGCUAGAAAGUUUUCAAAAGAAAGCUGAUGUGAAGGAGAAGAUGUACUUGAAAAUUUUAGUUCAGUGGCCAUAAAAAAGGGACUAACUCCCUCUUUGGAUUGUAGAACCCACCUGCAGUGAAAAAUUUUUUAAAAAGGUGCUAAAGCACCUCUUUAGUCUAGCAUACUUAAUAGUCCUUUAUAUAGCCUCUUUAUGCUUCCCUCCUUGUAGAAUAAGAUAGAUUAAAUUAUAGGAAUAUUAUCAUUGCAGAAAAAAAAAAAAAAAAAAAAAAGGAAGGAGAAGAUGAACCUGGAUGCCAUUAAGCUAAAAAAAAUGUUGGGUCAAUGAGUUUUUGGAUUUUUGGAUCUUAUACCUACUUAGCUUUUGAGUGAUUUAGAUUCAAGCCUAACACGACAUGUUUUCCUUAGCAUCUCAAGGAGCACUUGUUUUAUUUCACAUCGUCUUUAUAACAACGAAAAAAAAGAAAGAAACAACUGGACUUUGUUAUUAAACUAUGUAGCAAUAUUCCUCAUCACCAAUUCCUUUCGUAUUAUUAAACCAUGUAGCUGAUAAGUCCAGAUACAAAAAGAUUAAAUUAACUCCUUCUACUAAAGCAGAAUUGUUAACUCUUCUUCCAGCCACGGCCAUAGAAUGGCACACUUUGCUAAUGUUGAAUUGGCCUAAAGCCCAUGUACAAGAUGGGCGGAGUCUAGACCAUAAUAUUUUUGGUGCGAAUCGUGAAACUAGGCCUAGGAGUACAAAUGUUGAAUGGGCCAAGUUGGGUUUACCAAAGCCCAAUUCAGCAUGUCUAAGAAUUUGAAUUUAUCAAAUAUGGAGUCUCUUUAUAGAGGUACAAAAAUCUAUAUUCGAAUUUAGAGUCUUUAUUCAACCGGUAAAAGUUCAUCAACUAAAAAUAAUUAUUGUAUAAAAAAUUGGAUUAAUUCCACUUUGUCCCCCCAAACUUUGGACGAUUACUCACUUCAAUCCCUACUCUUUAAAAUGGGACACUUAAGUUCCUAAACUUAUAAAUACCUCUCACUUAAGUCUCUAAACUUAUAAAAUGGGACACUUAAAUUCUUAAAUUCUUAUAAAAUGGGACACUUCGACCACCAAUGGCAUUUAGGAUUUGUUAACAAUUUUCCUUAAGUGUGAGAUAUUUAUAAGUUUAGAGACUUAAGUGUCCCAUUUUGAAGUUUAGGGACUGAAGUGGGUAAUUAUCCAAAGUUUGGGGGGACAAAGUGGUAUUAACCCUAAAAAAUUAAUCCUUUAUAAAUGAUCGCUAUAUAAAAGUUAAUCCUAAUACUUUAUGGUUUAUAGCAAAUAACCUGCCAUGAAACUAGAAUACAAGAUACAAAGCCUACUCAUAAGACUUUUUAUUACUUGUAGUCUUCAAGAACAAUUACUAAUAUUAUCAAUUAAUUUCUUUCCAUUAUUCAAUUCUUGAAUUGCUCUUAGACUUGCUCAAAUUUUGUGCAUUGGCAUAAAGGCUUUUGCUGAGGACCACUAGCGUGAAAUUGUGGAGCUUUAUAAGAAUGAAAUAAAUCAAGUAUGAGAUUUAUUGGUUGUUCCAUCUAUGAAAAACACACAUGACAGGCGACGUAUGAUGACAUUUAUCCCCACUACUUUGAAAAUAAAAGACCUCCUAGUCAUACUCUAGUCAAUUUCGUUUAUUUUCUGUCGAAUUUCAUUCUCUUAUAUUUCGAAUUGGUUUUUUGGUACCAAAACACAAUAAUUCUUCUGUUUCCUUGGGGUAGAGAGAGUACUGUAUAAAUAUUCUUUCAUGCAGAAUAAAUCAAUGCUUGUACGGACUAAGCUAAAGAGCAAGAUACAUACGAAAAAAUCAGUCAUAAUUAUACAAAGGUAAAUGUAUGUUAUUGGCAUCUCUUUUUUGUUAGUAAUACUAGGGGGAAAAGCCCACGCAACGCGUGGGAGUUUAGUGCCUAUAAUUAAAGAUAGUUAAUAAUUAUUAUUUGGCAUUUUCUAGUAUAAGAAUUGAAGUAUGAUAAUUUUAUUAUGUGAUAUUAAAUUAAAAAAAAUCAUAUGUUACAUUUUGAGUUAAAAAAAUAUAAUAUGCAAUAAAACAUAAUUAUAAGAUACGAUCAACUACUUUGCAUCUAACCUAAUAUAGUAAAAGACCUAUUUAUAUCUGCUCAUGCACUUUAGGAAUACUAAAAUUUGUUAUUUAGUUUGAAUUUGAUCUCGCUAUGAGGGCAAUCCACCACAUUAUCUUAUCAUAUAAACGAGAUUUGAACAAUUAGCAUACUUGAAGAAAUCAUUGCUAGUAGAAUUUCGGUUCUUGCAAGCCAAAUUCUUGAAUUUAUAUUGAUUCUAAGGACGCAUAUCACCACGAGGCCUUCACAUUGAGCAAGCAAUUAAUUAUAAUUUAUUGUAUGAUUUAGGACAUAUAGCAAAGCAUCUCCUUCUCGAUAGGGGUUACAAUCACGAAAUAUCAGUUUUGUGUUAGUUAUAAAGAUAUACAACAACUAACAUGCUAAUUUAAAGGAAUAAUUACGUCAAAAAAGUACUAAAGCAUCUUAAUCCACUCAAUUUAAGAAAAAUAAUUAAAAGUAAUAAGGUACAUGCUUUAGAUUUGUAGCCAAAUAACUUUAAGUAGAUAGUUAAACAUAUUGACAAAUCAGAUGAAGUGAAAAAUUGUCUAAAUGGCAUAGUUAAUAAAGUAGCAAACGAUUUAAAAAUUAUACCAACUAAUAGUUAAAACAACAAAAGAAGUAGAUGUAAUCUAUAAAUGGGAAAAUUUAUGAUGAUAAACUUAUUUUAAACCAUAAAUAACAAUUAACAAAUGUGGUCUCUUCCUUAUCAAACUUGUCUAACAUGGACAAUUGAAUUAAAAUACUAAAAAAUUAUUGCACAUACAACUUGCAAUAUUAUAGAUUUUUUACAACUAAAAAGUAAAUUGAUUAAGAAAACAUAUCUAUUGAAAAAGGUGUUGCAAAAUAGGGAAGAAGAGUAGCUAAUGUAACAACAUCUGAAUUAACAUCUAUGAUAACAGUCAAGAAACCAAACUUCUCUACUAAUUGACAUUAAUUGUGUCUUAACGUCUAUAUAUCAUAAUUUUGCAAAAUAACUGAUGAGAAAGACUUUAAGAAAUUAAAAGACUUAGAUGUUAAUAAAAUUAAAUGAUUAGAAGGGUUUUAAUGUAAUUUCACUAAAACACAAGCUGAAUUCAGUUGUACCCAAUGUUUGAUCGGAUAUCAAACAAUGUCACAUAUCAAACUUACCCCUAGUUUUAAAUGUUUAAAAGUGUAUCCAAGUAAUUACAACAAAACUAAAUUAGUUAUAAUGACUCAUAUUCAAUACUCUAAUUGCACUUCAAACACUCUCAAAUUUUCAAAAAAGCCCCACCCUUGCGGUUGAAAUUCAAGCCCUAAACUCAUUCUUAUAUAGUAUAAGGAAAUGACACACUAUUUUUUUUUCAUGUGCUUUGGCUCAAAAUACUUAAGAGAUGGAGCACCAUUAAUAUUAACGAUUCAAGUUUCAUUAACAAUGCUGUCACAUAAAUUUGAAACUGAUUAGUGGUCAAUUCUUGGCCCAUAUUUGUCCUUAAAACGUGAUUUAAUUUUGACCCUCCCCACUUCUGCUCCUUUCUUCCGAUUCCUCCUUAUGAACCCCUCACACUCCAAGUUAAGAAAAUAAUUGGGAAAAAAAAACUUCUAAUCUCAAUUCAAGGUCAUCACUCAAUGGUGUCGGGGUGCAAUAAAAGCAAGGGUCCCUUUUACCCUUUUCCUGUCUGUAGCAUGGCAGUUGAUGAUAUACGAUCCUUAUUCCUUGGUGUGCUUUAUUAGCCAGCAGCAUGCACACAAUUUGGACUUUUGAGAAAAGCCUUGACAACAAGGCAAAUAGAUUCUUCCCUUUUGCAUAUGCCCAACUCCACUUGGGACCAAACAAUUACUUGCUAAAUAUGACUUUGCUAGGACGGGUAGCUGGCUUGUUCAAGUGUGUUUGUAUUCUCCUGGCUUUUGAUCAUUUCCCCUCCCUAACUUGUCGAUUAAAUCUGAGAAAAAGAAUAAAAAUAAAAGAGUUGGUUAAUUGACAAAGCAACUCCGCCAAAAUACUAGCAGGUUGCAGUUCCCAUUUCCCAAUGAUUUUCCAAUUACUCAUUUAAUUACGUGUCAAGAAUUCCAAGGGAUUGAUGCUCAUUUCUCAAUUUGGCGUUCCGUCUCACUUUGGUUAUUUUUACAACAGAGUUCCGCGGUGCUGCGGCUCUGAUCAUGCUCCUCUACGUUACAGGUAAAAAGGAUGUGACUGCUUGGUUGAUUACAGCUUAGCUCAGAUGAGGCCUCAAUUGGUUGUAAUUACUAAUUAGUGGAAGACGGAUGUUGCAUGCAGGUUUCCUAGUCGACUCUCGAAUCAAUUAAAUAAUGAAUGUGAAAUUGCUUGCAUUGCAUACGUGCUACCUUUCCUGUCUUCCAGGAUGUUUUUGCCAGGCAUAUAUAAACCGAAAGCUAUUCAAAUUCAUCUGGGAAAUUAACAUGAUUAUGUCAUCAGUUCAUCUACCACAGCUAGGGGAUAUCUGGGAUUGAUUCGCCUCUAACCCAAAUUAUUAUGGCCUUAGACAAGCCUGUUUUCAUCAGCAGAAGCGCGAAUUUAGUUGACCAUAGCUCCUAAACAUGGAACAGAACUCUCAAUUAACGAAAAGCCCUUGAAAAGGAAUCUGAGUACUGGCAUCGAUCUUUUAUGGAGAAAAUGGAACAGACAAAAAAAUUACUUGUUUUUGUCAACUUAAUCAAUGUAUUAACUUUGCUUGUUACAAAAGGAUUCCCAGGGAGUGGAUAUCCUUCUUCACCCGUAAAGCUACUUUCCUCAGUUUGACCAUUUUGAGGUAAGAGGAAGUGACCCAUUAGCCGUGCAUGAAUGAUCUAUAUUCUAUACUGCGCUUCACUUUUUAUUUUUCUUUUUUCCCAGGGUCGGCUUUGGAUAUACAAAGCUAGCUGCAGACGCAACACCACCUAGCAAUGACCAUCCACAUUACGCUAAAAGCAAAUUCCCUUUGGCCUCUGGCUCAACAUUCAAGGGUCCAAACAAAUCACCCGCUCCAUUCCUGAGGACCCAGCCCCACCUACCUAUUAUCUUUCUCCCCUCUUUAGAAAUAUGAGAUUGACAUGUUAAAGCUGUUCAAGCAAGCAGCAAAACCAUCUCCAUCCCCCUUAAAAGAGAGAUUCUUUGCAUUGUCCCCCACAUUUCUAACUUUUAAAUAUUCCCUCUUCGUGCCAUGGAUUGAUUCUCCACAUAUAGGAACACUUACACCCUGUCCAUCUCAUACAACCCACUGCUUUUCGUUUCUUUCUUCUUCGGUGAUGGUUCCAGAAUUGGAGGUAUACCAGAAAAUCGCCAAGCCACACAUGCAAACAUACGAAUUAUAUUCUGGUUUAAUGUUCAGCGGUACAGAUUCUAGGCAUCUCAAUACUUUCUUCUUACUAGCUCUCUUCUUGUUUUUGGCGAAAUGCAGAAACCUCGAGUCACUGAGAUACAGGUCCGGAUGGACUGCAAUGGAUGCGUACAGAAGAUCAAGAAAGCUCUACUUGGUAUCAGUGGUAAGUGAUCUGCAUUAGUCUUUUAUCGUUUGUCUCUUCAAUCAUUUUUAAAAAUGGUUUACUGCAUUUUUGCAGGUGUAUAUGAGCUCUACAUUGACUUCCCUCAGCAAAAGAUAACUAUAAUUGGGUGUGCUGAUCCUGAGAAAAUAGUCAAAGCCAUAAAAAAGACAAGAAAGACUGCCAUCAUUUGUUCCCACACAGAACCACAAGCUCAGCCAUCAGACCCAGACAACCAAGGAGAGGCAGCACCCCAGGAGUCCGCCAACCCUCCCCAACAAGAGUCUGCUACCCCUCCUCCAUCAGAAGGGCCACCAACUGAAGAGGCAUCACCAGCAGAGGCACCACCAGCAGAGGCACCAAAAGAUCCACCGCCACCAGCAGAAAGUCCAAAACCAGAUGCUGCAGAGGCUCCAGCGAGCAAGCCAGUUCAAUCCUCAGGACCAAAAGAUGUUGAAGAGGUUCAUGUAAUUUACCACCAUCCACCAGACUUUGGCUAUAGAUACGGGUACAAUCCCAGCAUGAGUAGUCCAAAUAUGGGGCAAGGAUACAUUAGUGGGUACUGGCAUUCUUAUCCCACCGGUCCAGUAUUUAGGCCCGAGCCACUGGCACCUGUACCUGCACCCCCACCCCCACCCACUUAUGUAACUCACAGCUACAACACACACAGGGCAUCACCUUACGUCACUGGAUAUGAGUAUACAAGGCCUCCACCACAAUAUUCACAUUAUACAAGGCCAGAGAGCUAUCAACAACCACAGUACAGUGUGCACUAUAGCAGGCCGGCUGAGAGCUAUCCGCUGCCACCACAGUACACACAUUAUAGCAGGCCAGAGCGCUACAGGGAGGACUAUCAUUACGGUAACAAUGGAAAUGGAAAUAUUACUUCAGUUUUCAGUGAUGAAAAUCCAAAUGCAUGUAGAAUAGUCUAGAAGGCACAGCAACGUCUUCACGCAAAGCAGACGCAUUCUAUGAGAGAGACGUAACUCAUCAAUGGAGCACAAUUAGUCUAGAAAACUACGCACUGCUCAUAAUAAAACUUCUAAGAUGAGCGUAUGUGGGAAUAUUGAAGGAAAUCAGAUUCUUAGCUUGUAAGAGCAGGAAGAAUAUAUCCCAUAUUCCACUUUUGACAGACGUCUAAUGCAAAGAACCAGCAUUUAUUCCUGUGAAAUUAUCAAAUCUAUAUUGGUUUCCAUAUCCUUUAGUUUUGGGAUAAAUUUCUAUUUCAGUUAUUGUGCAAUCUAAAUAUUAUCUUGGCUUGAAAACCUGUCAAAAAGGAAGAAAUCAAGCUCAAAAGUCAUAUUAGGUUACAGCCCCUAGAUCACUGACGAACCGAACCAAACAUGAAGUAUGAAACCAUCGUAAUUGAUCAGCACUAAAACUGAUUUUCUAUCCUUUAAACGGCAAAUCGUGAAAGUUAACAAUUUCUGCGUAGCGCAUGACAAUCAUACACGAGAGAGAAAAAGCACAGAAAUAGUACCUAAGUCCUAAGAAACCUUCCAGCAGUAGAUUCUAGCUUUGAAAACAACUCAAACACUCCAAAGCCAUUAUGUUAGGCUCUCUUUUUACUGAUUUACUAAUUUAUUGUCUUAAUUACUAAUUUGCAAUUGAUUAUUUAAAAAAGUUAAAUAAUCAAUUGCAAUAGCUAUUUUCAUUUAUUUUUUGAUGAAACACCAUGCUCAUUAUUUACAGACGAAUUCUCCUCCCUGCAUUUAGAAAAGCUGCUACAUAUCUAAAACUUUUCAUUUAGCUUAAACAAGAAAAGAAAAUCAACAAAGAUCCACACAAGAAAGACAAUUAGCAAAGGCAUACAUUAAAAAUAAGUGCAAUAUACCAAAACUUGCAUUUCAGAAGUUAAACAAAUUAAACAUAUAUAUCAUCAUGGGGCAUCUAGAAAUAAGACCAAUAAAAAAGAACUAACUCAACUACAAACCCUUUAUCGUGAAUUUACAAAUUCAUUGUCAAAAAAAAAAAGAAGGGAAAAAAGAGAAUAUUUUGCCUCAUCAGCGAAAUAGCUGUAUAGUUGGACAAAAUUGUCAGGCUGUAGCAUGGGUACACAAAAUCGGUCCAAACCGUGCAAUACCUCCAUAAAGAUCUGCACACUUGCCAAAAGAUGCUCAGAAGUCAAAACAUAUGUAACCUAGCAGAGAAGGGCAGGACCUUGGAAAUUGUGAACUUCAAGGAAGAUGUUAUGAAUAAGCUGUUAAAACUCAAAUUAGAUGCCACCAAGACUGCAAAUCAGCAUCAUAGGACCAGAACUCGAGAAAUUGGCUUGGAGAGCCUCACAGAGGCAGAUAAAUAAUUGAAAGUCCUGCGAGAUUUAACAUAUCAGAGUAUCAGUUCCUAGCUUUAAAGAGGUAGAUAAGCUGGCAAAACAGUUUCUUAGUGAACCUAGAACUCGUCUAUCUAUCAUAACUAUGCCAAUCAUAAACAUGUUAAUGCACUAUCAGUUGUACCAAUGUGCACAAGAGUAACAAAGCAUUUGUCAACCAAUAAUAGACCAUUUCAACUACCAUAGAAAAGGAUUUCCAUUCCCAGAUGCAGCACCAUAGAUUAAUCAAUGCAACAUCAUUAAAGCAUGACAUGUUCAGGAUAGAACACCUCCAUUCCCAAUUCAUUUAGUACUGUAACAUACUAAACUUGGUAGUGCUAAACCAUAGCUUGAUAACCUUACCUCUACUUUUGAAAGACACUUAUUCAUCACUAUCACUAUCUAUUUGGGAAUCUUCAUCUACACCAUAAAGAACUUCAUCUACAUUGUCAUCUUCACUUUCAUCCAAUUCCUCAUCAUGUAUUAAAGUAGGUUCAUUGCUUUUGGUAGCCUUGUCAAUCUGUUAGAAAGUGUUAAGGAAAAUUGAAAAACAAUUUACACAUAUAAUAGAAAGAAAACUAGUUUAAGGAACUUUUGAAGCACAAAACCUGUGCCAUCACAAGCUGAAAACGGCCAGAUAAUUGCAAUAAUGACGGGAUGGCUGUUUCUUUGGAUUUGCACAGCUGAAAUUAAAAAAGGCCUAAGAGUUACAUAUUAGAAACAAUUAAAUCAUAAAAAUGUAUGCAUAUCACGAUACCAAGCAUUUAGAUUGAUCCCAGGUGCUACAAAAUGCAUAUGAUUCACGCAUGAGCAUAUAAUCAUUCACUGCUAAUGUUCACUCGAGACUCCAUGUGAAAACCAAUCAAAUUUCAACUUCCCAAAAAACCAAAAAAGACUUAAGGGUUAAAUUCGCCGAAGUGUAAAUGAAACAAGAAAAAUUUCCAUCACUUAAGGCACAACUUUUGCAGGCAGAGAACAAUUAGACAAUCAAACUCAUCAGCACUAGCGUUUCUUAUCAUUGUGUUAACUAAUCAUUGAUCCAAAGAUGUAUUAUUACAGCUAAUAUGCGCAAAGAUACCAUUAAUAUCCAUGUGCAUUGCCUGGAAGACUUAUCUGCGAAUGGCCCAUCAUUCUGUCGCACAAUGCUACCAAAACACAUGCAUAUUGCCCAGCAGCACAAUUUCAUGGAACAACAAAGUUGUCUCCAAGGAGAAGGAAGAACUACUAAUAAUCAAUGAAGAUAAUUAAUUAAGUAGCUGAAGAUAGCUUGAAGAUAGAUAAAAGAUAAUCAAGGAUAUCGGAGACUCGAAGUGUGCCUGUGAGGUUACUAGAUUCUCUUCAGAAUCCACAUUCCAAUGCAUAGUGCAUACAACAUCCAGAAAGCAAAAUUUACAAGCCUUCAAUUAUCAAAAUGACCUAUUCUUCUCUAGAAUAAUCAUUCGUUGCACUUGGUUUUUCAGUUAAAAAAAAAAACCACUUCUUCAGCCUAGGAUGCUCAACAAUGAUGUAGAGCAUGAGAGGUAAAAAAAAAUUAACAGAACUACAUAUAGAUGGAUUCUUUCAGCGACUGCAUCAUAUUUAACCAAAAUCAAUCAUAAAAGAGGGGAAAAUCCAAAAGAAUGCCCUGUAGGUGAAAAAACUAAAUAAAGAAACAUUUAUCCAACCUUGUACAAAGACUCAAGAAGUUGAGUCUUUGGCUCCUGAGAUACCACGUACUUAAUGUGACUCAACAAUAUACAGUGUAUCCAUGGAAGCACGUAUCUUCCAAAGCAUGAUCUGUUUGAAGAAAAAUCAACACUAAUUAAAUGUAAAUCAUAUGAUAUGAUACUAACCAGUGACGAAGACACAUUAUCACAUUUCAAAGAGUCAUGCUCCAUGCCAAAUCACAGUUUUCUUUUUAAUAAAACUGAUAACUUGCACCGCGGUGAGAGUUCCAUAUCAUUAGACUAAUAGCAUAUUGUGAAUUGACAGUAGUACCACAUUUAUUCUCACAAAAAUCAUUUAAAACUGGACAUUAAGGAAAAAGAAGCUGACCUGGAUUGCCAUGCAGCCACCAAGACCUUGAGCAAGUCGUAUGCUUCACUAGCUCCAAGAGAUACAACGUUUGCUUUCAUCUGGGGUAUUUCUUCUGUCAUCAGCAAGCCAUUUAUUUGCAAAAAGCAACAUGGAAAACAAAAGGAGUUACUUCUCUUCCUCCACAGAGGACAAACAUACCUUCCUUGGGGGUGUGCUCGCUGCAAGAUUUAUGUCCUUUAAGAUGCCAGAAUCGCUCAUGGAGCUAGAUGUGAGGCCAUCUCUAUCGUUAACGAUCCCUAAGGAUCUCAGUCGAUCUUCCAUGGAGAAUGUAGCUUGGUCAACAUUCAAUUUACACACAGCAUCUGCAAAACCCCACAAUAAUGUUUAAGGGCCAAAACAUGCCAUCCUAUCUUUGCAACCCAGCAACCAAGUGAGGGAAAAAAGACAUGAUAUCAAAACUUGAGCUAAAAAUUCCAGAUAUCAACCAGUUUAACUGGACUGCUAUUAGAAUAAUUCAGUACUAAUUAUAAUGUUAAGAAAGAAACGCUGGGUAACAUAUGGAGAAUAUUCCUUACUAAAGGUCUAAAGAAAGAAAGCAAAAGUUGUUGCAUGAAGUCAAUUGCAGACCAUGAAUGUUAUGGACAAUUAAAUUUUCAGUACUUGAAGCCAUGCACCCAAAUAAAAAAAAACAGACACGAGAGAGAACCCAACACAGUAGAGAGAAUAUAUAGUCCUUUAGUGAUUGAUUAUUAAAAGCCAAGCAAGCAGAAGAGGUCUGCUCCCCUCCCCAGACACCUAGAUAGAAGUUAAAAGACAGAAUCCAUAUACAUCAAUUCUCAAGUAGAAUCGAUCAACAUACCUCUACUCACCACAGGCUUAACUCUGUCAUUCUUAUCAACCAGGUUAAAUAUCUUAGGCAUUGGAAGUAAGGCAUCUUCAGCACUUGCACGAUCCAAAGCAGUAACUGUUUACCAUCAGAAGAAUGAUAAUCAAUGCAAAGGAAACAUCUAUAGAUUCUAUACAUGUAGAUAUCUGCAAAUAACAAAGAAGUUAGUAUAAAUGAUAUACUGGAGAAUCCAUGCUUGCCUCAUAUUCUCUCAAAAUAAUGACAAAUUGAGUCUAUAAUUAUUUCAACAAAUCAUGAGGUCACUGGGUAAAAUGAUAAUCUUGGGAGCUAAUUACUCAUUUCAACCAACUUAAUGAUCUUUAUGCCCAUCCAAACAACAAAAUAAUUCUAUUACCAAUCAGAUAAUGAGAUGUAAUAAUUGUUAAUAAUCAAAACUGAUGAUAAACCAAUUGGGCCAGUCAUGCAGAACAGUCAAAGAAAUAGCCAAUAAUGCCAAAAGUAUUCAGCUAAGCAUCAUAUUUUACAUGUACACAAAUUGUGUUUGAAUCAGUGGCAAUAUAUUGAAUGUUUUGAUGCAUUUUGAAUUCUGAGGCAUGAAAAAGUAAUCAUGUAUGGUGGCAACUGAAUGUGUAGGAAGCACCCACACAGAAGACGACACCCAAAAAAAAUAAAAAAUGAAGCAUCCAAUGCAAUAUAAGUUGCACGAACCAUGCAGUCAACCAAGUCAUCUAGCAAUUUCAUAAAAAAUCAGAUUAUCAAUCGAUAGCUCAUGAAUGCAAAACAGAUUCACAGACCAUUCAUUUAGCAGAUUCUGAUUUAAUUAGACAUGAAGUAAAAACAUAAUUUGACAUUUCGUGACAUUUAGGGAUGUUUAUAGUCAUAGUAAUCUCAAACAACUGAAUCUAGCUUCGGAUCACGGUCAAUAAAAGCAAAUAAUGAAAAUCCAAGAUGCUCACAGCAAUUUUCUGCACCUAUAUAGAGAAUAACCACCCUUACUUUGAUUGUGAUUGUCAGUUGCUUUCUUAGAUUUGUGUGAUUGACUGAUUGGUAGAAGAAAUCCAUCAAGUGAACUGCUUAACUUUACGUCUGUCCCAGGUUGCACCAAAAUUUUUUCAAACAAAGGCUUCACUAACGAACCAUAUGCGAUAAAAACAUGACCAAAGCCAGGUUUGGCAACACUUUGUAGCUUUGCAGCAAACAUAUUAGGCAGUGCUCCCUUGUGCUUCUUUGGUAAUGUGUCAUCAUAAGACAUGAUGAUUUUUGUGGGCUUCAAAUUAUGCAAUUCCUUUACACUAUUCCCAUACCAGAAGUAGCAUACACCCAUUUCUGAAAUGGCCAAAAUACACAGGCCUGCAUCAUCUGAAUCGCUAGUAGCAAUGGUCCUGCAUUCCAAAAAGACAGCAGGAUGGUCCAUUGAGAGAAAACAGCAUGCUGCUUUCUUUUUACCCCCGUCUAUCCUCCAAAUUGCAACAUAUCGUUCACCCACAGCAGAAGAAAGGACAUAUUUUCCAUCAUCAGAAAAGACCAUACAGCGGACAGCCCCCUGUUAAGAAGCAAUAAGAGAAUACUGUGUAUUAACUGACACAAUACCAUACAAAUGCACAAACUAUUUCCUAUAAAUAAAACGAAAGAAUAAAGAAAAUUUCAGAAAAAGUAAGUUGCAUAACAACUCACAGGAUGGCCUGAAAAUUUCUGUAGCUUUCUGUGAUCUGAAGAACUAAAAAUCUUCAACUGUGCUGCAGCAGUAGCUAAUAUCUUCCCAUCUGAAUCAUUGAACAAAAAGUCGAAAACAGUGAUUAGCUCAAAGAAACAAAUUCAAAACGCAAAACUCACAUUUGCAACAUUCCUAUAGACACUUGAGCUAAUGAAAGGGAAACACAGAUUAUUGAAUUCAUGAAAACAGGAAUCAACCAAGCCAAGUAUGACAAGAUCGUCUGGAACUUCUAAAAAAAAUUCAUUCAGGGUAAACCAUCCAAUCAACUAUAAUGGCUAUAAUACUACUUGUGCUCCUCAGAGGGACAUUUUUGAGGAUUGGAGCCCAUCGUAAACACACCCUAAAAUCAUUUUCACAUUUUUUGACAUUCUCUUAAUGUUGCUAAUUUAGUGAAAUCCUUAGAAAUAAGCUGAAGAAAAUCCAUAGAGUGGACAUAGAAGCUGUGCAGAAAACCCAUUACACCAAUGAACUAACUACAAAUAAGGCCUUCAUUACACGACUUGCCAUUGAAUAUACUUAAAUAAAGUUGCUUCACUACCUUCUUCGUUACCUUCAUUUAGUAAACUAAAUGUAACUUGGUACUUUCUCACUAGAAAACUUGUUUCCAGACAAGAAUUACUUUUGACAAACAGGAGAUGUUACAGCAAGAAAUUGCAAAAAUAUCACCCCCAAGUUUAGCGAGAGAGAUCAUUAUAGGAAGCUUAAACUGCUAUUUGACGAUCAAUCAAAAUAACCAAUCAUCCUUAUGAAGACACUAGAUGUUUUCAUAACACCAAACUUAAUCUAAAUUGCUUUAAAGAAGACCUUAUGUUGGAUUCUCAACCAAAAAGAAGCACCUUUAGGAAUCCUACCAAAGCGCGCACAGCUGAAAUCAUCUCCAGGAUUUAGACUUAUAUGACAUCAAUGAAAGUAUAUUAUACCAUUGUUUGAAUUUGGAUCCAAAACAAUGAAUUUUUGACAUUAUAACUUGCUUGAAAGGACUAGAUCUAACACUACCAGUAAAACUAUCCUAAAUUCUCCAGAUCCAUCAACUUAAGCAGGAUUUUCACGAGGCAAAGGAAAUAUCUGCAUUACUUAUUGAAAUCAUAUAAGCAUUCAAACCUGAUGACAUAGAGAUUGAUGAUAUUGACUUUGUAGAAGCUCUGAACUUGUUUGAUAAAUUUCCUGACAUGGAGUCAAGUUCACAAACCAUUCCAUCAGCACCAGCAGUGCAAAUGCAUGAACCAUGUGGCGCGAAUGAAAUUGCACUGACUCCUCUGCACAUAUAUAAUUCAAAAGAGAAGCUUAGAAUACUUAAUCAUGCAAUCUAUCUUAUGUAGUCUAUCUUAUGUAGUUCACUUAUUUUGUACAGUUUUGAAUCAUAAUAAUUAGAAUAAAGAUGAAACUAGAUAUAAUAAAUAAGAGAAACUUGCUUCUGGUUUACUUAUGUUAUUCCAAGAAAUCAGCGAAAUCCUACAUGCAUUAAUUGGACUUGAAGGCAAGAUACAUUAUUUUGCACUAGAUUCCUGACCGUGAAAGUCUACAAACAAUCGUUUCAUUUACAUAUCCAUAAUCUAUUUGAGGCCAAGCAAUAACUGAAUAAUCAAUCAGUUAUAAACAGAACACCAUAAAAACUCUGGACAAUUUUACGUAGAAAUAGUCUCCAAUUGAAAGUAAGUACAUCAACAGAAAGCCUCAUGCAAAAAAUGAAAUAAGAAGGCAAGAUAAAACAAAUACAUCAGAAAAAUCACACAAUAGAAAGAUUCCAGCAACUUACCCAGGAUGACAAUCAUUGACUCUCCAUUUUAACUGGCCGGCAGCUACAUCUAAUGCCAAUACAUCACCACUGCCUGUUCCUAGCACCAAUAACGAAGUACCAAGUUUCCUUUUCUUCUGAAAACAAGAUGAAGAAACAGACAAACAUGUAGCAAUUCACCAAAUUUGCGCAUUGAAAUUAUACAAUCAAAACAAACUACAUCUUCAAUUGUUUGACAGAAAAUUUACCUUCUUGUCCAAGGACAACCACGCCAUACACUUAUAGUCCACAGAAAGGUGACCACCACUUUCUGGCUUACUAAAAAACUCAUUUCUUGUUUCACUUGAGAUGAUAUCUGCAAACUCAGUUUGCACCUGACCCUUCACUGUGUCCCAUAUCUAAUAGCAAGCACAAAAAGAAACCUCACGAAUCACCAUUAAUCCCAAUGGAAAACAUAAGUUAAUACACUGUUACAAUUGGUAAAACUACAUCAUUCAGACUCUUUUGUCUCCUAUGACUUUCAGCACCAAGUGUUAGUUUGGGGAGCUACAGUCAAUCAAGUUUUUUCAGGAUGGAGCAGUUAGAAUAUCAAGCGUGAUACAAGCUGGAAAAUGAGCUAUAGCAAUUGGCAAAAUACUGUCUAAGCACUCCACCAAAAAUUGUUUUAACGUAUUAAUUCAUCCCUAUAUAAGCAGCAUCUCCAGUUUUUAAAGUACAUUACAUACUGUGUCUCAAAUUGGCAAUGGCAGUGAAAACCAUCUACAAGCAAGGAUGCACCAACAUAUGAAUAAUGACAAGGCUGCAGGACCAUGUUUGAGGGACAAAUUUUAAGCUAAAACUUUGCUAAUGUUGUUUUCCUAAUUAAAUUCUACUUACAACCUGAGAAAAAUAUUCUUCCAGCUUCCAAGAAUGACACUUUAUGUUAGUUUCAGCUAGAAUAAAGUGAAGAGCAAAUAGACAUAAAAAGGAAAGGAAAGUAAAAAAGGACAAAGAGGCAAAGAUAAGCCAAAGGGUACCUUAAUUCGCCCAUCACCAGUAGUAAUAGCAAAGAAGUCCAAAGAAGGACUAAAUGAAGUCAAUAUAUCUCUUAUAUUGGAUGACUCCAUGUCCAAAAAUUUCACCUAAAAAAAGAAACAAAAAUUGAAGUAGGACAAUCAAGUCAGGAAAGGAACGUAAUUGAAAGAUAUCAUCCUUACCUUUAGCAUUAAAAAUAAUUCUCAACACAAAAAAGACAACAAAACAAAUACUAUCGAAUCGAACAGAUCCAAUAAAACCUAAAACCGAGCAAUCAUCUAAGAUCAGCAGCAGCAGGAUUCAUUCCGAACAAAAAUUUAACCACGGAAACCUGAUCAAUUUAUGCUAGCAUCAGGCAGACAUGAACAAUUGAAUACAACUAAGAAAACAACACACUACUGAUUUAACAAAAUUAACUCAAUGGUCAGAAGAAAAAAAAACUUAAAAAAAUCCAAACUUAAUCGCAACGGGUCUAGAAAAAACCUUAUCAAAACCGAACUUAAAUCCCACCCAACAGAUCUAGAAAACCCUAGCCAGUUAGGACUGCAAGCUAUCGUCCAACCAACGGGAAAUCACAUGGAAUCAGAAAAGAAAAACAAUUGCACAAAAAAAGUAGAGCACCUUCUAGAUCCGACUAGGACUGCAAACGAGCCGAGUCGAGUCGAGUUUUGGACUUAUCAAGCCGAGGUCGAUUUAAAAAUAGGUGAGCUCGAGUUCGAGCUUGAACUCAACGAGCCUAUAGAAUUGAGCUCGAGCUCGGCUCGACUAAAAAAGCUAGGCUCGAGCUCAACUUGAUAAGGCUCACAAGUUGAAGCUUGAAUUCUGGCUCGCAAGCAGCUCGAAUUGUGAGCUCGAAUAAUAGGUUGCAGCACAAUAAUGACAUUUCAGAUACAUAUUGGGGAUGAAAUCGCCCUUGACUUUUUGAUAGUAAUUAAAAACAAAUAUUUAUAACAUGAGAAGUUCAGAACUUGAAUGGAAUGUUUAUCAUGCAAUUCAGUCAUUAUGAUUUUUCAGAUUGCAACAAAAUCAAGCAAAGGAACUACAAUAAAACAAGAAAAUUUUGUCCUUUAUUAAUUAGAGCUCUUUAACGAGCUGACGCCUACAAUUUUGUUAAAUACGCCUACAAACCUUGCAUAAGAUUAGCCACAAUAAAUCAGCCUAAUAAAUCAGCCUAAAUCAGCCUAAGAUUAGACACAACAAAUUUGUUAAAUACGGUUAGCACUAAUAAAUCAGCCUUGCAUAAGAUUAGACACAAACAGCAGAAAUCUGGUUUUGGAUUAUUUUGCCUCAAACAUUUUUCUCUAAAAUAAAUAAAUGGGAAGUGAAACGGACUUACAAUGUGGCAAAGAAGAAAAGGAUUCUUCUGGGUCAAUAGUCCAAGUCUCCAAGAGGAAGAAUGUCGGACCGCCGAUGCUGCUUAGCUGCUACUACUUCUAAUGUAAAGGAAGCUGACAAACGGGAGAAAGGUUAGGGGCUUAGGGCUAUGAAGUGUGGGCUGGCGGUGGCGGUGGCGGUGGCUGUGGUUUGUGUGAGAAAUUGUGAAGGAAAGACGGAAAGAGAGACACGGAACUUAGGGGUUUAGGGCUAUGAAGUGUGGGCUGGCGGUGGCGGUGGCGGUGGCUAGGGUUUGUGUGAGAAAUUGUGAAGGAAAGAUGGAAAGAGAGAUACGGGAGGAAGCAAUUAGAAAUGGAACGCAACCUCUGGAAAUGAAUCGUUUGAUGAAUUCUAACUUAGUAAUUAGUUAUAAAAAUAGGGGCAUUUUUUUAAUUUCACAAGACUAGUCAAGCGGCUCGACGAGCUAACAAACUUAAGUUAAAAUAGCUCGAGUUCGACUCGCUUUAUAAAUGAGUCGCUUGAGUUCAAGUUUGAUCGAAUUCGAGUUGAACUUUGACUCGCGAGUGACUCAGUUCAUUUGCAAUUCUACAUUAGACUGAAAAAAAAAAACACGUAGGAAAUCCAGCAUAAUCUAUUUGAGAGAGAAAAAUGAAGGAAAUCUUCUUCUCGUCGAACAAAGUUCAACAACCGAAAAUGAGCAAAGGCGGAUGAUGAUAAAGCGGCGGCUACAAGGAAGACGGAGAAUGAUAGAAGCAAUCCCGUUUGAAUUGCUAUUUUUUUGAAGUUUUUGUGAAAAGAAAAUACUAGAAAUUUUCUGGUUGUGCCAAUGCCCAAUUUGUUGUGUAAAAAAUAUUGAAAAUUUCCCUAUAACUCUUAUUUUUUAAUUUAAUAGAGUAUGAAAGAUCUUAAUUGGUCAUGUUGAGAAACCAUGUCCAUGUGGAAACUAUUAUAGCAGUAGGGUAAUUAAAGCAAUGUCCAUGUCCACGUGCAAAACCAGAGAAACUAAUAUAACAAGGAAACUGCAAAAUAAUUGAAAAUUGAGGUAUGUUAAAAGUCUUUGUCCCCUUAAAUUAGGAUCCGUCCAUUGAACAAUCCCCUCUCAAUGAACCAAAGUAUGGAACUCAAAAGUGCUUAUCUGUGCUAAGAAUUAAUCAGUGCAUGACCAAUUCCUAAAAUCAAAAUUUAAGCAAAAACCAAAUUAUAUCAAACAAAUCAUGAUUUGAGUGCAGAUUCUAUUUGUUGAGCCCCAAAACAUGUGGAAAAUUAGAACCAAGACAGCAAAAGUCAGGGAAAUACUCUUUAACUGGUCAUUAGUUCUAACAAUGAUAGUCACUAAUAUGAUAAUGCAAUAAAAGUAAAAAACAAUCGAUGAAAUUAAUGUUUCUAGGUCUACCAAAGUAUUGUUUCCAAUGGAAUUUAAAGACAGUUCGAGUCAUUGCAAGACAUUAAAGGAUCAUUCAACAUAUAAACACAAAAGCAAAAGUAAAAUCAUUUUUGUUUAGGACCAAAUGGUAAGCUAAAUAACAUCUCUCAAAUCAUCUAAUACUUCGGCUUCAAAUCCUCUGUCCCCAAAAUAGUCUAUGUUCCCUGUGUUCCUUAUUUGUACAACUGCCACGUGUCCCUAGUCUUUUGUUAACCCAAACUCAAAUAAAUUGAUAAUAAUCGGUUUACAAGUUUUGUUAACCCAAACUCAAACAAACUGAUAAUUCAAAACUUUUUUUUAUUUUCUUUUUAACAAAAAAGAGUCUUGUUAAUCAUAAUCUUUAACAAACAAGUUUAGCUCUUUCUAAUUUUUUUACAUCUCAUAAUUAUGUAAAUGCGAUGAUUUAAAAUUAAUUACUCAAUAGUUUUGAGUUAUCUGUAAAAUCAACCUUUGAGUAAAUCUGUCAAUCGACUGUUAUCGAUUUGUUUGAGUUUGGAUUAACAAAAUUUGUAAACCAAUUAUUAUCGAUUUUAUUUGAGUUUGGGUUAACAAAAAACUAGGGACACGUGGCAGCUGUAUAAAUAAGGGACAUGGGGAAUCGAGACUAUUUUGGGAACAGAGGAUUUGAAGCCACUCACCAAAUGUUUAUUUGCCUUCUUGAGCUUGCAUUAAGGUGGAGAAAUAAUUUUUAAGGAGAAAUGACCAAUUCAAACAAACUUAUCGGACCCAAAACAUCUAAAGCCAUAUCUUUUUUUUUUUUGUCACUCGUCAUCAUCUAAAUCUACACCUACUCUUAAUUCUAAUCUAGCCUAUACUAGAGGAGGAACCCAACAGGGUCACGAAAAAUCGACAGGGACUAAACCACCGUCUAAAGUAGGGCUGCAAAUGAGCCGAACCGAGUCGAGUUUUGACCUAAUCGAGUCGAGUCUCUACUAAAUUUUACCAAGUUCGAGCUCGACGAGCUGACAAUUUUCGAGCUCGAGCUCGACUCGAAUCAAGUCGAGCCGAACUCGAGAUCGAGCUCGAAAAAAUAAAAAAUAAUUAUUUUAUUUUUUAAAAAAUAAAUAAAAUAAUAUUUUUUUGAAUAAAUAAUAAAAUAUUAAGGAUAUAUACGUAAUUUCACUAUAAAAAUAAAAAAUAUAUAUAAUAUACGUAAUUUUAUUAUUAAAUAAAAAAAAAUAUAUAUAUAUAUAUAUAUAUAUACUCAAGCUCGCGAGCCUAACGAGUUUAAUAUUUUGAGCUCAAGUUUUACUCGAGUCGGUUCGAGCUCGACUCGAGCUUGACUCGCGAGCGGCUCGAUUCGUUUUUAGCCAUAGUCUAAAGCCAUAUCAAUAUGGUAUUUAGCAACACAAAAAGACCAUUUACAAGUGCUCUUCAAUGAGCAAUCAUGUAUCAAGCGCUCUUUGGAAGUUUCCUAGGGGUCACGUUCACCGAUGCUCUCUUGAUAACCUCAAUUCCAAAUAGACAGACAUCCUAAUCGAAAACAACACAGAGAAUAGAUUAAGAAUAUGAAUCAAAAGCAUGAAGACAUUGGAUAAAUGCCACAUUGAAUUUUAUACAGACGACAAGGCUAAAAAUUUACCUUUAUAUAUACUGAUUUUUUCUCUUUUUAAAGUUGCAGACCAUAGGGCCUAGGACUUUAGAAAAUGAACCAGUUGACGGUCCCGAUUGUCAACUCACUCCUUGCAAAAAGUUGAGCAAUAACUGUAUUAAUAUGUACUCAACUUUAGUGAUAAACAUAUUUUAAAUCCACAUCAUCACUUUGAAAUGGUGCAAAAACAUGUUAAUUAGUACUUUAUUUUAAGUUUUAAAUCACAUGCUUAUUAUACCAAAAACGAAGAAAAUUUGUAAACCUUUAAGCAUAAGUUAUACUAUGACAUAGUAUAGUGCCAUUAAUCUGUCAUUACUUGUAAAUAACUUUUUACCAACAACGAAAAAGGAAAAUGCUGCAAUCAUUUUUAAUUAGAGAUCUUUAAGAAAUUUGAGAGCUGACAACAAUCAUAAACACUAGCAAGUAAUACCUUUUUUAAAUAUUAAAUAUUUUAUGAUGUGAUGUAUGUGAAAUAAAAAGGUGAUUGGAAAGAUAAAAGGGUGUGUUAGAAAUUGUGUUGUCAUACAUGCAAAUAAUUUUUGGCCAAAUAUUUGAUACACUUUUUCUUUUCUUCUUUUUUUUAGUUUCUUUUAUUACAUGAAAAAGGUAACAAAAGUUAAAAACAAAUUAACUUGUUUUAAUUUGUCUUUCAUAAACAUUCAGAGAAAAAGCAAACAAAACAACUUUCAAUGAUUUGCUAUAAAAAUCAUUUAAGCAACACAGAUUGCACCGGUGGGUUGGGCUGUGGUGACAAUAACAACGAAAUAUUUGCAUCGAAGAUGUUGGCCCAAGCCUAUAUCUAAGCCCAACUUAUUGCCAGGAAAAUCAAUUCAACUAUAAACCCUCUCUCGCAAAAACCCCAUCGUGCGGAAAGCUUCGACCUGAGACUGCACAAUCACACAGAGCUUCAGAAAUGGCAGCGAAGCCCCUAAAAAGCAACGAUUCAAAGAAGAGAAAGAGAAUUGCUGGACCCAAAGGAGAGGAAAGAAAAUCCAAUCCCAAGAGAUUGAAAUCACCUUCUACCAAUAAUUCUCAGUCGGGGUCCAAGAAACCAUUCAAAGCAUCCAAACGACCACCAUCUAAGCAGCAUGGAGCUAAGCCUCCGACACAGAAGCACGUACCAGAUACCAAAAAACAACGUCGUUUGCUAGCAAAGGUUUUUUUCUUUUUUCCUUUUUGGGGCACCCUUUUUGGUUUUUUGUCGUCCUUUGUUUUGUGGACUUUGCUAGCUGAUAGAAGGUGGUCUUUGGUGGAGGUAGAAAUUAAUCCAAUUUUUGGCUGUUGAUGAUUCAAAAUUUUUUUUUGGGUUUCAUAUUCAAGUUGGGAUUUCGAAGAAGUAAAUAAUCAAUUCUAUUGAAAAAGCCUUUAAACUUUUUUCUUGGGUAUUGUAUAUUUUGGUUAGGUAAAACUUGCAUUUUUAGUUCAAUCUUUUUUGGGUGCACGGACUUGAUGCAGGAAUUGGCUGAAGCAAGAAAGAAGAAGAGGAAGAAACACUAUACUCUGGAACAAGUAUGUUUUGUUGCUACUACUUUAGCUCAGUAAUCAUUGUUGACAUUUUAAUGAAAGGAUUCUUUGAUUCUUGGUAUUGAACAUGACUUGGGGAACUAUCAAGUACCCUGGAAUGCUCAGUGCCUUAGUAUUAUUUGAUAUCAAAUCUUCUGAUUUGGAAAAUUCGAUUGCUUUGGCAAACCAAUACUAGGCUUGGGUAAUGGCCAGUUCCUCAGGACCAGGUGGGAUAAAGCAUUGGCUGCAUAGGGAAAAGAAACUUACCAUCUUCAAUUCAGCUGUAACAUCAACAAUACACCCUAGCCACAAGCAAGAAAUUAAACUCUUGAGUGCAGUGGAAAUUGGGAAUAUUCAUUGUUAUUAUAUCUUUGGCUCUCUCUCUUCAUUUGUCUAUAUCAUCUUCGCUCUUCCAUUCUAAACUGACGCACAUAGUUUGUCUGUGAGGGUGUACAUUUUGAGGUGUUGAUUCAUUCUCUGAGUAGAAUGUUUCUUGGGUUUUUGCUUCUCUAGACUUUCAAUAUUCUGUUUUCGUUAUCCCAAAAAAUUUAUGAUUUAGCAUAUGCCUUUGGAUUCAAAGCUUUAAGUACAUGUAAUACAUACUUUUAAGCUAGAAACCUAGUCAUGGCUGAGUUUUAUCUGACAAUGCAACCAGACAGUAGCUGUCAAAUAUAGGAGUCCUGACAUCUAAGCAAUACUUGAAAUUCUUUCUUUGACAGGAGCUUUCAAUCCUGUGGGAGAAGAUGCGACGUCGAGAUAUUGCGAAAGAAGAUAGAUCCAAGUGUGUUAAUUUUACGAAAUUAGAAAAUUAAUUUGCUAUUUUGCUUUUGUCCAUUUUCCUUUAGAAACCCUUCUUCAUCCGUCAGGUAGUGGAAAAAAAGUCUUUACUUCUGUCAUUUUCAGCAGUCAAUAAUAAUGGUUAUCUUUUGCUUGCAUCCCUCUACACAUGCACAUAAAGAUUGGCAAGCGAAGCUCUAGGAAAAAUGAAGGGCAAGAUUCCUGAGAUCGCCAGUUCUCACGUUUCAUCUCGAGUUCUUCAGGUAACAAGCUGUUUAUGCUUCUCCUUUUUUCGGAGUUUAAACAUUCCGGAUUAUUGUGUGUUACAGCAUAAAUUGGUUUUGUCUCUUGACUAGACAUGUGUUAAGCACUGUUCACAAGAAGAAAAGAGUGCAGUGUUUAUGGAACUUCAGCCGCAUUUUAUUAGCCUAGCCACAAACACUUAUGCUGUUCAUCUGGUGACAAAGAUGUUAGAUAAUGGUAAGAUUAAGUUGCAUUUAUCCUAUUGCUUCUAACAAGAUGAUUCUUUAUGUUUGUGGUGGAUGAUUCAUAUAUCUUACGUUCUUUUGCAUAUUUUAUUAAGAAUUGCUUUAUGCUUGAUGUUUCAACCUUCAAAAUCAUGAAGUGCAUCAAAGCUUCUUUUUCCUUUUUUCUUACUCUGCUUUUUAUUUGGUUGUAGCAUCCAAAGACCAGCUGUCAGAGUUUAUUUCCUCACUGUACGGGCAUGUUGCGCCUCUGCUUCGACACAUGGUGGGCUCACUUGGUAGGAUCCAAUUCUUUUUUGGCACAUACAAUUGAUAUAUUGACUAGUUAAAACCAGUGAAAAUUUUGAAAUUGCAAUGGUAAUAUAAUUUAAUGUGAUUUUGGAGAUAAUUUGUGUGGUUCUACAUAAUCAGAAGGCUAAGAGGUGUUUGUCAUGCUUUUAAACAUGAUAUUUGAAGUGCAGCUUGCUGUGGUCCUUAGCUGAAUUUCAGAUGCAUGCCAGAUUUGAUUUUUUUUUUAUGCAAUAAAUGUUGAGGAUGAAGCAUUGACAUAUCUCCCUCAACUUGACAUGUAACAAUGGCAUUGAAGUAUUGAAAAUUCUGAUGUUCUGCUGCUUUAUUUUUUGCAGUUAUUGAACAUGCCUAUAAUGUGGGAAAUGCAAGUCAGAAACAAACUCUACUUAUGGAACUAUACUCUCCCGAACUGCAGUUAUUCAAAGAUCUUGUCUCUAUGAAGGAAACCAGGUAAAUAUUUUUGGCUUAGUAAUUCUAGCGAUUCAUGUUAUAAAUCCAUACAAAAAUACAUAGAUACUGAUAUGUUCCUUUUUUUAAUAUGAGCUGUUAUUCUUCUGAAAGUUUAUGAGAGAUGUUCUUUUAAGAGCUAAACUUUUCUAAGAUAGUGUGUGAAUAGUUUUCUUUUUCUUUUGUUAUGUAAGGAUAGGGAUUAAAUUCAAAAUUUUCAGUAAAGGAGUCAAGUUAAUUGCAUUGGAUGUUGUGAUUCUCCACGGUUUGUCCUGUCUUCUGGGGUUGCAAAAAUACCAGUUUUGCUCUUUUCUAAUUGAUUAUCUUGUUCUAAGAAUAGAUUUAAUGAGGCUAUUAAAUUAUAUAAUUGCUCCCAAAUUUGAAAAGAAUUUUAGUUCUAAUAGAGGCUUGUUUACUUUGAUGCCUUUCCUGUCAGAUUAGUUGAUGUAAUUUCCAAGCUACAGUUGCAAAGGUCUUCUGUUGUACGUCACAUGAGCUCAGUGCUUCAACCAAUUUUGGAGAAAGGAAUAUUAGACCACUCCAUUAUACACAGAACACUAAUGGAGUAUCUGACCAUUGCAGAUCAGGUAGUAUUUCCUACGUGAAUUGCUCUGUUGCUAGGUGACCUUGACUUUAAGAUUAACAACGGUUGUGUCUAUUUGUGAUCCUACAUAUCUAAAUCAAGAAUUUUAAAGUCAUCUGCUGCAGAUGUAAUUCAGCAGUUAUCAGGUCCACUUCUUGUUCGGAUGAUACACACUAGGGAUGGUUCCCGGGUUGGCAUACUAUGCAUCAAACAUGGAAGUGCAAAGGUUUGUUGAAAAAGUUUUGUUUUUGUUCAUCUUCUGUGGAAAACUCAAAAGUUCCCUGCUCUUUUUGUAUAGUCAUCUGUUGUUGAUCAAUCUACUUUUCGUUUUUGUUUUCUUUGAUGGUGUGUUUUAGGAGAGGAAGAAAAUCAUUAAAGGAAUGAAAGGUCAGUGUGACAAGAUUGCUCGUGACAGAUUUGGGAGUAUGGUGAGUAUGAUUUUAUUAUUGACUUGUCUUUCUUUUGUAGCUAUUUGCAUUUUUUGAGUUCAAGAACUCAGAAUCUCCUGGUUAUUUGUUUUUUGGUUUUCUGCAUUCAUUUUACACCAUAAUAGAUAGCAAGAAAUUUUAAUUGUCGAACACACAUUUCAUUAAUAGGCCAUUUGGUUGUGAACUUUACUGACUUCUCAGUGCAUUUACCCUACUUUCGUAUUGGAUAGUUGGAAGUAUAACGUGCUAAUACAAAUUUCAGGUUCUUGUCUCCAUUCUUUCAACAGUUGAUGACACGAAACUCUUAUCAAAGGUUGGUUCCAUAGCUAUUGGUUUCUAGCAACUAAGUUUUUUAUUAAGCAGUGAUGUUAGGUGGCAUCUUAGAAGUGCAUCCUGCAUUACAGAUCAUCAUUCGUGAGCUGGAGGGCAUUCUGAAGGAACUUGUUCUAGAUCAGGUUUGUAAUUUAAAGGACUUGUUAAACUUGUUAUAAUCUUCUGGUGCCCUCACUUCUCAGGCAGUUAAAAUCUAGCCCAAAUUUAGUUGAGUGUCAGCUUUCUUUCAUGUGUAAUAGAAGUAAAGGUUCAAUUACAAGAAAAUUGUCUCUAGAGGCAUUUGCAACUUGAGUAAUGACCUUCUGCAACAGUUUCAAUAAAGUUCUUCAUUAUUCUGGGUUUCUCUUGAUGCCAGAAUGAGUUGAUCUGCAAAACAGUUCAAGUAGUCUUAAUUGUCAUGUCUAUGCCCUAUUAGUUAUCUUCCCUAGUAAUUGAAAAAGUGAAUGGCUUUUUCUAAGACUUGGUGUCAAGCAUAAUCCAGUGACCUUGAAAUUUGAUUUAGAAGUCCUGAAUUUGUAGUAAAGGUCUUCUGUCUCAGCUUGAAUUGGAAAGAGCUAGCUGUCUUAGAACUAGAAUAUCAAUGUGCCUAGCAUGGCAACCACCACGUAUACUGAGUUGCUGCAAGACCCUAGUUAAAGUAAAAAGGAUUGCUUUGCCCUUAUUGAGAUGUGGAACAUUGUGGCUUAUUUGCUGUUAAUGAACAUUUGUUCAUUCCAGAUGUGAUUUGUGCACUCUCUUCUUGGCUGGAUUCCUGGUUAACCAAAGAUGUGAUUCUUCAACCCCUCCCUUUGUGUAAUUUCUUAUGCUUAGGCCUGCCUUUCUUUGGUCUAAAGUUGAGUUUUUUGAAACUUUAUUUCUUCCCUGCAUCAAUACCAGCAUUAAAUUAUUUCACAUUUUGGAUGAACAGUGUUGAUAAUGCUUUAGCUCAGACUACUUUCACCAGAUGCAUAAAUGUUUCUUCGUUCAUGGACUUUUAGAGAUCUGUAAAUCUUGAAUCCAACAGGUUUAUGUGAAAUAGCAUAUAUAUAACCUAAACAUACUUUUUGUUGUUUCAGAAUGGAAGGCGUUCGCUUCUGCAGUUACUUCAUCCAAAUUGUUCUCGCUAUUUAAGCCCAGAUGAUCUCAUGUCCUUAAGUUUGUCUAUCCCCUCUUUCAACACCAAGGUAACUAGCUUGAUCUUUUUGCUAGUUGAGAACUUUGCAACAUAUAAAUGCAUUAGUUGAACCUAGUGGAUGUAUUUUGGCUCUGUUUAUAUGAUAUUAUGGUAGCUCAUAAACAAGUUCUUUCUUGUCUCAGCAGAAAGAGUCUUCUGAGGUUAAUGAAGCAAGUGAUGAGGAGAAGAGAGACAAUGGUGAGAUCUUAGUUGAGGCAAAUACAGGUAAAAGUGCUGGGAAGAAUUCAGAUGUAAAUGAGGUUGCGAAGAAGGAUCCUUUAACACGAAGGAGAGAGUUGUUGAUCAAUAGCGGGCUUGCUGAGGUUUGUGUUUUUCUGUACUUUUAUCUAUGUUUUGAUCCCGUAGAUUUGUUUUUUUUUACUAUUAUUGGCCAAGGAUGAGGCAAACCUUGGGGCACUAGCAAGGCUGCUCCAAUUUUUUUCUUGGAGCUGACUGGGAAGAAGCAGAGAAUCUGUUUGCAAAUGCAAGGCUACAUUCUCCUAGCCUUCUUGAAACACUUUUGUGGCAAGAGGCUUCUGCACUAGGUUUACCAUUGAUAUAUAUGCAUUACAGUGGGCUUUGAAACUGAGCUGGCAUGACACUUCAUGAUUCUGCUGAUAUUCUAUAUUCUUAGCCUAUAUUUUUGUACUUCCCUCUUAAGAUUGUAUAGCCUUUAUGUGAUUUACCAAAUUCAGACUGUUUGAUUGUCUCACCGUAGACGCUUUGAUUCCUACCUUAUUUUUACUGAUGUUCCUUUUUCUUUAUUUCUUUCUUCUUUGUUUUUGGGGUUGCAGAAACUCAUUGAUGUAUGCAGUGAGAUGGCAGAAAAUUUGCUAAGGUCAAAAUUUGGCAAGGAAGUCAUCUAUGAGGUAGGUUUAUUGGUUUUAAUUGGAUCCACACUUAGUUGCAUGUUCCAGUUCAGUGGUGGGACCGAGAUUCUAUGUUUGGGGAGGUACCAUUCAGAAAUGACUAGAAAUAAAUUAUAGCGUUUCAGGGGAUAUUGCCAAUUAUCUAAUGACUUUUGAACUCACCAUUUUAGAAUUUUGUUGAAUUAAGGAACUUUAAAUUUAUAGGAAAGAUGUAAAUUCUGUUGUCCUCUUACGGCAGCGGAUAAGGUUCUUGUCCCUAAUCUGUGAAUUUACUACAGAAAUGUAACAUUUCUUAACGAGUCUAAGCAUACCCAGCCUACCAUGGAGAAUAAACUGUAUAACCUAGUUUCUUGAAUUUGUUUCGAGAUGUUCAUGAAUCACAGUUAUGGAAUAUAUAGGAACUUACUAACAAGUUUAGUUUAGCUGUGCUUCAGUGGAUUAAAACCUGCACAGUGGAAGACAGAAAAUCACUGAGAGGUGACUAAAGGUAUUGCAAAGCAGGCACAUAAAUCCUAAUGUAAAUCCUCCUUGAUUGUGAAAUCAGACAAGAAAGAAAGCUAUAAACAAUUGGCUUUAAUUGGUCGCCGCAUGGGUUGACACUAAGUUGUGAUGCAACAAAAAGAACACUUUUGUGAUCAUACCACUCUUUUGUGUUUCAUGCUUCAACCAAGCGUGAGUUUAACUAUUGAAUGUUAAAAAGGGAAAAACAUCUGACAGUCACUCAGGGAAGAAAGAGAUAAUUAAUCCUCCUUCCAAGUUUAAGAGAAUACGAUCACUGGUCACUGAUCUUUGCCUUGUUAGGUAACUGGUAUGUCAGGUUUUUUGUAUGAGGAGCACAGUUACACUAGUAGUUCUUUUAUUUUUCUCAAUUGCUUUUACUAAAGAAGUAAGUUAAUCAUCUUAAAUGAGGUGUUCAUGAAUUAGAUUACACUAAAUCUCAGAUGAGUGUGUGGUUAGAAAGAAGAGUGGUUUUAGGUGAAAGUUGCAACUUCCAACGUAGAGAUAGAGAGAGAGGUUAAGAAAAAAUUACAUGACAAUUCUAGUUAUAGAUGUUGCAGUUUAGUAUGUUUAUUGGUCCUUAGGAACCAUUGUGCUCUACAAUGUAAUUUGGUCCAUUGUUUUUCUAAGUCCUAGGUGAUAUACUUAAGUCUAUUACAUUACUCUUUGGAGUUAUCUAGAUAGAUGUACCUAAAUUGUUUCCAUCCACAUUUUUAACUAGCUCAAAACGUGAGGCAGACCUGUCACUCGUUUUUCCUUUUUUUUUUUUCUUUUUCCUCCAAAAGUUUUGGGAUUAUAGUUAUUGUUUUUUGCAGUGAUUUUAAAAUAAUUUUUGCAUUUAUCAAGCUGUUGCUUUUCUUUGACUUGGCUUUAUAAUUGUUUCUUUCCUUAGCUGUAGUCUGUCAGCUUAACUUUUUGUGGAUGAUUUCAUGUAACAUUUUUACUUUCACAUGAUUUGCAAAUGUCUAUACAUAGGUUGUAACUGGGGGUGCUGAUGGUGUUCUUCACCCUGCUUUGGAUGAAAAGUUGGAAAAAUUGUAUGAAGUAAUAGCAACUCUUGUAGCAGAACCUAAAUCAGAGGGAGCAGAAGACGACCAUCUCCUUGAAGAUUUUCAUUCUAGCAGGACCAUUAGAAAGCUUAUUCUAGAUUGCCCUAUCUUUGCUUCCAAGUUGUGGGAGAAAGCUCUUAAAGGCAAAUGUGCAAUAUGGGCUCAGGGUCACAGGUUCAAUUUACUACUUUAGAGCUUAGCUUUUCUGUCCAUGUGAGAACAAAUAAACAAUGCUGAUGAUCCUGUUCUUUUUUGUGUAGUUGUAAGGUGAUUACUGCAUACCUAGAGGCCUCGGACCUUGCCUUGCGUGAAGCAGCAAAGAAAGAGCUGCAACCCUUAAUUGAUAGUGGCGUUCUUACAUUACCUGCAGUUAAUGAGUCUGCCAAAGCCGAUCAGGACUUCCAUUAAGGAGCAAGAUUGGGAUAUUGUCCAAGCGAACUAAGCAUUAUUGCACUCAUCCAGCCAUUCAAUGUCUUCCAACAUUUGCAUCUGUUGCUCCAGUUGCAUAAGAUUGGUGAACACUAAAGUUUUGUACUCAAGGUGUAAAAGUAAAUAUUUAACUUAGGAACCCUUUAAUCUGUUAGAAGGAUAUUGUAAAAUCACUUGGUGCUUAUGAAUCUUGCUGAUAAUGAAUUUUUUUCUUUUACAAGGGUUGUUCACAAGUAACAAAUCCAAAACCAAAUUCAAGACAAGUUUUCUGUAUUGGCUGUAAUUCUUUGAAUGGCUCGAAGUUUGUAGGUUUGGCUAAAGUUGGUACGGCAAGUUUUCCAUUCUGAUCUGCAUUCUUCUGAUUAUGGUUUCGUGCGCAAUAUGUGAAGCCCAUAGUUUCUGGAAAUAGAACGCUCUAGUUUCUUGUUAUUGCUAGUGGUGCGGUGAGGAUAGCCUUGGGAAAGGUAAUCUGCAGGAUUGAAGGUGGGUAGUUCCUUCCUGGAUGAGUCUGAUACCCUUGAUGCUGCAUUGGCCUUCAGACAAUUCUCUAUAAUGGUAGCCUCUUCCAUAAAUCUGGCCCGUAGGUCCUUCAUCCUUUGCAAGGCAUGAUUAGAUCUAGUCCUCUCUGAAGUGGGUAUUCUCUUCGGUUUUGUGUUGCUUGGGAUGGGGGAAUCGUCUGAAAUAUUGCUGCACUUGAAACAGAAGUUCCUAUGCCUCUCCAGAUUGAAAGCUGUUCUCCUGGCGUCGUCUGAUAGACAUGCAUAUGCCUGUGAUGAACGGGGUAGCACAAAUAAUUUAAAAGAGAAAUGACAAUUCAAAAAGCUGAAGGCACCCCAACUCCCCGCCCACCCCAGCAGAAGGGCGAUGUUUUUGGCUUGAAGGUUUGCUAUAUGGUUACCUUACCUACGCGACAUUAUCUAAGACAGCGGUAUGUAAGGACGGAUUAAAAUCUAUCCAACAUCUACAGACGCAUGUCGUCAUUUCGCAUUAAAGCUUUGGCAAAUCACUUCUAGAUUCUAGUGCUGUUAUCUGAUAUGAACGGGUACGCUCUAAGAAAUCUGAACCGAAGCUUCAAGUCGAAACAAAGAAGAAAGAAGAAAAGAUGUCCAAUUCAAAAUGCAAUUCCCGUAGUCAUCUAUAUGAAAUUGAAAAGAAUAAACAGGAGGACGUAAGUUUACCUCGGAGACAAGCUUGAAGGCUGUAUCGGCCUUGGGAUGCUUGUUUUUAUCAGGAUGAAGCUGCAAAGCUGCACGGAGUGGAAAUGCUCACAGCAUUAAGCCAGCUGCCAUCGCAGAGUAAAACCUAGACGGGGAAGAAGAUUGGCGAAUUUGAACUAUACUUGUUCAACUUACCAAGUCUAAGGUAAUGCUUCCUGAUGAUAUCGGGCCCUGCAUUCUCAUCCACCUGUAAGCCAUCGUUGGUUCAAAAACAGCUUGAGAAAACACUUGCAACGGAAAAGAUGGAAUGAAACAUACUUUGAGGACCAGAUACCAAUCAACGAAAGGCGGAUUAGUAGAACGGAAAUGAUGCUGAUGAGCGCAGGUGACAGCACGGUCUGAUAUGUUGCAUAUUUCUGUUACCAAAUGGGAUUUGAUAUCUGAAUCAGUUCUUGCUCUUCCCAUUGAUGCAAAAGAUGAAUCCGGUGAUAACUGACCUGGAAACUGAAGAGUAAAACAACAAUGAGAAAUGUAAGAGUGCUUAUUCAGAGUUCUAUGUACGUAAUUUACUAGCAUUUAAGGAGAUAACUAAUAGGGUGGAGCGGUUAAGGAAAAAAGGGCUUGUUUUGCGGGGCACAAUUUGGUUUUGAAAGUGGAUCAGUACUCACUACUCAGUAGGUAGCUAUAAAGGUGAAUUUGUGGAGAGGUUAAUGUCUUUCACACAAAUUUUCUUGGUGGACUACCUAAGCAGUCAUUUGAGUCAAUCAGCAAGAAAGCUCACACAGUAUAAGAAUCAAAUAUUGCCCUACAAUAAAGGGUAUGUCUUCUUCUUUCUUCCUUCUUUUUUUUUUUGUUCAAAAAAUUUUUUUUUUCGUAAGACUCAAUUCUCAGCGCCAUUUCCCUUAAUUGCAGUCCUCCUUCAUUGUACGUUGUAUCCAUCAUAGGUCUGUACACAAUGAGUAGAGAUCCUGUGACUUGACUUCCAUGGUCAUCAGUUACUACUACACGUUUGCAAGUACAUGAACAUAUAAUCCUAUUGUUAAAAGAGCCACAAAGGAUUGAGUCCUCCUCCUUACUUAUUGUUUAACAUUACAAAAUAUGUGGUUUUUAAGCAUCUUUGUUCUCGAAAACAUGUUUGACAGAGCUCUAGAAUCGGGGAGUUCAAGAUUGAGCGCAUCUCAUGUUUUCAACAUCUCCAGAAUACAAAAUAAAGUGAACUUGGUAAGUGCACUGAAUUCGAUAUAAAGAACCAAAAGGAAAAAAGAAAUAAUAUGUAGUAUUUGUUUUCUUAAAAGAAGAGCUGAUAUACAUAUAAAUAUUUUCUUUGGUGUGUACCUCGAAAAUAAGGGAACAGAAAAUUGGAACCGGGUCAUAAGAUUGACUAGAGCACCGUGACCUAUUCAAAUAAACAGAGCCGAGAUGAUGGAAGAAGUUAAAAGUUAAAAUCUCAAUAGGCUACCAACUAAGAAUUGGUUAGUAUUAUAUAAAUCUAGCAGUAGCUCCUGCUGUACAGGAGGAUUCUCUUGCGAUGCUGCAGUGAGAGCAUAAUCAUCAUACGAUGAAUGUUUCACCAGUAUUAUAUUUUCAAGUUGCAUUAAAGAUAAUUAAUCGCAUUUAAUUCCUCACGAGCUAGGCCAAUACAGGGAUCCUUUAAUCAAACGUGAUGUUGCAUGUGACCCGCAUGCAAAUGUACAGUUCCAACCUCUCCGGUUGGGGACAUUCAUGGAAUGCUGUUAAGACAGGAAGCUUGGUGGUGCUGGUUCUGUACAUUGUUGUGUGUUGUCCGCCCUUUUCUGGGCAGAUUGCGAAGAACGUCCCAAAAAUUUUGAAUUGCAUUCAAUGUAAGAUUUUUUUUGGUUAAAAGGAAAAGUGAAAAAGAAAAUCCCUCGAUUAGAUACAUUACCCAGUGGUGUAAGAUAGUGAAGAACUACUAGUAUUUGUUUAGAUAGAAAAUCCAGUUUCAAAGUUUUGGUGACAGCAGACGGCUGAACUUACCUAAUCUUGAUAUCACACUGUAAUAGCUUAGUGUAUUAAAACAGAGACACGAGAUUUUUUUUAUUAUUAUUUUUUUAAAGAUGGCUGUAGCAACUAAUUAAAAGGAUUAUUUCUUAUUGGGCUUGAUUCUAUGGUCAACGCCAUGCUCAUUGUAAGUAGCGUUGGUAAAAUUUUUGCAGGCCCAAGUUCUUGGCUUCCUGUCGUCUAGCUGGGUUUCUGCCCAAAUUUUUUAUUGCCUCAUCCAUAAUGAAGACAUCAAAAGAAUUGUCCAGAUAACUUCUCAGAGGUAACGCGCGCACACACACACAUAUAUAUAUAUAUAGGUUACAAAUUCUUGCUUGCAGUUUUGAAAAGGUACCAUCAUAAUAUAACAAGUACAACACCCGGGAACUUCUGAUUCACAGUCACAGGCAAUCUAAUAACCGAUAAAUAAUGGUUGUACGGCCAUAAUUCCACCACAUCAGCAACAAAAUCAACUCCCUUUGCAAAGUGCAUUCCCGCUUAAGCUUGAUUACCUGCUGGUAAUGGUAUAUAGUUUUGGGCAUUCCCUCGUAUGCAUUGCUUUGGACUGACUAUGAUGGGAUAUUUUGGGGAGCGAAUUCUUUGAUGCUGGCUGCCCAAGAACACUCUUUUGCAGUUGGGGGCUACCCACCCCGUCCCUGGCCCCAAAAAAACUUGAAGCCCAGCGGAUACAUUUAUAUUGUUAUUGCUGGUUGGUUGUCCACGUCGGCCCAAAAAAUGCAUAACUUAAACCCCCGACAGAUACAAUCACCCAGCACUCCUAAAUGGUUUAGCAAGCUCGCGAGGCCUCGAUGUGUAGGAGUCCUCUUUUGUUUUGGUUUUUUAUCUUUUUCUGGAAUCAGUUGUAAGAGACAUGGGAGACGUUAAAUUGACAGCAAACACAAGAGUAGGACCGUUCUCUCCAAGAGGAGGAUGAGGAUGUCAUUGCCAUUUGCCAGCUCAACCCUCUCAGCCCGAAAUACAAACAAGUUGCUGGCAAUAAGCAUUAAUGAGCGUCCACAGAUCAAAAACAGGGGAAAGGAACCCAGAAAUUCACACAGAUGAUUAUGUUAAAAAUAAAAAGGAGGUCUUUAAAGCCACAACCAACCAACCAACAUACAUAUCUAUGCCAACAAAACCACCACUUUCACUACUAGUAUCAGAAUGUCAAUCUCAGUUCAUCGCCCCAUUAGCAACCUAGACAAACAGCUAAUCCCUUUUCCCUUUGCUAGUCCCAUCGUACAGGCCCUCCAACCUGGACCGUUUAUCUCGCCCAGACCACUUCUCAUAAGCCAUGAAUCCAAGUUUGACCGUGACAUAGGCACAACCAAUGCUCGCUAUGAAUAGAGUUUCAUUCCCUGCAGUCACAAACUAACCAAGAUUAGAAACAUUUCCACGGGAGGAUCAUAAACCCCACACCCCCCGGCACCAAAAUCCAAAAAAAAAAAAUUAAAAAAAAGCUCUUGUUGAUAUUCUGUAUAUUAUUAUAUUAUUAUUCUGUAUGACAGGAAGGUAACUCACUGAUGAUCAGCAUUGCAGUAGGACCUGAAACCAAAAAAACAUUAUUCUGUAUAAUGUUUUCGAGAACGUAAAAUGGUAGACAAAAUUUAUCGCCCAAACGAAUAAAAAUAACAGUCAGUAAAAAAAAUCUAAACUUAAUCGCAACGGAUCUAGAAAAAACUUUAUCAAAACCGCACUUACAUCCCAACCAACAGAUCUAGAAAACCCUAGCCAGAUAGCAUUGCAAGCUAUUGUCCAAACAACGGGAAAUCACAUUGAAUCAGAAAAGAAAAGCAAAAGCACAAAAAAAAAAAUAGAGCACCUUCUAGAUCCGACUCAAAAAAAUAAAAAAUAAAAAGAAAACACGUAGGAAACUGAUCAUAAUCUAUUUGACCAAGAUCGAGGAAGGAAAUCUUCUUCUUACCGGAGAAAUCUCAGCAACUGAAAUUGGGUAAAGGCCGGUUGGGGAUAGAGCAGCGGCUAUAGGGAUAAUGCAGAAUGAUAGAGACGAAGGAAAGAAUGUAACCCUUUUCCCGUCUCUGUCGUAUUUUUUAUUAUAUUAUUAUUUUUUUAAUAUAAAUAUUAUUUUUUAUUUUUUUUAUUUUUUAAAAAUUUAAUAAUUAUUAAUUAAAUAAUACAAAAAAUUUAACAAAUUCAAAAAAUUAAAAUUCAUAAAAAAAAAUGAGAUUUUUUUAUGAAUUUUCUCAUAUGAAUGCCUGGUAGAAACAUUUUUCUUUUGACUGUUGGGUUUAGUCAGCCCGACAGCUACGGGAAUUUUUUUUUUAAAAAAAAUUCUGCUAGGUUAUUAGCCUUAAAGCCUGCAAUUUUUUUAAAAAAAAAAAACUUGAAAACUAAGCCCGAUAGCCUUUUUGGUUAAUUUUUUUUAUGCUCAAGCAUAAGAAAAAUGUCUAAGUAGAUUUGCUAAAUCAAAUAUUUUUAUUUUAUGUUCAACCUUAAGAGAAGUUUUUAGAUUAAAAAAAACCACAUCUCACUCAAUUUACAAGAAAAUGCAUUCCCCAAAUCUUAAUGUGCAACAGUAAAUAAAUAUUUAAAAAUCUUUGAAAUAUAAUCAUUGAAAUUAUUUUGUAUAAGAUUUGGUUUUAUAUUUUUAUAAAAUAUAUAGAAAAUUGACAAUUACAUAAAUAAUAUAUACAAAUAAAUUAUUAUUUGGUAGUGGGUAGUAAUAAGAAUAGAGGCAGAAGUAAAUAUAUGACAGUGGUUAGUUACACAUAAAAAGUAAUUAUUAAUCUAAACUAUAGUUAGACCAAUAUAACAUUGUUGUGCAAUAUAAAAACAGAACAAACAAAAAAUAGAAAAGAACAAAGAUUGAAUAACAUGAAAUGGUGAGAUGGUGAAGUUUAAAAAUUAAAACGUUAACCAUUCAAAUGAUAAAAAUUUAAAAUAACUCUAAAUAGCAUAUUCAAAUGGUGAACUUUAAAACCAUGUACAGGAAAUGAUAAUAUCAACAACCAUUGCGCCUUUAUCAACUCAGCUUCAUACAACACCAAGUGAUAAAGGUAAGGGCAACAAGCGCAAUGGCCAAUACGUUUCAACAAUCUGUAACUAUAGAAUAGAAUUUUGUGGACUCCACAUAUAAUGUAAAAAAUCAUGUAUAAGAUGAAAUUUGAACCUUACAUUUUUUUUUUUUUUGCCAAAUAUUGACCAUGAACCUCCAGGAACGGUCCUGCCACUCCUCCAGUAUUUAGUUAUGAAUCCAAUGAUGGUAGUAUGCCAACUAGAUUGAUGCAUAGUUUAGGACCAAAAUUUUGAUGUAAAGUAGUUACCUAUCAAUUUUGAUCGCAUUCACAUAGUAAUCUGUAUUUGAUAGAAUCAAUGAGUAUGUCCAAAUUUCAAUAGUUAAUGAUUUAAGCAUACGCAUGCUAUUAGCAAAUCAUAAGAGAAACUUAUCUUAAUAACUAGAGAGUUUUAUAUUAUGCAAAAUUCUCAACCUGGAAAAUUACAAUAUAUGGAUAAACAAAUGAAAAAUUGGGUCUUUCCCCAAACUAAUUGCUACAAUUAUUAUGCAAGGCCAUAUAGGACAUAUCAAUAUACAACUUUAUGUUUUGAGUAAGGAAUUUCUUCAAGGCAAUUAUCACGCAAAGAAUUUUCUUUUGACAAAUUUUAUGCCUUUCACACCUAACACCAUCAAGUCUUGAAACCUCCUAAGGGAAUGAUAAAUUUCAAAUCCUUAACAUAUUAUUAUACUACAUAAACUUCCUAUGUCAACUACAAUAUCAAUUGCUUAACAAAAUAAAAGUAAGAUGGUUAUCGACAAUAAGAGUGACAUUAUAGCACUUAAGUAAUUAAAAAACAAAUAGAAAUUGAAUAUAUACAAAAUCUUACUGGAUCCUUCAAUUGAAUUUAAUACACGAUUCGGGUUCGUUUGGAUCUCUUGUUUUUGGGGCUGUUUUUGAAAAACUGUUUUUCACAUUCCAAAUGCUACAGUAAAUGUGUAUUUCCAAAACAACUCCAAAAACACCAUAUCCAAACAUUAUAUAAAAAACAACUACAUAUGUAUAUUUUAAUUGUGUAUAUUAUAUAUAUAUAUACUAUAUUAAUAUAAAUUGAAAUAUACAAAUUGAAAAUUAUAUAUAUUAUAUUAUAUAAAUAUUUAUAUACAUUAAUAUUAUACAUAAUAUUGUAUAUUAUACAUAACAUAAUAUACAUAAUAUGUAAUAUUGUAUACAUAAAUGUGUAAAUAUUUAUACAUAAUAUUAUGUACAUUAUAUUAUAAUAUAUACAUUAUUAAUGUAUAAUAUUAUUAUGUACAUUAUUGUGUAUAAUAAUGUUAUAUAUAAUAUAUAAUAUACAUAAUAUGUAAUAAUGUAUAUUAUGUAUAAUAUUAUAUUAUAAUUUAUACAUUUAUAUAAUUUAUAAAUUAUGUAUAUUAUACAAAUUGAAAAUUAUAUAUUAUAUAUUAUAUAAAUAUUUAUAUAAUGAAAUAUACAAUAAAUAUUACAAAUUGAAAUAUUAUAUAAACACCAUAUUUAUAAUAGUAUAAUAUUUAUAAUUAAUAUUAAUGUAUAUUAUAUAUAUUAAAUAUCUAUAUAUUUAUUUAUACAUAUUACAAAUAUUUUAUUUUAUUUAAAAAAUAUUUUUAUACAUUUAUAAUAUAUUUAUAUGAAUAUUAUAUAUUAUAUAAAUUAUAUAUAAUAUAAUAUGUAAUAUAUAUUAUAUAUAUUAUACAUUUAUAUAAAUGUAUAUUUAUAAAUAAUAUGUAUAUAUAUUAAUGUAUAUUUAUAAUAUACAUUUAUAUUAUGUAUUAUAUAUAAUAUAAUACAUUUAUACAUUUAUAUUAAUAUACAUAAUAUUAUUUUAGAUUUACACAUAAUAUUAAUACAUUUGUACAUUUAUAUUAAUUAUAAUAAUACAUUUAUACAUAAUAUUAAUAUAUAUUAAUAACUUAUAAUUUAUAAAUUUAUAUAAUAUUAAUUUGUAAUUUAUACAUUUAUAAUAAUAUACACUUAUACAUUUAUAAAUAUAUUUAUAUCAUGUAUUAUAUAUAUUGUAAUACAUUUCUAGUACAUUUAUAUAUUUUUAUAUAAAUACAUAAAUAUAUUUAUUCAUAAAUAUUUAUAAAUGUAUUAUAAAUGCAUAAAUGUAUAUUUAUAUAAAAAUAUAAAAAUAAUAAAUAAUAAUUUAUAAUUUAUAAAUUUAUAUAAUAUUCAUUUAUAAUUUAUACAUUUACAAUAAUAUACACUUAUACAUUUAUAAAUAUAUUUAUAUUAUGUAUUAUAUAUAAUAUAAUAAAUUUAUAAUACAUUUAUAUAUUUUUAUAUAAAAAUAAAAAUAUAUUUAUUUAUAAAUAUUUAUAAAUGUAUUAUAAAUGCAUAAAUGUAUAUUUAUAUAAAAAUUAUAAAUUAUAAAUUAUAAUUUAUACAUUUAUAAUAAUAUACACUUAUACAUUUAUAAAUAUAUUUAUAUUAUGUAUUAUAUAUAAUAUAAUACAUUUAUAUAUAUUUUUAGCGAAUAUAUAAAUAUAUUUAUUUAAUAAUAUUUAUAAAUGUAUUAUAAAUGCAUAAAUGUAUAUAAAAAUAAAAAUAUAAAAAUUAUAAAUUAUAAAAAUAUCCAAAAAUAUGUUUUAAAAAUACCUCUAAAAAUAAUCCAAAAAACAUCUACAGUAAAAGUUUUUCAUAUAGUUUUUGAAAAAAACCCAAAAAACAACUAAUCCAAACGGACUUGUAUUUCAAAAACGAAAUGCUACAGUGCUGUUUUUGAAAAACAACCCCAAAAACAACUAAUCCAAACGGAGCAGUCAUUGCAAACAGGGAGAAAACAAGAAAGAAACGGAGGGAAACAGAGAUAAAAGAAUACCCAGUUAGAAUUAUCUCGGUGGAAGCAUCACAUGAUAUCUGUUCUCCUAACAAAAAUACACAAAAUUUGUAGAUAAUUACAAAAUAAACAUAAAAAAAGAAAAGGAAAAAAAUGCGAAGUAAGAAAUCAAAUAUUGAGAAGAGAAAAGAAAGGAAUGAAUUUUUGUUUUAUUUUUCAUUGAAGAGGAUCACUGGCAUAAAAUUAAUGCUAAGAUCUUUUUAUAUAUUUUAAUAUUUCACCUUUUAUCCAUAAAGAAAUAUCAAAUAACAAUAUCAUCUUUCAAAUUUAGCACACAAAUGUCAGUUGACUAUAACAUUAAGAUAGAAUAAUAGAGCAAAUAUGAGAGAUGAAAAAGAAAAGAAAAUGUAAACUAGUCUCAAAGAAAAAAUAAAGACCUCUCAUUGCUAAACAACUAAUCACCAGAACAAAAUAAGAAAAAAAACAUGGCAACAUUCUUAGCUAGAUUAGUUUGAAGAAAUAAUAAAUAAAAAAAAUGAGGGAUGAUAGUGAGAAGAAGAAAAAGAGAUAGAGUGCAUUUUCUAAUAAUGUAAAGAUAUUUUAACCUUUAUGGCCAAUUGAAUGAAAAAGGGAAGGAAAAUUUUAGCAAAAAAAAAAAGUUUCAUUUGUCAAAAGUUUAGGCAAUACACGGGCCAAAAUGAUGGGAUGUUAUAGUAACUUGGUUUUCUUCGUAUAUACAAGGUAGAGGUAAAUAGAUAUUUUAGACUCAUAAAAUGUUUUUGUAUUUUGCAUCUUUUAACUUUGAACUUUGGAUACUACGUUGGAAAUGUCGUCCAUUUGUAUUCCUUAAGAAGGAGAGCUGCACCAAUCGUCUCUCAUAUAUUACAUAUGUGAAAAUUUAGUCUCUUUGAACAAAAAUGAUCAGUUUUGAUCCCUAACAAACAAAAAAUGAUCAUCUUUAGUCCCUUUUCACUUUUCCGAACCAAUUUUGGCAGGAACUUAUUGGGUCCACAUGCAAUGCCCAAUUCCUAAAGGGUAAAAGUGACAGAUCACCGUUGACCAAUUAUGCGAGGGACCAACUGUGCAAACCUUUAGUUAAACAUUCAUAAAAAAACACAAAAACUAAGAAUCAUAUUUUUGGCUUCAAAUUCAGGAUAGUUGUCUUGGAGAAGAGCAAUAGCUUGUUUUGUAGCAACACGAACUGCCUUUCUGGAUGGCCCGGGUGAGUUCUUGAGAUCAUUGAUCUGAAACAAGGAAUUUACACCGCCAGGCUUGAAAUCAAGCUUUUGAAUCCCUUUCUCCAUAAGCUGGACUCUCCAUCUCAAGAAUUGAUCCUUAGUCCCAAAUGUAUUCUUGUAGAUCUCCUUAUCAUUCAAAACUCCAAAAAUGUUGUAACAGAUGGGCCUUUGCAAUCAAUCCCAUUCAUGUAUGCAAUAGAUGCAAGAUCAUCCCUUAAAUCUUCAUCUAAAACCGAAUCAUUGUUCAACUCUUUUCUCCAUUGAAGUGUAUUCUUUAGCAUCUCAAAUGCCUCAUUGACUUUGGAUUCCCUAACCCUCAAAAAUUUCAGGAGAACCAUAUCAGUUCCCUUAUGCCCUUUACUAGCCAAAAGGGGCACUUCCCAAAUGGAGAUAUCCUUGUCAAUUUCAACAUCUGCGUCAGCCUUUUCACCCUCCUCACCAUUAUCAUCACUUUUUUUUUCGGUAUUUUCUUUAGUUUUCUUCUCUUCAUCACCUUCCUUUUCCUUCUUUCCAUUUUUUUUCUCUUCAAUUUUUGCUUCACCUUCUUUUGCAGCCUCCUCUGUUUCUUCUUUCUUCUCUUCACCUUCCUUUUUCGAUAACUCCUUUGGAGUCUCUUUAGCCACUUCUUUCUUAAAGAGCUUGUUUCCCAUAAUGGCUUCUUCUAGCUUCGACUUCAAAAUCAUUCAAAGCCUUAUUCUCAAACUCUUUGAGAUCAGAAUGGAAAUUAGUUUAUUCCCUAUAAGAAGAACUCUUCUCAUCCAUCUUCCCUUCUUUGCAUUCAUCACCAUCAGUCACAUCCUUCACUUGCUGCACAUUCUCCAUCUCCUUUUCUUCCUUUAAAACCUCUUCCUUUGUAACAGCCACUUCAGCCAACACUUGAGUUGCCUGUGAUUUCUCCUCAACAGUCAUGAUAACAAUGCCUAAGAUGAAUGCAAAAACACCAAAAAAAUGAACAAAAUCGUUCAAUAAAUUAAUCAAUUACAAACCAAAUAUAUAAAUUAAAGAAAGCCCAACUCAUUUUUACUUCUGAUUUUGUUGAAUUUCUAUCACAAACUCUUCUCUUGCUUCUCCAAUCUCCGCUGCUGGUUCUUCUUUGGCCUUCUAAAGAGUUGAGAGAAGGAAAUCAAUAAUGGUUUGAGAGAAAGGGGAGAGAGGAGUUUUACUCAUGAUUUGUCACUUUUACCCUUUAAAAAUUGGGCAUUAGAUGUAGACCCAGUGAGUUCCGGCCAAAAUUUGUUCGAAAAAGUGAAAAGGGACUAAAAGUGAUCUUUUUUUGUUUGUUAGGGAUUAAAAAUGAUUAUUUUUGCUUUGAAAGACUAAAUUUUCACAUUUGUGAUAUGUGAGGGACGAUUGGUGCAGUUCUCCUUUCUUAAAAUUAAUGUCAAGCUAACUCAUAUCACAAUACAUGUCACGUGAUGUGCGACAUGUCAAGAGGUACUAACACAUGGUUUGGACACGUGUCAGGGGUAUGACACAUGUUCGUCGAGGUAGACGUGACAAUUUUUGUGUAUUUGCAGUAAUAGUACUUUAUGUUUGGAAUUAUAUAUUUAGGCCACAUGUAGCUUCUCAGCAAUCAGGACUUAUUUUCAUGUAAUAUCAUUUCAGUCAUACCAUUUACUUAAGAUAUUACGCAUAAAUAAGGAAAUACCCUCUAUUUAUAUUUAAUAAAAAGAGUUUCAAAGCCAAAUUCCUAAAAAUAAAUUCCAAGUUUCCAGUUUAGGGUUGUACAACUAGAAAAAUUCUAGAAUGAUAGGGUUAGCCUAAUUUCAAAAAAAAAAAAAGGCUAAUCCUAAUUUUCUAAAAUAGGGUUAACCUAAUUUAAUCAUAAGAAACAAAUAUCGAGAUUUUUUAUUCUCACUUUCUAAGUGUUUAAAAUACCAAACUUGUUGUGGUACUUAGUCUUCACAAACUGAUCAAACUUACGCACAUGUAUUCCUGAACCCUGAUAUUACUCGAUAUGCAGCUAUAAACAUCCAAGGGUAUAUGUUCAUUCUAUUAAGUGCUUUACUGUGUCGAGAAACCUUCUAUCAUAAGUGAAAUUAUAUGAUCUAAUCGUGGGAUUUGACAUUGGCCUUGUGUCUUUAAACUAUGCACAUAGCAUUCACCUGUGCACCAGAAUUGGAAAAUCAGUACGACCACGAUCCUCUCCACCCAAACUUUUGGUCUUCGAAAUACCAGACUUUUGGUCCACUAAGACACAGAAACGUUAAUAAUUUAAUUCCAAGGCAACCCCAAAUGUGAACUCUGACUAAACAUCUUCAGGCCCAAUAUAUAAAGAAGUUGACCUUUGACCAAAAAAAAUCAACAGGCCCAACGGCUACCAAUAACUGUGUGGGCCAUUACACUUCCAAAUAGCUGCAAAAGGUUAAAUCGGUAAAUCAAACUGAGAAUCUCCCAUCAAGAUUCAAGAGUUGUACCACAUGGCUCAACAAAUGAUUCACAUGGACAACAAAAUUACUAAAACGCCAACCACCUUGGACAGACCAAAACCUUCAAAAGCUUGGAAAAGGGUAAAUCAGUAACCCAAGCUAACAUCCGCUGCUUUAAAGAUUGUACCACAAGCUCCAUCAAUGAUUUACAUGGCAUGGAAAAGUACAAAAAAAGCCACCGGGAGGCGGACGAAAAGCUUGCCAAAGCUGUUGCCAAAGUGCUUUUUAUACUACAUGUAGGAUUACUAUUUUUUUUUUGGGAGCUUGAAUUAAAAUUUUCUGUUUGUCACAUAAUAAAGCCUUUCUGUAAAAAUUUGACCAAGAAUCGUGCUACCAAAUGCAAAUUUAAAGGCGAAUAACACACUUUAUUAAUACUUCAAAACUCUAUAACAACGGGGCAACGUAAUUGGUAGAAAUAUGUGCAUAAGAAACACAAUACUUCAAAAUUCCAGCCUCUCCGGUUGGAGACAUUCAUGGUAGGAUAGCAAGCUUGGUGGUGCUGGUUCUGUUCAUUGUUGUGUUGUCCGCCUUUUUCUGGGCAGAUUGCAAAAAACGUCUCAAAACUUGCAUUUGUUUAAUACUAUACAUAGUUUAGAUAGAAAAUCCAGUUUCAAAGUUUUGGUGAUGGCAGACGGCUGAACUUACCUAAUCUUGAUAUCACACUGUAAUAGCUUAGUGUAUUAAAACAGAGACACCACAUUUUUCUUUCUUUUUUUUUUUUUAAAGACAGCUGUAGCAACUAAUUAAAGUGCCAUUUCUUACUGGGCUUGAUUCUAUGGUCAACUCCAUGCUCAUCGUAAGUAGCGUUCGUAAACGUUUGCAGGCCCAAGUUCUUGGCUGGCUGUCGCCUUGCUGGGUUUAUGGACGAGCAUCUUCCCCAAUGGUUACGGGUUUAUACUUUAUACUAUAACGUAGCGAGUGAUGGUGAGUUUGAAGGAAGUCAGGCACCCAGCGGCGGUGGAGUCUUGCUUUGUCCUAAAAAUGGAAAAUCAAACAAAUUGGCACUCGCUCAAAAUUUGAUCUUUAUAUCUAAGGAAUUGGUUGACCGUUGAUUUUUCAAUCCAAGAAUUUGCCCAAAUUUCGAGUAACUGUAAUGUUAUUGUGUACUAGUGCAGUGUGUAUUCCUUAUACAACACACAAUUUUCUAUUCCAACUCAAGAGCCCGAGCAAAUCCUCCAUUGAUAAACACUGGAGCUCAAUUCAUCAGGGAGAGCAGAGGACCAAGCAGCCAAAUCAGGCAAUGCCCCUGUCAAUGCAAGAAAGUUUGCACCUUUUUCUUUUGGCAUUAACUUCCAGUUCAGCUCCUCGGCACCAGGAAAUGCUUUCCUCAUUGCUCUAAUUGCAUUAUUUUGUUCCCAACCCAAUUCCAAAUUCCCUUCCAUUAAUUCUUCACCUGCAUCAGAAGAAACUCCCCCACAAUUCACCAUUAUUCUACCCUUUGGCAUCAGCUUCUCUCCAAUUUCCGUCCAAGUUUUCACCUCCUCCAACCCCCUUAAAACCUUUCCGUCCGCAAACAAAUCCACGAUGAUUCCGGCGUAUCCUCCGGCAACACUGGCAUUCGCCGAGAGCGCAUCGCCGAUGCGAACUCUUAAUCCUCCUCCUCCGGCUUCCGCACGGUUCUCGAGCUCAGAGAGCCCUAGGUAUUCUCUGGAUUUAUGAACUAAGAUUUCGUCGAUCUCCCACCCUUCGAUCUGCAACGACGGCCACAAAUGAAGCAUUAAAUCAGCUGCUGUUCCUCCUCCCAAGCCAAAAAUCGCAAUCGGACCGGCAGGAAUAAUCGGCGGCAAGCUGGCGAACUCGUCCCAAUACGAAUCAGUCCAUUUGCUUCCGCCCUUGCUGAAAAUGCUGUGAAUCUGGUGGCUGGAGUCGAGAAGCAAAAGCCUCGACUCUGAAGUUUCCAGAAUCAUAAUGUCGUUGUAAAUGCUUCGAACCGCAGUUAAUAACUUGAUAUCUUCGGGCGGCGGUUCGUCGGUAUUUUGACCAUGUCCGUCUUUAGCUGACUGAUGCUGAACUUCAUUUUUAGCAGUGCUGCUUCUUCUCCGGCAAUGCAAGAGCUGUACGGUCCUUCCGGUGAACGGAAAGGAAUGUAUUGAUGAAGAGGCGCGGCGACGGCGGCAGCAUUGAGAAGGUGGGUAGCUGGGCGAUGACAGAGGAAGGGAGGAAUAGGUAGAUGAUAUGACACUACUGGUAGAAGAAAGAGUCUUCAUCGAGGAUAAGAAUUUUUUUCCCUGUCUACUGGUUGACCUGACUAUUUUCGUGGCUUCGUUCGACCAAACAAACGACUGCGCCUGCGACGACGGAGUACCUAAUCCCCGCGUAAUAGCAUGCCACUAGUUGGAAUAAAUAAUGAGCCGUUCCAAUUAUGCCAUGGGGCUGGAAUCUCUAUCUAUUGUAUAGAUUGGCCUGGCAUUCAUUCAUGGAUCCAUUAGUCCUCCACGAAUUGAGUCAAUUUUAUUUAGUUCAAUUUAAACGGUCAAUUGUGCUGUUCAAUGACCAUACAAUGGCAUAAUGAAAUUAGUUCGAUUUGGAGUGUUCAUUGUGAACGAAAAGAACGACCAUAAUCAAAGCAAUUUAAAAUUUAGCCCAAUUCAAACCGUCAAUUACGCUGAGCGAUUCCUCGCCAACACCAAAUACCAGAGAUGAUGAGAGACCCCCCUUGCACGCUAAUCUUAUCCAAACCCAGGUCCAGCAAACCGGAACCCGACCCCUAUUUAAAUUCUAGAACCAGCCGUCUUGAUCGAGAGCUGAUUUUUUUUUUUUUAUCAACACAAGGGUGUCUCGAUUUUUGACUAGACUAAUCUCCGUCCUGCAUUGGUGCACUCCGCCCUCCAAAGACAUAAAAUAAUAAAAGGAGUCAAAUUCUGAUCACACGGUGCUAGGACCUAAUGAGACAACUCAGCACCGGUCGAGUCAACCCGAGGGGCACCGAAAGCUCAUUCACGAGCCCUUACUUAGUUGGAACCAACCAUGAACGAAACUCAAUCUCAAGGGACGAGACCGAUCAUACCGGACCCCACUCAAUCACAAAAAAAAAAAAAAAAACCCCAUACACGCUUAUCGCCGGCCAUAACCGUAGACAAUCACGGCCCCACAUUUACCCGCCACUUUUACUCCUCCUCCUGCAUCUCCCCCAAUCUUCAUAUUCCCCAGACCACCCAAAAACCCAAGAACAAGGAGCCCCUUUCUUCUACUUCUGACCUUUGCAACACCUUUCCCUUUAAAUUGACCUUCCCACCCCUUUUCUCCUCUUUGACCUCCUCACCUCACCGAGGGCAAACCUGUCCUUUUCCUCACUCCACCUUCUCUCUUAACUCCCUUUUUUUUUAGUCUUUUCGAGAUAUUGAUCUCAGUUUCAAGCUUACCAUUUCUCUCUCUGCGUUUAUCUUUUUUUUUUUUUGCCUUACUGAAAGUUGAAACCUUUUUCUUUUCUGUUUUAUUGGAGAUUGAAUCCAAAUAAGACGCCACAUCACGGUGUAGUGUAAAUUUGAAAUGAAUAAAUAGUGUAUAUAGGGUUUUAGAGUGUGUUUGAUCUUAUGGCAGCCACGACGAUGGCGACCGCCGCUGGAGCGGUGGUGCUGCUCUACUAUGUGCUCAAUCGGCGUUUAUCGGCCAAAGGAGGGGAUGAGGAUGUUGCUGGUAAGAAUGGCGAGGAGUACUCCAAGCGAUCCGGCAGACGGAGGAUGUCUGCCCGGAGGCCAGUAGCUCAAGCUCCGGCUACGUGGUUUGAGACGAUUAUGACGUUGUCGGAGACGCUUAGGUUUACUUACACCGAGACGUUAGGGAAAUGGCCAAUUGCAGAUUUAGCAUUUGGAAUUAAAUAUUUAAUUCGAAGGCAGGUAAAGUCUUUUUCUACCCCCUCUUCUCUCGAAUUAAUGAUAGAAUGCUUAAUUCCAGUGUUUUGAUUUUUUUUUUCAUUCCUCUGAAAAAUUGUAUGCAUAUAUACGUUUUUAUUCAAUUUUUGUCGUUUGCUAGUGUAUUUAUAGGCUGUUUUAGUUGAUAAAGUUCAAGACUUUGCUACCAAGCGAUUCUGCCAGCUUCAAUUGAUGCGUGUUCCUAACAAAUCGCGUCUGAACUGUGAAAUGAAAUCUUACUGCGGUGAAUUGGUUCAUUUUUUAAGUUUUACUUUGAAAUAGGAAAUACUUGAUUGCUAUAGUAUUGACUAAAAUGUUUGAAAGACUUUGGUUUCUGAAACUUUCCAAAUAUGCUGUUUUUGUGGAAAACGCUGGACUAUGCGUGCUUUGGAUUUGUUGACUUGAGGAAAAAUCGAGCUUGUUCUUGAUAGUGUGGAAAUGAGAUUUUGUUCUUAAGGAAUUUUCUUUUUUCUAUUUGAUUUGUAUGAUAGAUGUUUUUCUGACUUGAAGUGUUUAAUUUAAUUUAAUUUUUUUAUAGUGUUUGUAUUUGGUUCUUCAAAAGGCUAAGUUCUCAAACUGGCUUACAAGGGAUGCACAUUGGUUGUGACACGGCAAAACCGAAAUAAACAUCUUUGUUUGAGUCCUUCCUGUUGGGUGCUUGCUUUUGUUUAGUUGUUGAUCUAAUUUGCUUUGCUUUUAAAGGUUCAAUGUUCUCAGAAUUUAUAGCUCAUAUAUUUCUUGCAGGGCAACCUACAACUUGCAAGUGUAUAUGCUGGAGAAGAUUCUGUACAGUUGAAAGGCAUUGAAAUAAUUGCACAGUUGUAUUAUUAUUUGAAGUUGCUGACUCUUUGUAUGCUGUUCUCAAAGAAACCAUUUCCAGUUUUUUUGGAGUCUGCUGGUUAUUCUCAAGCAGAUGUCCUCCUUCAAAAGGCCAAAGCAGGAGUAUGAAUUAUUUUUUGCUGUCUCUGGUUAUAUAGUUUGUGGUGCUUUAUGAAGUAUUCAUCCCCAAAUUUUAUUUCUGCAGCUUUUGAAGCCUGCAUUUACUAUUAUACGUGAUAAAGAUUCAAAAUGCUUCCUUCUUCUAAUUCGAGGAACUCAUAGCAUCAAAGACACAUUAACUGCAGCAACAGGAGCAGUGGUCCCUUUUCACCAUUCAGUUUUAGAUGAUGGUGGCAUAAGCAAUCUAGUGCUGGGCUAUGCGCAUUGUGGAAUGGUUGCGGCUGCACGUUGGAUUGCAAAGCUUAGCACUCCCAUCUUGCUAAAGGCUUUACAUGAAAAUCCUGACCAUGAAGUCAAGGUAGGUGCUAUGUUUACUAUAAAUUUCUUCUAAUUGAAUAUUUUAUUUAUUUUUCUUGUUCAUAUAUGGUUACCUCGUAAUUUGCAAUACAACUUUUUGUUAUCUUCUUUGGUUAAACUGUAAUGUAUUCGAACAAUUUACGACGCUUAAAUUACAUUGAAGUUAUUAGUUUCAGACUUUGUGCUCUGUCAUGGCACUUGCAUUGUGGUGCAGGCUUACUAGAACUAUGGCAUAUGUUUAGUUGCUUUUUAGUUUAAAUUUCUCCUAGCUAUGUUUAUGAGUUUGCAAUUCUGCACGGUAAAGCUGACUUCUUUUACUGUGAUGGUUUAAGAGUAUUAGACAUCUUGCAUAAGCCACCCAAUGAUUUUUGUCUUCUAUAUGCGAAACCCAUCUAGCAUGGAUACCUGUUCCCCCUCUCUGCUUCAUAAAUCCCACCCCUCCCCUGCUGGAAAAAAUUUGAAAAAAAACAUGUAGCAAGUAAGAUGAUUUGUUUUUGGUAUUGCAGAUGGUUUGAGUAGUUUAAGGAAUAAACAUUCCCUGAAACCUACAAAAUUAGAGGAAAUACUUCUUUCUUUUUUUUGAAUAUCGACCAAGAUCUUUGAGCAUCUGCAAAUUUGCUCAGAAAGCCAUUGGCAGCUCAGUUUCUCUUGCAGUACAUAAACUAGACUAUUGAGUAUUUAGUUCGACAUAAAUAAUUGUAAUGAAGCAUAUCAAAUUUCAGAUUGUUGGCCAUUCACUGGGAGGCGGCACUGCAGCACUUCUUACCUAUAUCCUCCGAGAGCAGAAAGAAUUAUCCUCAAUCACGUGCGUCACUUUUGCACCAGGCAUGUUAUGAUCUUCUAGGGUAUACUUUUGUGUUGACUGAUGAAAGAGGCUUGUUUCUUCGAAUGUCAAUUACUGCAAAAUUUUGUUUCUCAUCCAAACGUUUCUACCAAUUAUUUUAUCCCAUUGCUGUGGAGUUGUUGAUGUGUUAAUAAAAUAUGUCGUUGGCUUUUAAAUCUGCAUCUGCAGCUUGAUUGUCGGCCAAAUUUUUACAGAGGCUUUAUCAAGUGAGAAAUUGAAAGUUCUAAUUCAAGCUUCAAUAUGUAAAGUGGAUAUGACAAAGUGUAUCAGCUGUAAAUAGGUGUUUCUGGAUCAGGUGUCUCUAUUAUGUAAGCCAUUCUUGCUGGCAGAUAAAGAUUAGUGUGUUAGAUCAACCUGCUAUUCCAAUACAGGUCAAAGAAUUGUAUCAGCUACACUGGUUGAAGUGUACUAUAAGUUGUACAAUCGCCCUCUUCAUUCAAUUAAAAGGAAGGGAGAGUUGGGACCCUGGAAGCUUCUUAAAAAACAUGCGGUUUGAUGAGUCGAAGCUCCUCUGUUCAUAUAGAGCCUGUUUACAUUCACCUAUUGUCUUCUAUGUUUGAACUUGUAAAGAUGUUUGCUGUGAAUAAUUCUUCCUUCAGGGCAGUAAGCUUUGGAUUUGUGUAGCUGAUUUACUAGGGAAACUUGAUUUGAUCUGCUUUAAUAUGAGUUGGUUACUUUAGUUGAUCUAUUUUUUCUACAUUGAGACAAUUAUUCUGCCAUCUUUGUUUUUGCUUUUCUUCAGCUGCUUGCAUGACAUGGGAGUUGGCAGAGUCAGGAAAACACUUCAUUACAACAAUAAUUAAUGGCUCUGAUCUUGUGCCUACAUUUUCAACUGCUUCUGUGGAUGAUCUUCGUUCAGAGGUUUGGUAUUAUUUUCAUUUGAAAAUAUUUUUAUGGGAUAUUAUUCAUUCAUGAUCUGAAAAUAACCCCAGACUCAGCUGAUAGGACCUCAUCUUAUACCCCAUUAGGUGACAGCUUCAUCUUGGUUAAGCGAUCUGCGUGAUCAAGUUGAACACAACAGAGUUUUAAAUGUGAUAUAUCGAUCUGCCUCUGCUGUUGGGACUCGCCUACCAUCUAUAGCUAAUGCCAAAGCAAGGGUUGCAGUUGCGGGUGCAUUUCUGCUGCCUGUUUCAAGCAGCACUAAGGUAAGAUGUCGUGUCACUUAUUGGUGUAUUUUCCAGCUAAUUGUUGUCAAUUUGCUUAUAUAGCAACGUGGUUUUUCAUUGUCUGCAUGCUUAAGAUCUGCCUUUGAAGAAUGGCAUGUACAAUGUGGAAAGUCAUUUUGGUUGUCUUCUCCCAAAAUUUGAAUAGCUCAUUAAAAUACUGAACCAGGCCCAUGUUCCUUAUUUGUUUUUGGGCACUAUUUGGAUCUGGUAGGUGAUUUUUACUCUCAUAUAUUACAGGUAGUGAUGAAGCGUGCACAAGAUGUAGCUCAAGCAGUUGUUAAGACCCGCACUUCUUUCUCAUCAUGGACAUGCAUGGGUCCACGUCGACGAGUGGUGAAUGCUCCUUCAGACCCUAAAGCAAAUGAUAUGUCUGAGGCCUCUUCUCUUAUUAGUGAAACAGUGUCUGUAUCUAGUAUGACUGAAGUUGUAAACAGAGAAUCCGAGUCAAACAAGAUGGAAUUCUGUUCUUCAAACAGUGGUUCAGCACACGAGGAAACUGAUGAAGAGGAAGAUCUUAUUCAGGUGGAUAGAGUCAUUGCCACAUCUACCUUGGAAGAUAUAACACAGGGUGAGUUGUGGUAUGAACUGGAAAAGGAGCUUCAGAGGCAGGUGAAUGAGGCUGAUAUUCAGACCCAGGAAGAAGAAGCUGCUGCUGGUGAAGAAAUUUCAGAAGAGGAAAAGUUGCUGGCUGACGCAGUGGAGAGUCAAACACCCAUCUCAUCUUUAGAUGUUUCAGAAAACCUGCAAUUUUACCCUCCGGGCAGAAUAAUGCACAUUAUUUCUGUGCCUUCAUCUGAGGCAAGUGAAUUUGGCGAGGAUGAUCAUAAACCAGAGCAGGUUGGCAUCUACGAAACACCUAGAGAAUUAUAUAGCAAACUACGGUUGUCGAGGACAAUGAUCAAUGAUCAUUACAUGCCAAUGUAUAAAAAGAUGAUGGAACUACUGAUCAAGGAAUUAGAAAAUGAGGAAGAAGACGUGGCUGUGUAGCUUUGAAACCAAAUUGCUGCAGAUUACCUGUUGAUAGUUUUGGACAUUCCCUUGUAUGCUUUGCCUUGAACUAUGAAUGACGCAUUGAGGAAGCAAAUUCUUGAUGUCCUUUUGCAGAAUUAUUAAUAGUAACCAUUUUUAACUGCCAGAAUUUAAUUUUCCAGCAUUAAUCUAUUGUAAUUGCUUUCGGCCCAACAAGUUGCAGAACUUGGAACCCCAGCUGAUGCAAUUAGCAUGUGUACACUGUUUAGCAAGUUAACGAGCCUCAGUUUAUAGCAUUCUUCUUUUGUUUCAGGUACUUGUCUUUUUCUUUUAAGUUACCUUUGGGGUUAACCUGAUCGCAUGUUUAUCAGGAAUCAGUUGUAAGCGCCAGAGAAAUAUAAAUUGAUCAUAGGGAUCAAACCAACUUCAGUAAAACUCCUAUCUAAGAGAAUACACGAACUUGACCAAAACCCUGAUUCUCAAAAGGAUAUCUCUACCCACUUCCCAUUCCAGCUUUCUGAAGGUCUUACUAUUAGACUACUGCUUGAAAACAUGCACCAACUUCACUAUUGGAUAGUUACAUGCUCCAACAGAAGCUGCCGCUUUGGCCUAUCUCUACUCCAAGACAGAGUAGGGCCUCUUAAAAUUAUAAGAAGCCAGCAAAAUUAGGAGACUAUAUCCUAUCCAAAUAAUGUUUCAAAUGAAGUCUUUAAGAUGCUAGAUUUAACAUCCAUUAAUGCCUCUCAGAAGUUUGAUGUAUCAACCACCAUAGCGAAAUUUUAGUGGCCCAGGAGGCUCCUCUUCCAUGAUGCCUGAACCAGUUGUUGCCAAGUAGUCGCGGAUGGUUGUUUUACGAUCCGCAAGAAAUGUGUGAUCAACAAAGUUAUUGUAGUCCAGAUCACCAAGAUUUUCUGCUGCCAGUACACUGCAGUGCCUUUCCAUCAAUAUUGGCUCAUGUAUAGCAUAACAAUAUAAUUUUGCCACAACAAAUUUGCAAGCAUAAUAAAGUUCUCGUACAUUAAUGGCAGUAAUAGAUUCUUGAAAAGUAAAUGUAUGAUGCAGUAAACAAGUGAUGCAGAACUAUCACUCAAGCCAUCACUGAGAAGGUCUUGAAAACUACAGAUACAAUUCCAUAAGUACAUCAGAUUCCAGAAAAACAAAAGUUCCUAUUGUCCAAAAAAUAAGAAAAUAAACGAAAAUAAAGAAAAGUGAAAUUGAGUAGCACUCACCAGUGACGCAAAUAAACACGACAAGGUAGUAUAUCAUCAUGCCAAAUCUUUUGGAUACCAUAUCGCCCAUACCUUUGGAAAAAUAUUUCGUGGUUUCCUGAAAGUUAUGUGCAAGAAGACAGAAGAUGUUUUCAUUUUACACCAUGUUGCUUAGCAAAAGAAGAAACAUAUAUAAACACGUUUGAACAGUUGGAUAAGAGGGUCAAGGGUGCACACAAGUAGGACAAAUCACAGUGCAAUUUAAAAUAUAGAGGAUAUUCAUACUCCCUUGAACUUUAAUAAUUAAACCCAUAAACAUAGUAGGAUACAAAUAUCAGUUAGUUUCAGAAUUAAAGGACUCUAAUUUGUCAAAGAUAACAGAUGCUCAAAUCUCACCAAACUUCCCAAUAACCAAAUUGAACAAACUGUUCAUGUCAAAUUUUUGUGCAACUUUUAACAGCUUGUUAGAAACAGAUUCACUUUCUCCACCACAAAGUCUGAUGCAUGGAUACAAUGGUAGUUGGAUGUCAUCAUAUCAAGUAAAAGACUUGAGGAUUACGUUAUAGAACACAAACAAAAUUCAACAUACUGCUUUUCAACUCCCCAAUUUGUUUUAUUUGGGGGGCCCAGAGGGGGUGUUGGGAACUAGUCAAUAAAGAUAUCUGAUAAUCACCUUUGCAUCUGUUCUGGAAAUAUUCUUCAUCACUAUAACGGGCACAAAGCACCUGCACAAAAAUUAGCAGUGGAACAUAUCAUGAACAGACUUAUGAGCAAGUUAUGCCAAAAAAGGUAAGGAAUCCAUGAACAAGAUUCAAAAUCUAGUCAAGCAUACCGCAGGAUUAGUAUAAAACAAUCCGUUUAUUGUCUCGGGUACUACCUAAAGACAAAUAAAGAAAUCAAUCUUUAGUUAAAAUAAUGAAAUAUUUAGAUUGAGUACCACAAGUUCAACAGAAAAUGAAGAAUAACAAGGUAUGGUAAAAGCAACUCACUACUAAAAAACGGAAUUCGUGCUCCCUUUCAAUGAAUGAUGGAAUCUGAAUUUGUGAAUAAAGAUAUCAGGUCUCAAAUAACAUCUGAAGCUAAUGGUAGAAAUUCAACAAUUCAAGAACUAAAAGUAUACACAUACCUCUGAUUUUGGGAUCUCAAAAAUAGUGAUUAUCAGAGAUUCACCAUCACAGGGCUCCACACUCAAGCUUGAUAUCUCCUAAAAAACAUAGCAGCAUUCAGUUAAAAGAACUCAAAGUCCAAUUCAAAAUUGUGAUGAAGUGCAACAAGAAAAGGAAGUCCUUAGCAUCUUUUUAGCUAAAUCUCUCCUUGACACCCUUACAAUAAGUAAAGGAAGAGAGGCUGAGACUAAGAAAAAUAAUCAACUUGUAAAGCUUUUUAAGUCGUUAGGUUAGCAACAAGCAAGAUGAUUUAGUGAUUGACAUAAAAGUUCAGAACAUAAAACUGAAGCAUCAAGAAAGUCACUGCAACUCAUCGAAUCCUUUUUCCUCAACUCCUGGUGGUGUUGCGGUGAUAAAGUCGGAAAUCCUAGUUCUAUAUCACAAGUAUCAAAUAAUUAAGGUGACAGACAUAUCAAAACAAAAUUUAAUGCAGUAGUCUUUUAUGGAUUGCAUUAAUGCCAUGCCAGAUACUUAACUCAGACUUCGGACUAAGGAUCAUUCUCUCUCAUCCAAAUAUCUGCUUACACUGAUCAGUUUCGUAUUACAGCAAAACUUCCUUUGUUUUUCGUUAGCUCCUAUAAUUGCAGUAAAAUCUCUUUUUAUUUGAAAAAUCAAUACUUUAGCAAACUAGGAGCAUGAAAUGUAAUCCACAACACCAAACUUGCAUGAUCAAUUUGAUAGCCAAAAAACACGCAUUUGUUCCUCGUACUAACACGGAACAAGUGAAAUGUAGAACUGAAACCUUAGUUUCAGGUUUCGCGAUACCGCGCUCGAAGAAAAUCGGAGCAACAUGAGCAAAAACUCGCCGGAAUCCACUCAGUUUACCGAUUCUGAAGUUUAUAAGCUCCGGAAACGUGCUCCGUGCACUCCUCUCUGCUCUACCAACAACGUAAUCAUCAAAAUAAGCGAAUACGGAAUACUCCCUACAAAACAAAAAAGUUACUGCCAUUACAAAUGCCGGAUUAAAGCAACUAUACGGACCGGAGAGGAGAGAACCGAAGCCGCAAACGGAAACAAGUCCAUCGGAGGAGACAAUUUUGUCGAAAUCGGACUCGUGGAUGAGUUCCAAAGGAUAAGGACAGAAGAUGUCGCCGGAGGACAUUGAUGGGGGAGUUCGCCACCGUCCACGAGCGAAGAGGUUGGGGGAGAAGUGGGGACGAGAGAGAGGGAGCGGUUGCAGAAAAAGGACGGAGGAGGAGGAGGAGGAGGAGGUGGUGGGAAAAGGGAGGUGUGCACGUGUUCGGCACGCGUGGCUCAACAUGUGAAGAUAAUGGGGAUUUGGUAAAUGUCCUCUCAACUCGUCUCACCUUCAAAUCUUCUCUGGCAUAUGAAUCACGUUCUGGAAAUGGAAUGGAAGGUGUCACGUCACGUGAGUAUUUGGUAAGAACUACGUCGUAUGAGCUGAUCCGCAAAUCAAAAUCACUGUUGAUUUACAAGUCAAGAGUAUUUGGCUUCUGAUUCACAAAGGCCCAUUUUUCUUCUAAGCAUAUGCCAAUUGUUUUCUUUUCAGUACAUGUACAUUCUAGCAUGUUGUUUAAUUAUUUUACUAUGAAAAACAUGUUACUUUUUCUUUUCCCUGCCCAGUGAUAGAUGUUAUAGCGGGAUAUAUACAAUCUUUUAACAACAUGUCAACUAUGGUUUAAUUGUCAAUGCAUUUUAGUAGCAAGUGUAAAGGGAUAGGAGCAGCAGUCUUUAUCUAAUGGAAUCUAAUGGACAAAUCAUUUUACAAGGCAUGUGAAAAUCAUUUAUCCAGUGGUAUUUGAUGCUAAAAUAGAAGUGGGUUCAUACAACUUUAGUGCAUUGUUAGUACAUUUUUGUUAUUAUCAAAUCAUGAAUUGACCUUAUUUGAAUUCUAGUUUUCAUUUUUACGUUUUCUGUGAAUACAUCUACAUCACAUGCAUCAAAUCGUUAUAGUGAAUACAUCUACGUCACAUGCAUCAAAUUAUUAUAGUAUUUUUUUUUUUUUUACAAAAACUCCUAAAACUAGCAAUUUCAUAGUAUGAGGUAGGGUCUUGUUUGUCUGACCUCCGGAAACAUGAAUACAUAUUCAAUAAACUACUUUUAGUUUCUACUUAUAAUAGUUGUAGCUGUUAGCCCUUAGAAUUAAGACUCUUGCUGAUGAUGAACUCAGUGAUGUGCUUGUCAACGUCCUUAUUAAGCAGUAGUAACUACAUCUUUUCUUGCUACCUCAAUGAUUCAAGGGAAGCAAGCUACACUAUUUUGGUGUAUGUCAUAUUAACUCCUUUCUCCACCAUUCUUGAUUUAAUCUUGACCGAGUUUUGAUGCAGAGAGAAAUCAACACAUGGACAGCGAUCUUGGUUGAUUUUAUUUUUGAAAAGACUACACGUAUUCGGAGGAUAUCCUUCCUGUACGCAUAGGAUUGACCUGGCAAUCCUGUUGGCUCAUUGGUGAUGUUACCUUAAUCUUGAUGCAUCACAAUCUUCACAGAACAUACUAUCACAAAAACUUUUAUGUUUUCGGGUCAUUCAGCUCAUAACUGUUCCCAUGUAUUUACAAAGACAGAGGCCUGGAAUGAUAGCAAAUUCAUCUACAUCAAGAAAGCGAGGCUGCAGCAAAUGCAUCUCUCCUUGUGGUGUUUCAUGCAAGUUUCUUACUAAGCUUCAAAGGAUCAAAUUCUUGUGAGGGACAAGAGUCGUGAAAAAAAAGGCAGAUGGCUGAUAUGUCAUCCAUCGCGAUACCUGGUCUCUUGCGUUUCCAUGCACAGACUGCUGAUUCUACCAGCUUCUUAGCCGAUUCUUCCCUUUCAGGUGUUGAAGAUACUAUGUCCACAGCUUCUUGGUUAGAGAUGACAUCCCACACCUACCAACAGAGAACAUGGAGGACAUUAGAUUAUGUUCCAACCUCGUGGGAUGAGCAGUACAAAAAGAAAUAUCCUUAACCAGCCUACUAGCUAAAGUUUUCCUCCUCAGAGAAGUCUCUACUUUUUACAUGAUGCUGAGUAAAGAAACAAAAAGGGCAGAACAUACACCAUCUGUUGCCAAAAUGGCAAAUUGAUCUGUGUCUGUUAUCCUUCUCUGUGUUAAUUCUGGUUCAGAAAUUAGACCAAAGUCUUUUAUGUAGUAGUCACCAAAGGCUCUUGAUAUUGCUAAUCCGGGGCCUUCAAGUGUGUUUCCAUUUGGCAUCCAAACUCUGUAUACCCCCGGUUCAUCAUGACAGGAACAUAUCCUUCCAUUUGACUGUGUAAUUCGCUCGCUUUCCUCUGUAACAUGAGAAAGAGACACCUGCAUAACUAUGGGGAAAACUCAUGGAGAAAGAAAGAGAGCGUACGAGAGAGAGCUCACGAGGUAAAUUAGGCUUCAGGUCAACAGUAAGCUGAAUUGGAACCAAGCUGCCAUCACCAGAAGUUGUUGCCAACACAGCCCGAGAGUCACCAACAUUUGCAACAACAAUGAGAUUACCCUGUAAUUCAUCAAAAGAAAUGAUUCAGAAAUAAGAAAUCCACUAUUGGAUGUACAAAUUUGAAGUCACCAUCACCAUAUUCUGAUUGAUUUACAAAUCCAAAAACAAUAAAUUUGAUAACCUGUCUGACAAUUGUCAAAGCUGUUGAACCACUAUAAAAAGAAUCAAUCCCUGGAAGCUGAGCAAGUUGAUAAUCAAUUGCUGAGCAAGCCUUGAAGUAAGACUGCUUCCAUAUGUCAAACUGGCAGCGGCAUCCAUCUGAUGAUCCAAAUUCAUCACUAUCUGGUUUCACGACAAAUUGGGCAAGAGUUUCUUGCCAAUUGCACAGCAAAAAGGAUGGCAUCAAUUGCCUCACUGUCUUGGCCACAAGAUGUCCCCAAGGACCAUGCCCGUCAAAAAUGCCACAGAAUAUCAUGUCCUCUUGGCAUCCAAACUCCUAAAAAAGGUAACCCAAUCUCAUCAAUAAACAAAAUCUUAAAAACUACAGAUUGUUUCAUUAGUAUAGUGUAUUGUGGAUUGUAAUCUACAUACCUCCCAGACAAUAAAGCGAUCCUGAUUUAUUCCUUUCUUCCCCUUCUUAGAAUAAGCUGAAGCCAUAUUACUGGUCCUGUUUGCAUUGACAAUGCCCGAAGAAGUCAACAUCAUUUCAUUUUUUCUUGCUUCCUUGGCCAAAGUAUCUGCAGCAUCCCUCCCAACACCAAGUCUACUCUUUCUACCACUCCUAAUAGAAAUAUUUUUUGCCAAAGUUGAAAGGAUAGUGGUAAACUGCACCAUCUUCUCUAAUGAUUGUCCUGCACAAGCUGAUGUUACUGCAAAAUUUCACUUUACUUGAAAAUAGAUCUUAUUGUACUGGAAAAAAUCAUCUAAAAGUUAGUUGAGAUCACUAAAAUUUUUAGCUUCAUUUCAGAACUCUUUGUUAUUCUUUUUUCUCUGAAUUGGCAAGUACAGCUACAUGUUCUAUUAACCCAAAGUGAAUAAAUAAAUGACGAUUGGGGAUAAUUUAUCUCUCAAUUUUAUUGAUGAAAAACGAAGAGCUUAAAUAUUUCUUUGAGGCAUUUAUUCAUGUUGACUGUACUUUGAACUUUAUUUAGGCAAAAGUGAUGGAUGCUUUCAUUUUCUUUCAAUCUUUGCAUGUCCAUUCUGAUAGGAAAAAGGGCUUGAUAAGUAAAAAGAUCAAUUUUCAGUAAUCAUGUUACGUUUAUGCUUUUAUAAGCUAAAACCCCACGAGGACAUGAGAAAUAUCCUUCAUCUGUCUUUUCCUGAGCUGUCAGCAAGGUUCUAAUGGAGAAUUUCUGGAAUUCUACAGUUUAAAAGCAUGCUUGUUUUUCCUUUAUUUUGUUGGCAAAGAAACUGUGCAAGAAUAGUUCUACCAUCCACUCAUGUUACGAAUACCUCCAUGUUUGAAGAAAGUAAUAUGCUAGGUGCCAAUUUACACUUUAUAGAGACUUGGUUGUUUUUGGCUUUUAUAAAGAAUGAUAGCUUCAGUUUCAGAACUCUCAAAACAAAGCGAGAACUCGUAAUUUUCCAAUCAACCUUCUACCCUCUUCUUCUCCAAGAUUUCUCAACAAAUGAAUCCAUCGUCCUCCUUUUCAUUCACAGCGAAAAACCACUGAAUCCAAUUCUAAACAAUAAUGAAUAUUCAUCAACCACAUAGGGAAAGUUAUGCAUAACAUCUUAGAAGUCAAAGAAUAUAUGAGAGGACGGACAGAUGAUACGCACCACUUGUUACUUGCGGCCGGCUCUUUAACUUAACCAAGAAAGAAAUUCUGAAACUCUAGAAAUCCACAGCAAGAACCCAUUUUCCGUCCAGCUCCGGGGAAAAUUCGGCUAGUCAGAUUGAUAUGUAAGGGAGCAGGAGACCCUUGAGAUGGCUUACACUCCAUUCUAGUCUCUUCCUCAAACAACGAGUUGCAGCGUAAUAUAUAGAGUCAUGUAUUGCUUUAAUGCAGACGCGCCAUCGGGGAAUGAUAGAAGUACAAAACGACCCCUUUGUUUAACAGCCAAAAUCCAAUCAAAAGCUGGCCAUUUUAGAAAUUUAACAAUGAUUUUCUUAAUCACCAUUCUUCGUUUCCUAUCGAAAAGCCUUUCUUUCACUAAGUCUUUUUCUGGAGGGUAAUGGAGGUCAAUGUUGGAGUAACCUUCUAGUUUAAGAUGUCAAAUUAAUAACGACCAAGCAUUGUUAAAAGCUAAUUACAAUUUAAUCAAGCAAUUAAGCAUAAAUUAAUGGGUAUGGAUUUGGAUAAUGAUGCAAAUGCAUAGAAUAUUAGGGGUAAGCACUAAAAUAAAGUAUCUUGAUGGUUCAAAAUGUUGCAGACUCAGCUUGGCAAUUGGAAGAGCAGUUGGUAACAUAUUAUAUGUCACCGUUCAAUAUUAAAUGUUAAUAUCGGUAUUCCUUCUAUAUUUAUUUAGGUAAUUAAAGAAAGACUUGAGGGUGAUACCCAGUCUCACAAGUUGCAUCACCAUUCUGUAGUAUUUUAUCAAGCGCUAAUUUUAAAUGGUUGAAAUUAUAGGAACAUUUUGGUUUGUGGUGGUUCCUGCUAGAAGCUCGUAGCAAAAGGUUAAUUAGUAUGACAAAGUCAAUGCAGGACAGACAUGAUAUGAGAAUUUUUAAUUCACUAUUUAGAUGACACGCGACACAUAGUAUUAGGAAUAAGAAUAAUUUUUUUUAUAUACUAUCAAUGUAAAAUUUUUUCUUUUUUUUUUAUUUUUUAUUUAGCGCAAGCAGAUUUAGAUUAUGUUACAUAAUAUGAAUUUAAAUAACUUAAAAUUCAAUACACGCACAUCUGCAUGUAUUGAAUUUUUAUAUUAGGAAAACAUUACUAUCUUUUUUUUUUUUUUUUAGUAGGCCUAACAAAAGGCAUAAUUUGACUUGAAAGUGGCCAUGGUAUGGAAAAGCAGCUGGGAAGAAAUGGAUUCUACAGCGCAUGUCGGCAUCCAUCAACUAGCGAGUAGAAGAAUUGAAGACGUUUACACGUCCAACUAGCUAGCUAAUUAUUGAUUUACAUAGUUGGAAGGUCUCUGUCCAGUUUGUUUGUGUAAAAACAGCUUUCGCAAAGUUCAACUUUCUUUCCUCUUGGAGAGGCUGAGCCACACCAAGUUCGAGUGUAUUACGUGUUGGGGGUUCGGAGUACGUUACUGUCUAGGACUGGAAUGCCCGCCUUGUGCCUACUUGACACUGCAAAUCCAAGUACCGAACCCUUGACAAUAUCUAGGGACCAGACCAUAUACGAUGUUGUCUUAUUCUAAUAGAAUACUAGAUGAAGUGAUUACAUGAAACAAUGAUACAGUUCAAUUUCUACCACAGAGACACAUGAAGGUCGAGAUUUUUUCCUCCCGAGCAUAUGAAGUCACAAAAUCGAAAGAACUAUCGUGACAGUUCCACAUGCUACACGUGUUCUACAGGGGGGAAAGUCCACAACACGUUUAAUCAGCAUGCUCCAUUUGGUUAAAGAUUUGCUAAUGCACUCAAUGCUCCAACUUUCAGCUGGAUUUUGCUUAGACAAAAAGGUUUGGCAGCUCAACAAACACACAAGUUCAAUAAGAUCCCAAUAUAUGAUCGCAUCUAAACAACUACUCAACAGCAUUCUUUUUUCUUUUUCUUUUUAGUGUAAGUGAGAGGGCUCGAACCCGAGAUCCCUCACUUACAUUCUCUCCUCCAAAUCACCCAGUCCAUCCCUUGCCCAAUCACCCCCCUCUCUUCGAAAGAGUGGGGGGGGGGGGGAGGGGUUACUCAAUAGCUUUAAUACAAUGCAAGGCAGCAAGUGACAAAUCUUGCACAACUUUUACAGCUAUUGUAAACAAACUUGGGGAGCGUUUUAAGUUGAAGACAUCUUAAAGCUCCUCAUGGCAGGAUAUAGGAAUCCACCCAGUAGAAUUUAUCAUACAUCAAACCAACUGCAAUUGUUAAGUCUAUAUUGCUGUAAGUGAUAUCAAACUCAAACAAACAUUUGGCAUGCUUAGCCAAUCAAUCAUUCCAAACAAAUAAGAGAUGUGAUUAACAAAGAUCAGCAAUUGAGCCUCACUGCCAACUCAACACCUUUUUCUGCUCACAACUUAUCAGAGAUGCUGGCAGUUCCUGAACAUGAUGGUCAACUAUAAAGCAAUGCUUGGUAUAGCAGUAUUGACCAUGGACUAGACUUCUGGUAAGACCAUGUUAUCAUCCUAAAAAUAUGUGGCCAAUAAGUAAUGCUCUUGGCUAAAACAGUUUAUGAGAAUAUACAAAAGAUAUCUAGAGAAUGCAGAUCGCAGAAAUUUGAUUGAAUAUAUCAAUGAAAAGAUGCAAGGGAAUGGGUAACAAGCAAAAGGUAACAACUAGCUUUGUGGAGGAAUUGGCUUCCCUCUCCAUAAAGAUAUUUUGCUUCGCUUCUAGUUGAGUUCCACUCAAAAUAGAUACAGGAAGCCAACAUCUAUACGAUUAGGCAAGAAAAAUAAAAACAGCCAUAUUUUGUUCUCAUCUUUCUCAUCUUCAGAUAGAAUUGACAGUUGAUAUUAACCUUGUAUCUUUUCUAUAAAUAGAUAUUACCCUAAGACGUCGUGCUAUUCAUCUGCUCAGCUUGAAAGUCUCUCAAGAGCUGCAGAGACUGAUGAUAGAGAUUAAGAUCCAUGCCAUCUACAUUCCUACCCACUCGCGCCCUCAAAAUUGCCUGACAUUUAUGAUAAAAGCUCACAGUAAAUAAAAGCAUGAAGUGGUCAGAAAAAAUUUUAAAAAGCCUCGAGAGGUUUUUUAUGUGUGCCAUGAUUAGAUUACGCUUAAGCCAAAAGACACGCUGUGUAAGAUAUAUUGCAUAUGUAAGCACAAUCAAUCAAACAUGCAGGGUCAAUUUAAUUAAUUAAGAGCAAAAAUCACAUGGUACAUUCAAAAAACUUAGCUUGAUCACAGAAAUGAAGCGUGGAAAUAAAGCGAGAGGUUGAUCUCCAGUUGAAGAAUGUCCCAAACACAAAUAUCACACCCAUUUCCUAAUUUUCCUAUGUAACAUCACUUAUUUAUCAUCCUCUGCAGCCUGUUGCUCUAUAAGCCACUCAACUUAUAGAUGGAGAGAUCAAAGGAUUCCAAACAUCAAAUUGUCAUAGGGGUUUACAGAAAGGGCACCAGAAUGGAGGAUAUAAAUUCAAUGAUUGCUCAAAUAUUUGUAUGUAGUUGUACAAGAAAAUCACCAUAGACAUGCAUACCUGAUUGCUGGGGUCAAUAAGCAGUUCUCCAAUGAACUGGUACAAGGAACCUAUGCGAAGAUUGACCUUCAAAUGUUGCGUGUCAAUCUUUAAGGAAGCAUUGCCUUCGACAAUUGACGCAAUUGCAGUCUCUAUGUCAUACUCCUGUAGCCUAUAAAAUAGAACAAAUUAACCCUCUCAAAGCUGCAUAAUUGAUUUUAGAUUGUAGCACACAAGUGGCAUAUCCGACAAAAUAUCAUAAAACAAUUAAGGAGCUGAACUUUCUUUAGAAUCCCGUGUAAGUUUGUAUAAUUUUAUGUUCUUCUGCACUCGAAACACCUCAGAAAUUUUACCGUGGUACAUUGAUAUGAUGGUAAGAAAAGUAAAUGGCAAUGAUGAUACCACCACGCUUGAAGUUGAAGUAUAGUUGCAGAUAAACAUCGAUAUAAAUAAAAAUAAAUAAAUAAACUUCUGAUUACAGGAGUACUGAGACAUUUUGUGUUGGCGAAAAACAAGCAGCAUGGUGGCUAAUUAUUGAAAAGCAAGAAGCAACAUUAUUGUCACUAACAAGUGUGCAAAGAUACCAUGACAUGAGCCGAUGAAAGGGCCUAUCAGAAAAACCCACUACCAUACUUUCGAGUUGAGAAGUGGCCCUGCUUUCUCCCCAUCUUAUUAACUUUUUCUCUAUAUGUUUCACAAAUCGAAACAGACAAAAUUCAAGAAGCAUUUGCAACAAGGAGCAACACGGAAACACCUACUUUCCAGUAACUCGAAGCGAUGCUCCUUGCGUGAAUUGUGGGGAGGAGGGAACUAGCUCCUCAAGAGUCACCAACGCACCAAAACGUACAGCAGAUGUUGCCAUUGAAGCAAUUCUACAAACAGGCGGAGCUAUUAGAGUUUCACUGAGGUAUUGUUGAUCGUAAACGAGAAAUUAAGAUAAAAAUAUCCAAAGUUUGAGAGCACUUUACAUGAUCAAUGUCAACUAAGUAAAUCAAGACAUGGAUUUCCAAAAGACAAAAGACAAUUUUAUGAUUAGUUUGGGGCUUCAGAAGCUACCUCCAGAUGAAGAUUAAAAAUGUUCCCUCGGUUUCCAAAAUUAAAAAGGCCGGAAAUAUUUUGGACCAAUUUAGUUAUCGAUUCGGCCACUUGGAUUCUGAUUUUUCCCUCGUGGGCCCGUUUGGAUUGCUGAUUUUUAAUCAAUCUUAUACUAUCUCCCUUUAAGGUCCAAUGUGCUCCAUCAUUUUUCAGUAGACGAUACAUCUUUUCUUCCACAUGUUUACCGUGUCAAAAGUGGAGGCGAGACUACCGCAAACAGAAAUUCGAAAUGAGUUGAACAGGGGCAGGAGACAACUAGAAAGCGGAUUGUUGGUCUGAGCAUCUGAAGGCACUUUCUAAACUAACCAUCAUAAUGUAGCCCAGACUCUCCACCGCCCAGGCGUUAUAGACCAAGGGAAACAUGACGUUGCUGAACACACGUUCAUCAUUUAUAGGAACUAAUUUAUGUAAAAGUUAAUUUGAGAUAUAUAUAUAUAUAUAUUUUUUUUGAAAACGACAACAGUUGCAUAAUCUAAUCUAUUUCACACUAAGAAGGAGGAGCGGACCUAAAAAGAUCCAGAAAUAAUUUGAGAUACAUGGCCAACAAGUUAUAACUGUGUCAGGAACCAUUAAAAAAAAAAAAAAAAGUCAUCAACGUCUGUCCACAAUGUUCCUUUUUUCAGUUUUUAUUUUUUUAGGGGUGAGGGGAGGUUGGUUGAACCAUAUUGCUCUAUAAUCUAUAUUGCACAGAAGUCUUGUGCACAAAUUUUUGUGAAUCUUUCAAAGUACAUAAAAUAUCACUCCCAUGAAGAAUUUAGAUAUCUUCGGUGCCUGCUGAUAUCGUGCUGAAUAUUAUCGGUUGAGAAGGUAAACAAUCAUUUCUUUGUCACUGGAUCCUCAUCCUCCUCUAUGAACAGAACUGCAAAUCUUAAUGAAAGAGCUUCCCGCAACUGGCAAACUCCGGCGCUUAUUGUCAAAGUAGACCACCAGAUAUGAUAGUUCAGGUGUCAACAAUGGACUAAUGCCUUGAGGAACACCAGAGUGAAUCAUGAAACUUUAAUUUCAUUCAUGUACAUGUAGAAACAUUAAGCAGAUAAACUUGUAUAUAACUUCCACUUCCUCGAACAUUAAGAGCCCUGCUAAAGAGCGCCUAUAUAUAACUUCCAUUUUUUUUCUGAAUUUUCUUGCUUCGAACUGAAGUUUCUGGUCAACCACCACCCCUUUCCAUCUCUCUCUCUCUCUCUCUCUGGUUGGGGGGCUCCCGCUGUGUGUGUACUCUCCGCCUGAGGUGCAUGUCUCACCAUACUUAAAGACACGUGGAAGAUGAUUUUCAGCUAUAUACAAGCCGUAGUUAAUAAAGAUGAUGCUCAGUGAAAAACUUGAGAUGAUGCAUAGUACUCGCUUUCAUUGAACACAGGUCUUAAAUCUUCUUUGGACAUGAAAUCCAAAGGGAAAGAAACAAGAUGCCCCCUAACAGAUUCUAACCUCUCCAAGGGAUCAGUGCAUUUAAUAUCCCCAUCUUGAUAAGACUCGAGCUUAUUUGGGGCUAUUCCUAAAUCAAUGGUUGCCUGGCCAAGUUUUUCUUUCCAGUAGACCAUGCAUUGACGGAGAGAAGCCCUGCAAGCUUACAAAGAUUUUUAUACAAUCAACAACAAAAAGAAAAACAAAUCUUUGAAAGAAGGAACGCACCUGGAAUGGAUUAGAUCAUUGGGUAUACAAGAAAAAACAUCUUGGUAGACCAUGGUAUUUGUCUGGCAAAAUCACAUUACACAGAGAAGUUAGUUGGAGGUAAAUAAAAGCCAGUGUUACAAACCCUAACUCAUAGCACAUAUGAGUUCACUCAUUGUGAGAAGUUAGUUUACUCAUUACAUUGAGAAGUUAGUUGGAGGUAAAUAAAAGCCAGUAUAUAAGAUUACUCAUUGUGAAUGGAUUAAUUUUCUAUACACUGACCGUGUACACACUUUCACCAUUAAAUACAUGACACAUAAUCCGAAUUUGAAUUUGAAACCCAAAUUUUGCAUAUGUGUCGUGCAUCCAACCGUGAUAUUGUAUACGCUGUCAGUGCAUAUAAGAUUUACUCAUUGUGAAUUCUUUCUUUUACAUUCGAGAAGAUUACAAACUUGUUGGCUCAAGUAACUAAAAUGACUCUUCCAUCAAAUCAUACUCUGGAGUUUAACUCCCAUCUUUAUUAUUGCAGACAGAAAAUUAUACACUGAGAAUCAAGAUAGAAGUAAUGGGCAACAACCAUAUCCUGACAAAGAUGAGCAAACAUUUCAUUGACGACGUACUUGAAAAUGGCAUUUUACCUUGGCAGUUGCCAUCCAUAUUCCCUUAUACGUAGAAUCAAUCACCGGAUCUCUUAUUUGAUGGACCUAAAAGAGGAUAACCAAUUAUCACCCAAAUCUCACAUCUCAGAAAAAGAUGAAAGACAGAUGCAGAGGCCAGAGGUUAGAAAUCUUUCAUCUAUUAAUUCUACCUAGUCCUUUUCUACUUGCUUUUCUGUGAAUGACACAUAAAUUGGCUAUGCAUAUCCCUCCUAGAAAGAAUGGGGAAAGAAAAAAGAAAAAAAGGAGUUCCAUAGAAGAAAUGAUUUCGAGAGGUAUGACUAUCACACGGUAUCAAAAGGGUGAUGGAAACUAACCUCUCCAGCUCUAAGACCAAGGUGCUCAGACCAUAGAGAAAGCCGCAAGCUCGAUGCAAACUUCCCAGCCUUCCAUGCCUUGCCUCCCAUUAAUGAAUCAAACAGUUCUUUGUCCUCAACUAGUACACCAAUCUGAAACAACAUAAGUAACAUGGCUGGUCAGCAACCAGGGGCAUAAUUUAAAAUGCGAAUCAGAACCAAAUUCCUAGUGAAAAGCAAACCAAAUUCCUAGUGAUAAGCAAUCCCAAAUUAUGUAACGAAGUGGAAGUAAGAUUCAACAAAUUUUUUGAGGUUCAGAGUACUGCAAUAUGACAUACAAGUCAACACCCAUACCAAGAUGUAUUUAGAUGUGCAUUUUAUCAGCUAGGAGACAAAGCUUGCAUAGCUUACCAAACAAACUUCUAUGCAUAAAGAACAAAAGGAAUGGGCUGAACGACGUGAAAAAUAAUAAUUAUUGCGAUGCUAAGAAAUGGCUAAGAAGCUCAGGAACUUAUGCUUGCUAGAGGAAGACCAAGAUAAAUUUGACUCAGAGAAGAAGUAUUCUUCCUUUUCUAACAAAGCUAAAGGAAAAGUAUGUGCUUUCCAUUAUUCUUUGAAUAAAAUAGACGAAGCAGCUGACAUCAAUCACUCUGCUUAAAUGAUUAUACAGUGAUGCCUGGUGACCAGAAUAAGCAAGGUACAAGUCCUUUACAGAGGUAUAAAGAUGCAAUUUACCACCCGUAAUCUACAAGGAACAAACUCAAGUAAGAACCCAUGAAUAAAGACUGAAGAGAAUGGAAAUAGAAUAAGAGAGUAAUGUAAACCACCCCGAACAUUCAACUAAAUCUGUAUAAAAAAUCCACAGAUAAAGAAAAGGAAUAAAAUAUAUACCUCAGAGUCCCUUGAGCCAAGCAAACUUCUAUCAUUGAUGUUAGCAGAUCCAACUAGAGUUAUACAAUCGUCAACUAUCAUGAUCUUGCUAUGUACAUACACCUAGAGAAAUGAAAAAAUCACCAAUAGCAUCAUCAAUUUUAUGUUGUAGAAGCAGAAAAGAGAACUUUGUAGUGAAUAGAAACAGUGAAUUCUUAUCCCCUUGAUUUGCUUUUGCAAGUCAAGUGUAGUGGAAAUGAAAUGCAAUUAUCCAAACAUUCAACAAAUUUAUUUUUCAGUGCUGUAACCAUCAGACUAUUACAUGUUUCCAUGAAUUUCAUCUUUUUAGAUACUAAGCAGUUCCAUGGCUUCAUGAGCUGUAACUACUACGAGUAGUAUCAAUCAAACAAACAACUCAUUUGAGUACGGGCUGCUGUUUUCUACCGUGCAUAAUUCUGCUCGGAAGAAUACAAGUGGCUCUACAUCAAGAUAGAAUGAAGAUAGGGGCAACCCCAGAAAGGUGGACAGGACCCAAGGUGUGGAAGAGAAAGGAGGUGAAAAUGUACAGGGUUUAAAAAAAAGAGUUAAAAAAAAAGAAAAUAAAGGGACAGAUAGCAAUAAAUAAAUAAAUAAGAGAGUUGUCUUUGCGGCUGCAAGGGGUACAGUUAAAGCAAUGCAAAGUUACCAAAAUUAAAUAAUAUUUUAGCGUAAAAAUCUUAAAUAAAAAUAACAAAGGACUACCUUAGCAUUUCUUCCAAUUUCAAAUAUGCAACUUGCAAACUUCUACACUUAGAUAUAAUGUAUACCAAAUAACGAACUAACAUAUCCUUAUUAAAUAAUCAACUAAAGAUAGGUCCUGCCUGUCUAAUAACUAACAAAUGGACAGUUCACUCACCUAAACGGUAAAGUGCAUAAACGAGUCAAAUUUACACAUAAAUACCAUCAACAACUAAACAAUCAGAAGGUCAUAGAACUAGCAAUCAGAUGCUUGCAAGAGACUUCUUAAUACACAAAACUUGAAAAAAGAAAUUGCACAGUCACCUGACUGGAGGCCACAGGACCACCUUCAAAAAGUCUACCAUGAGCUCUAAGACCGUAGAAAGAUAUAUAGUCAUGCACUCGAGGUCCGAUGUGAUCAUAAAGAUUGUCCAAUAUCGAAUUACGUCCUCUGCAUAUUGUUCGAUACUGCCAAUGCAUAAUUGCUCUCACAGAUGCUGCACCACCAUCAUCCACACCACCCUGCCAAAGUAUAUAGAGUGAAAAAAUAAAUAAAUAAAGCAAAAUUACUCAUAUUGGACAAGGGGAACACAACCAAGCAUAGUACCUGGAAGCCUGGAAGAAGUGGUAUGACAAUUAUAACUCUGAAACACUUCUUUUCCUUGUAAGCUCGCAUAAUGCGUUGGUAUAAUGCUUCCAAUACACGAUUCCGUAUGAUCUCGUCUCCAGAAAGACCUGAGAUGAAGAAUUGAUUCUGGAACAAGUUUCCAGGAAUUUAUGUCAGACAAGAAACUAAAAGCAGUUUAGAAUAUGCCUAGCCUCCUUAAAUGGAAAACCACUCAAGAAAAGACUAAUCAAAUACUCACACUGACGGCAAUUGCAUCAGACAAUUGAAUGCAAAUUUGAUAAUACAAAAUCAAAAAGCAACAAAAUUAUUCAGUAAAAAAUAAGAAUGUUCAACAAAUGACCUGUCACAGGCAUGGUAAUCGCUUUCAAAAGAUAUCCCUUGUAGAAAAGGAAAACCAACUUCCUCAAAACCAGACCAUGAAACUUACAGAAGAAAAAAAGACAGACAAGUGCAACCAUCACUAACAUUAGCUUGUACUUCAGAGAUCAAUUGCCUUAUCCAUCACAGGAACGAAAAGGACACUUUUGAAUAAUUGAAACCUGGGGAGCUUCAGAAAAUGCUAAAUGAAUGGCUAUCAAGACAUAACAUGUAGAUCCCACUGAAUGCUGUAGAAAGUCGAGCAUAGGCAGUUUCUUAGCAGUCACCAAGGAUAAGGUAGUGUUCCAGUUAUAAACAGGACACUAGUGGCACAUAGGGUCCUUUCCAAUAUUAUUUUCCAAGUUAUAUUCUCCUCUGGCUGUGCCUUUAGUCCCAUCCAUACCACCUUCCCAUAUUUCACAAUUUUCCAAGACUUGCUCAAAUAUAUUAAACACUCCGCACGAAAAGUCACAUUCAAAAUAUUUACCUUCCUUCUGAAACUACUGGCCCAAAUUUACUCCAAAUUAGUUACCUAGAUUAACACAAUUAAUUCAUUGAUUAUCAAAAAAAAAAAAAAAUUACCACAACUAAAACUAAUAAAGGACAGGAAUACCUCAAUAUAUAUGAAGUGUUCUGCCUUCUCGAUAAGAGAACAGUAAGCACUGUGAAUGCUUUCCUCUAUUUGGCUAGUUCCAGCAGACCAUUGACUGACACUCCUUAUAACCUAAACUUGGAAGCAUCAAAGGACAGUAGUUAUUUAAAUAACCAACAUAAAAAAGAAAAAAAUUUUAAAAGAGUAUAAUCCUCAGAUAUAUUACAUAGAAUCUUCUAAAACAAGCUCAUGUUUGGGAUGCUGUAGGCCCAAAAACAGUUGCAGGUCAUUUUUCACAAUAUACCCAUAAAACACAUUCCACCACCUCCGCAAUGACAAGCCAUUGUAACAUGAUGUAAAAGUAAGCAAUUAAAACAAUCUUAAUGAAAUUCAUAUGAUAUCACAGUACAUUCUCCCACUAAGAAAAGGUUUUAAGCUAAAUAUUGUGAACUAUACUCAUACCAGAACCAGUUCUUCUACCUCAGCCCAUGUAGCAUAUAUAACCGCUAUUUGCUUACAAGUAAAGUUAUGUAGGUCAAAGCCCCCCAAAAAGAACUUGUUAAGUAGAACAAGCAAAGAUUCCAGCAUAGCCUAAAUAGUCUUAAACAAAGUGUACUUUGUGCUCAUUAACCAGUAACAGACACAACUGCACUAAAAAGAAUGACAUAAACAACCUGGAGAUUAUAGCACACCGCUCUGUUUAUAUAGCCAAACACAACGUACUAUGAAUCCCACAUAGGAGGAUAGCAUGAGAACAUCAACAUAUGAAUCACGCUUAUAAUAGUAAUAUGUCUAAUGUUUAUUUGUUACAUGAUACAGAAACAAAAACAUGAUCUUAAUAUGUAAUAUAUCCUUCCUAGCAAGUGGGAAAAGUUACUAAUCAUGCCCAUCUAUUAGGACAGGAACCUAAUCUACUUAAUAAUCACCAACACUUUUUAUAUCAUACACUGAUGGGAUACAAUAUGGAUGCACGCAUGUCACUCAGUAUAGAGAUCCUCAACCUCCUAAAGAAAUUAUAUCUAACCCCACCUAGAGAAACAAAAUCCUGAGCCAGAGUUGCAUGGCCUAAACACUACAUCUUCAAUGAUCAAUAAAAUUAGAUGUAUACAUGAACUCAAGUAGCUCAUCAUGGAUAAACAUUUGAUCAGAAAGAACUGGGGCACUGUGACAUUUAGAUCUCACCUGACAUCGACAUGAAACACGAGGACCAACUUGUCCACUUUCAUCUGCCAGAUCAACUUGACCACUUCGAUCCUGUGUUUCCCACCAUUCAUUACCUGAAGGCUUGAAUCCAGGCUGCAUGGAAGACAACUCCUGCAGCAUAUGUGAGGCAUCAAGAUCAUCUACAAAACCUUUCAUUGGCAUAUCUGGAUUAAUUGGUUCAACUUUUGACUUUCGGAAAGAGAAAGGACUUUUGCUGGGCCUGCUUGCUUGAUCAUGGAAACCAUAUUCCCUACUUAAACCAUUUAAUUUUAAUUGCCCCUCUGAAGCAUCGAGCCCAUCUGCUUCUUGAGGCAUGAGUAAGGGGAUAUCCUGGCAGGAUGAUCGAGCCGAAAAUGAUUCUUGCUUUUUGGUGCGUUUACGGAUGUUUCCAUCAUUCUUAAUUUCAUCAUCAAUGUCUCUGUUAAUUCCCAUGUAGUGGGGAAUAACCAUGUGAUGCUGUGGCAUAAGGAGUGGGAUCGCCUCCUCAUAUGGAGCUUUAUUCCUCUGAAAAAUGAUAUAGCUAUAAAAUCACCAAAGCUUUUAAAUUCAGAGAAUACCUAAAACUGUAACAAGAUUAACCUUUGCAUAGUUCCAACGCUGAACAAAAUGUCUAGCAACAUCACGGCAAGGCGGUCCCCAAAAAGCACAGUGAACAUCAUGCCAUGGCAUACGCGGAUACUUUUGCCGAUCUAAUUCAUCUUUCAUAGUAUCUUCCCAUGAAUUUGGUUCCGACUCCCUGAAUUGUUAUUAGGUAUCGGACAGGCAAUUAUUAGACAUAAUCGAUGCAGAUUGUAGCUCUCCACAAAGUCAAUCUCAUCACUGUAUGUGUGUGUGUGUGUGUGUAUGUAUGUAUGUAUCACACAAUGAGUCGGUACAUUUGUAGAUCCAUUAUCAUCAAAAAGCAAAUUGACAUUGAAAAGUUCCAGAUCCAAAUUAUUCAUACUUAAAGUAAACAAUGUAAAGUAUCCAUCUUUACUUGUUCUUUGCAACAACAAUCCUCACUCAGGUAUAGCAACAAACAACUAGAACUACUUCAAGAUCAUUAAGACCAAGUAAUUUAUGGAUGUUCCAAUGCAGCAGACCAUCAUGUCCCACUAGAUAAUUCUGAGACUAAAUUGACUUCUAAAAUCAGGAUAAAUAGUUAGCUACAAGAUUAAAAUGAACUUGUAAUGAAAACACGGGGAAAGCACCUUGGGUUGUAAUAGUCCUUUCCAGGCCAAUUGCAGGGAGGGUAAUCGCCCACUUUGUGAUCAAAUGAAUCAUAGCGACCAAAGCAGAGGUCAAGCCCUCCAAGAAAGCAAAUAUGGUGGUCAACAAUAACAAUUUUCUCAUGGUGCGACCUAUGUAUAAGCAGAUGUAAGUCCACAGAAAUUUCUGUUUCAUCACUGAGUGAAAACAAUAAUCAAGUACCAUAUCUGUAGGAAAAGAGUAUGAAAACUUAAACAGCUACUGGCUUUGACAAUAAGGUGCAUACCAUAAAUAGACACCAGUAGAAAAAUGGUCUGGAUAUCGUAGUACUCUCACAUUCUCAUGGAUGCCAAGAAGCUUUUUCUUGCUGUAGACACUGUUAAUUUUCAGAGCUAGCGCAACCUCUUUGUAUAGAAGAAUAUAAAUCUACAGGAAAAGAAAAUUCAAGAAUCCAAAAUUAAAGUUCAUACAGUUAGGAUAACAAAAGCAGGGACAAGCCACGUUCAGAUGCAGCCAUAUUUUCAUGAAAGCCACAAUUGUUUCCUUCAAAGAACUUCAGAAGUAUUGGCAUGUAUGAAACAUAUAACAAGUAAAUCAUAUGUACAGGCGUAUAUACCUGAACACCUUGCUUAGCUUUCAUUUCUAGUAAAGCAUCAAGCCGAGAGGAUGCAUGAGCAUCAAAAGGCCGCCGCAGGUAGAGUUCUGGGCAGAGCCACCAACCACAAAUAAAUAUCUGCAGGAAACUUCUAUUCAUAUUCUACUUGCUCAUAUAAUAAAAAGUGAAGAAUAUUAUCUGUGAAGGUGAAACUAAAGCUUUGACCUCUGAUUUUGCAUCCUCAAUUGCCAAAGCAAUCGCUUCAAAUGCCACCCGACCAUCUACAAACCACUGAGCCUGACUACCAUCUUCUGUCAAUCCCCGAGGAGGAGCAAAAGAUCCAAAACGGUGAGGGUGACACCAACCCUCAGGUGGCCUAAGACCAGCAUCAUUAAUUGCAGCAACCCAAUCUUUGACUUUAGCAUUGGCCUUGGUUCUGACCUUGAUGCACCGGAUUCCACAAGAUACCUAAUAACAUCAUAAUAACUUCAGAAAAAGUGCAACUUCUUACAAAUAGCAAUGCUGACCUUGGAUGAAAACCAGUCACUCAUCAUUUUAACUGGGACUAGGAAGCUAGAGGCAAGGUAAUACAAGUCUAUGCUACAAACUUCCUUUAGAUCAUGAUGCUUUUUCUUGUUAUUCUCAUAAAAGCAUGGUACCAAAUAUUCCACUGAGAUGUGGAAAAGUUGGGAAAGGAAUAGGUUUUUAUUAAAAACCCAAAGGGCCCCCCAACCCAUGAACCUUUAGAGUUGCUUCAUUUCCACAAUGACUUGCUUGGGUAUUGACCUUCUUCUUCUCCUUCUACAUCCUUUCAGGAAUAGUAGCAAAAAUAUUCUUUGCAGAUCUCCAACCAUCUCAACAAGUUUUCUCUAAUUUAACACAAUUAUGAUUGUUCACUUUUUGUAACAUUUAUUUCGUUCAAAUUCAGGUCAACAUUUUAUUUCUUAGUUGACUAAAUCAUUAGCAAUUUCAAUACAGCUCCUUACUUGCCCAAAUUAUCUCUCUUCAAAUAGGUGGCCUUAACCCUGAAAUUUUCAUUUUGAUUAUACUGAUGCACUAUGACACUAGAACAUAUAAUGCUAUCACUCCAUUUAACCAUAUCUAUUUGUUCCUAUGAAUGCAUCAUCCCCGGUCCCUUUUUUAAUUCAAUCAUGAAACCUAAGCGCUCAGAUCAGUAAACCCAUUAUCCAUAUCUUUAACUAAAAUAUUCCGUCUCCAACAAUCAAGAAUUCAAGGAAAAUUAGAAUCCUAAUCCUCUUUAUAUUCAUCUACAGGUUUUUAUUUAUUUAUUUAUUGAAAAUUGAUUGUCUACAGACACACUCCCAAAGACAUCCUUCUCAGGAACAGGAUGCAAAUCUUUGUUAUCUUUAGAGACCCAUAAGAUGCUCUAAGGACUAACAAGAAACUUUAUACUUCAGGACUGGACUCCGAAUGUAAUGCUUCAGGAAGAGUGUCAACAUAGAAUGGGUCCUCUACAAGAAAAACAUGCAUAAACAGCUUACCCUGAAAUAAUGGCGCAAAGGAUUGUGAUCCUUUACUUCUUUUGCUAAUGAUACACGGCCAUCUCCAUUACCAUCUGAUGCUGGUAGUACAUCAAAUACAAUUAUAUCUAGAGGUUGCGCAUCAAAAGGAUCUUUGAGGAAGGCCAGAAAUCCAGGCUUGAGUACAGCCCAGACCUGCAUAUAAUUCCAACACUGUGAUAUUCCUUGUAGAGUAAAUCUAAAUUAGAUACUACAAUACAGGUAUUAGGAGCAUGACCAGAUUUAAAUUAGAAACUAAACUAUGCAUAUUGAAAGCAUAACUCCAGAUAGCUGAAAGCAGGUUCUAACAAUUUCAGCAUUCAAGCACAUGACUGGUGUUAGCUAAUUGAGAAUGCUUAAAAUCAAGUGAGGACACACAAACAGAUUUUUGAUGACAAGUUGAGGCCACACAGUAAAAAUGCUUAGAUUAUGGUUGACACAAUAUUGAGGGAUCCACAAGAAAAACUUUCCAGUAAAGAGAGAACCAAACGAGGAAAGCUGUAAAAUAUGAAAAGACGAAAUGAACGCAGUAAGGGAUACAGAAAAGCAAACCCAGUACAGCCUACCUUUUUCAUCAGGUUGCGAAACCUGUAUAUGAAGAAAAGGGAGAAAAGACUAGGAAUAACAAAACCUAAUAAUUCUCUGAAUAAGAACCACAUAAACAGGAUGCAAGGAAACUCAAAAUUCUAACUACCCCAAGCACUGACCUCUUAGACUCUCCAACCAAAGUCAUCAUGAAAUAAAAGUAAAGCAAAACAACAAUGGUCUUGUAGCAACUAAAAAUUGAAAGGUCACCAGUCAAUGUCAUGCAGUAGUUGAAAACAGUAAUGGAUCCAAAUAUGAGAAGAGGAAUUCUCAAGUAGUAUGCAAUUUUCAUUAUCCCCAAAAAUCAGAAAAAACAGAACGAGAGAUUCAUGGUAGAUUAUCCAGCGAAGAUAAUUACCUUCUGCCAAUUGUCUUUGCAGCAGCUGAACCACUGACAUGAACAACAGCCUUGAUGUUCAUCAUCACUCGGGAUUUUUGGUAAGUGCUUCACCAUGACAUAAUCUUCUUUUAGCUUAGGACCAUACUCUGGUAAAAAGGACAACCUGGAGACUUCCAAAAAUCUGCAAACCUGCCAUAUAAUUGGGAAAUGUGAAAGACAGAAAAAUACCGAGAAAGAAAUCUGGAGUAGCCAAAACAUGAAUUCAACUUAAUUUUCAAAAAAUGGAAACAUUAGCUGCAUAAGAGUUGUAGCCUAAAUACACAGUUCAGCUUAAAACAAAUCAAAGCAACGAUAUCUUGACUAACAAUCGCAAUCUCCUAGUGCUAUUACGGGUUAGUUACUAUUCCACCACACAGAUAUUCCAUGGUCAAUUAUUCUUUGGUGAAAGAGAUGUGCGAGAAUUUCAUACACAUGAUAACAUGGAAGUACGUGCUUGUGAAAAUUUUCCCUACUGAAUUUGUAUAUGUAACAUGAAGGGUUGAAGUAGUUGCCGAAUAUCAGGUAAAAUCUCUCUAGGUGCUCAUUUAAUUCAAGGCAACUUAAGAAACAAGGUAUCUCAUUUACCGGGUCAAGCUACUGACUCAUGCUCUUGGUGCAAGCACACAUGCAUAGAAAACACUCUUUCUGUUAGUUGCUGAAUUCUAAGGAUGAAAAUAUGAACAUUAAAGAAAACAAAGUGUGCUAAUUAUUAGGUUGUAACAAAAGUUGCUACACUAUCUUGCAAGCAAAUCUAAAACAAAAAUUCUAGAGUAAGACUUUGCAUACCUCCCGCGAAUUCACUAUAUCCAUGUUCCCAAGAAAGUGAUUCAAGUAGCCUUGCAUUGCUACUUUUGAUCUGUCAGACAUUGAAUUCUGCCGUCCUAGGGCAGGCCGAAUAAUUGGCAGGGCAGCACUUGACGGAACAUCUCUGAACAAAAAACUACCUGUAAGAAUCAUACAAAUUAUGAUGCUACUCGCAGUAUGUAACACUUCCUCCCCUUUCACAAUAAGCAAUAUAAUCUCAAGAUUCACCUGUUUUUGACACUUUCAUCAUUACGCAGAGGAAUGGUCUCAUCUUCAGCUUCUUCAUCAUCCUGCAUAACCGGUGUAUGAUCUCCUAUUCCUAAAUUUUGAAGCCAUUCUCUGACCUUCACAUUUACGCAUCCAUAAGAAACACAUCAGCAUUCCACCACAGAUUCAACAUGAGUAAAAAGUGCAACAGUUUGAUCAAACAAACCAACCUCCUAAAAAUAAACUGCAAAAAUGCACACCUAAGCAAAUGAAUCUAAGCAUACCUGCUCCUGCUUUUCAUGAAUUUCCUCAAUAAAUGCCCUUUUCUUCAACGCAAAAUGUAAAUAGAAUACUUGUGAAGCUUUCUUGACUAACUGCCACUUGAACUGAAGAAAGAAUAAGUAUUAGUCCAGCAGAAUCCAAUCAAUUACAAACCUCCUAACCUAUGGGGGGAAAAACACUAUUGGAAUAUUGAAGCUACCAUUCAACCAAUUGAAGUAUUAAUAUUUUUUUUAGGUGGAACUGACGGUAACGAAAGGUACCCAAAUAGGCUACCAAUCUUUUCGUCCCCUGUCACCAAUUUUAAUUGAUAAUUGUAGACUACCAAAAUUCGCACAAUCCAUCAAAAUUCACAUACUGCCCAUAAUUAAAACCAAAUAUGUGUAAGGUAACAAUAACUGUCACAACAACAAUAUAACUCCUAAAAUUCAUUUUCAGUCAAACAACAUCCUAAAUUAACAACUAAAUUUAGUUUAAUUACGUCCAAAAACCCAAACUCACUCAAUUUCAAAUCCGAAAAAGCCCCAGUUUUUACCUCGUCUACAAGAACUCUAAGUUCACCCUUUUGGCGUUCCCUGUCAAAGCCAACACUCCUCACCUCGCUCUGAUUCCUAGCUCAGGUAUAAAUGAACAAACUUCCAUUCAUAUCCAGUUCUCAAAAAUCCAAACUUGAGCUGAUUCCAGCAUCACUCUAUAAGCAAUCUGUUUAUGUUCUAGUCUCUUCUAUAAAACUCAAAGUAGCAACUUCUCCAUUAAACAAAUUUCUACCUGAUAUAUUGAAACAAACAAAAAAUAAACUAAUAAUGGCAGCAAGCGAGGCAAGGUGAAAUCAUACCUGUUUGUAUUGGAAUUCGAUUGUAUAAGUGAGCAUAAUAGGGCUAAUAUCGGCAGCAUCGGGGCGGGACACCUGAAUAAUAGUAGCCUUAGGCAACUCAUCGAAAAUUCGAGCUGACUCGGCUCCGUGAUGAUGAUGAAAGGAGAAGAAUGAUGACAUCAUCAUCGGCAGCGGCUCCGAUUGCACUUGCACGUACCUCGGGCCUCCUCCUCCUCCUCCGCCGCCGGUCACCAAGUGCUCCGUCGACGCCAUUCUCUCCGAUCACCACUGACGAUUUAACAAAAAAUACAGAAACACGUGUACAAUCGAUAACUAUGUCAAAAAAAGGAAUGACGCAAUUAAUUUGUUCCGGAUAGAGAUCAAGAAGAAGAUGAAACAAAAUUGAGAGAGAGAAAUUUGAGAAAAAUAAAGGGCUGAUUAGAAUUUGAUUUUUUGGGAUGAAAUGUGGAUUUUCCGUUUGGUAGUUUUCAACUUUUCUUUGUCUUCCGUUACGUGGACUUUGGUGUGUGGUCGGUUGUGGAUAGUCCGGCAUUUCAGGAUCCGGGUAGAUUUGAAUUGCAGUACAAGUCUCUCGCUCUUUAUUUUUUGGGUUAAUUACAUUUACCUCCCCUGAGGUUUGACCAUAUUACCAAUCAAUCCUUGAAAUUUAUCCAAAUAACAGUCUCACCCUUUGAAUGAUCAAACAUUUAACAAAAACCCCCUUAAUGCCGAAAAUGCCCUUUUUGAGACCAUAUUGCAUUAAAAAAAGAACAUAUUUUUAUUUAUUAACCUUUAAGUAAUCCAAAAAAAUCAUCAAAAAGUUUUUGCUUAUUAUUUUAUAAAAUUCAUAUCUUUGCUUCCAUAAAUAGUUUUGAAUCAAUAAUUAUUUUAAAUCUUAAAAAUAAAUAUUAAAAAUUAGAUAAAUUGAAAGAAAAAUAAAAAGGAAGCAAUUAUUUUAAAUUCUCAAGUAUGGUUCGAAUUUGUGGUUCAAGAUAUGUUGCGGAGAGCACAAGGCAUGUUUUCCUCAAUUUGAACCACACUUCAAGAAUUAAAAUAAUUUCUUCUUUUUUUAUUUUUCUUUCAAUUUAUCUAAUUUUUAAUAUUCAUUUUUAAAAUUUAAAAUAAUCAUUGAUUCAAAACUAUUUAUGGAAGCAAAGAUAUGGUUUUUAUAAAAUAAUAAGCAAAAACUUUUUUCUAUUUUUUUGGAUUGCUUCAGAGUUAAUGAAAUAAAAAUAUGUUUUUUUUUUUAAUGGAACAUGGCAUCAAUAAGGGCAUUUUCGGCAUUAAAGAGGUUUUUGUUAAGUGUUUGAUCAUUCAAAAGGUGAGACCGUUAUUUGGACAAAUUAUAGGGAUUGAUUGGUAAUAUGGUCAAAUCUCAGGGGAGGUAAAUGUAAUUAACCCUUAUUUUUUUCAAGUCUAUGCCUUCUAGUUUUCGUUUUCUGACUCUCUCUCUCUGCUUUUUUUUUUUUUUUUUUGGUGUUUUACAACAAUUUUUUUAAUGGUUUUGGUUGUGAUUAGCCGCUAGCCAGGAUAAUUACCCCGAGCUUAGCACAAUUGUGUGAGUUUUGGCCUUCAUUUGGAGAUAAAAUUCCCAGCACUAGUUUAAAUCAUCAAAGAGAUUAGGAAAUAGAAACUAUGAGUAUGGCUAUUUUGUUCAAGUGGAAGUUGGGAUAAAUGGUCCUUUUCAAUUUAGGUUCUAGAACACAAGAAGAAAUCUGUGGCUAGUACAGGGUAAUUACGGUUUGCUUUGGAGCAUAUCAGCAGAUGAGCUAUUGUUUAUACUUGACUAAUGGUCAUUAGGAUGCAAAAGCCUAAACCAUUUCUUGUUUUGAGUUUUGACUGGUAGAUUUUGCUAUUGUGACCCAGAUAAACCAACUUAAUUCAACGCAACUUAAUCAAUACUUAUAUAAAUAAAAAUUGUGAGUCAAUUGAUGCUUUCGAAUUUAUUUGCAUUAGAAUUUAGAAAUUGGCCUAGGUCUCCUUGAUCGCAUGCUUCGUCCCUUAGGAACUGACGUAAGUGUCAAGUUUGGACCACUACUAAUAUGCCAGGUAUUUCUAGAGAAUAGAGAGAGUUAAUUCUAAUCUGAUUAGAAGAAAUGUGGCAAAAAAAGAAACAAAAAAAAAAAAAAAACCAACGAAUUGAAGGAAGACAUAAAUUCCAAAUGUUUGGAUAGGAGAUUAUUUGGGAUAAAUUUUUAAAGAAUAUGCUGUGACAUUUUUUUGACAUGAUAUACAGUGAGAUAAAAAGAUGAUUAAAAAAUCAGUUGAUGACACAAAUAAAUCAAUGGAUGUAAAUAAGGUGCAAUCAAAACCAUUUAUUAGAUAUUGGAUCAUUUAAUCCAUGAUGAUCUAUUUACAUAAAACCAAUUAUCAUCCAUAUAUCAGUCUCUAAGCAAAGGCAGGAAAAAUGAAGACAUAAAGCAACCAAGACCAAGAGGGCUACAAAUGCUGGACUCAUUCUCUAAUAAUAAGUACUACUACAAACUGAAUGGUACUGAAUACCAUGGAGAUGUUUAAGCAGUUAAGAAUUACGUAUUUUUUAAUACCUAAUAACAACUAUACCAAGCGCCUUUUUGUUGCAUCCAAAAAAUUGGUAAAGUUAUUGUGGCCUGUAAAUGCACUAACAGUUUGGGCCCAAAGCAAAGCCUGCAGAUCUAGACGGUUGCUGCCUUGUUUAUUUCAAUCCAGUUUGGAUAUCUUCCAUCGAUUUGUACUUGUUGGGCUUCGAAAUCUUUUCCAAUCGAUUCUGGAUUUAUUAGUUCCUUUAAUAAAUAUGGCGGGUUGUUAUCGGGGACUAACAAAUAGUAGCAGUAGAUAACUUUAUGGAUUAAUUAAUAAUUGAGCUCACCCACCAUAAUAAAGUCUUUGGAUAUCAAAUCAGGCACAAGGAGCUUUUCACCAAAAUGUUCAAAUACAUACCUGACCUCACUUGAUUUUGUCUGCCUCAGGAGUUAGCCUAAACUUGACUUCAACAAUAAAAGCUUAUUAUUAUAUUCGGUGAAUUAUUAAAGAUUUGACUCAUCCAUCCAAAUUCCACCUUCCAUUCGCUUGCAAAUUGCAAUGCAACCUUUUUAUACGAUGAUAAACUAGUCUAAACCCUAUACAUGACAAACCAAUUUUCAGGAAAACCACUAAAAAGAAAGGUCCAAUCAUUUUGCCUAUUUUGACCCUUUCACUUCUCAUCCCACUCCUCUCUUUUCUAUAUUUUCCAAUGGAAUGGUAAGACAACCGUUUGCUUAUUAUAUGCAUGAAAUGAAUUGGCAAAGACAAGCCCAUCCUGAGGUGCUGCUGUGUUCGAUUCGCCCCUCCUACCGUCUUGUAUAUCUUGGAAGCAGGGUGCACAGGUACAAAAAGAGAUUAAUUGAUAAAAAAAUCGAGAUAUUUUCUGUAUCAAAAAAAAAAAUUUGACAAAGACAAAAGCUAUGAUAAACUAAUCUAAACUCUAUCAUUUUGCGCAUUGUACAUGAUCUUCAAGGAAUUUGUUACUACUUUUAAAAUACUACUAGAUAGACUAGUAGGUCACUAGAACUGGAGUAAGAUCUUUACAUAAAUGUCAAAAAAAAUUGCAUUGGAAAUUUGGAAGAAAUACUAACGUACUAACCAACCGUGGCGUAGGCGUAGAGGAAAAAUCUUUCAAUGCCACACGUUUAUUCAAGAAAAAAAAAAAGAAUCAAGGGUUAUGUUACCUGAGUAAAGCGCGGACCUAUGUGGGCGCCCCUUGAAAAUUCACCCCAAAAAAAAAAAAAAAGACAAAAUAAAUACUUACUAUUCCCUUCCCUUCCCUCCUCCCAUUGCCCCGGAAAAUCUUCGCUGCCCAAAAUCCCUAACCCUAGCUGAAAAUUUACUCCCGCUUCUCAAACCCUCAUUCAAUUUCCCGAUGGAAAUCUCUGUCAUCUCCGAUGCAUUAACGUCAGUGGCCUCAACCCAAGGUUUAAGCUUAGGGGUUUCAAAGCUCAACUUCUGUUCAAAUCAGUCUUCUGAACAAUCCGCCGGAAUUCUUCAAAUCUCCGCCAUGAUUUUUCCUCUCGAUGCUGUUGCACCACCGCCGGUGAAGUCGAAUCGGACAAGAACUUUACCGCGUAGACUGAUCAAGAAAAGGCGUCGUACCAGAAGAAGAUCUUCAACCGGUGAUGAUGAUAAUGAUGAUCCGGAAGAAGUUUUCGGGUUUUUUGGCGGCGACGGAGGAGUUUUUGAUGGGCCGUUUAAUAAUGGUGGCGGCGGCGGCGGUAGUUGGAAUUUUGGUGGGUUUGGAGGGGCAAAUUGGGAAGGGUACUCAUCCAACUCGUAUAAUGAUCCAGCGUUCGAUUUUGUUUACGAGGUGUUGUCGUGGAUUGUUUUAUCGAAUUGUUUGCAUUUUGCGUUUAAGAAGGUUGUGAGGAUUGUGGCUGAUGUAUUUGGUGAUCCUGCUAGGGAGAAGGUCCCGAUGAGAUUGGAACCUGUUUGCUGAAUUGGUAAAAGAAAUUGACUCCCCGAUGCAAAGAUAAACUCUUUACUCUGAUACACAUAAUUUAGGAUUUGAUUAUAUGUUCUUCGGGAAAAAAAUUAUGUAAAUAAGUGGACAGUACAUUUAGGACUAUGCUUCUUAAGUUCGCCAUUGCAUUUACCUUUUUAUUGUUUAUCAGCGUAAAUAAUGUAAAUAUUCAUCGAUGGAUGUCUGGCUGAUUUUCAAUUUGCUUUACUCUAUAUGAUUCUUCUAUCCACGGACUGAUAUAGUUGCGUUGCAUGGAUUGCGUGUUUGUGAUACUUCUGUUAUACGUUCUGUGAUGAUUGUUGUGGAGAUGUGUUCCCCUUCCAUCAUACAAGUCUGUGAGCAAAGAUUUGAGUUGUCUUGACAAAUAAAUAAAAGUGUAAGCUGGAGAUUUUUUAUGCUACUUGACUUGCAAUGCUGGAUAUGGUAAGGGUAGCACAAUCAAUUACUCCUAAAAAUUUUUUUGCUCUUGCAUUUUAAAGAUUUGCUUGGCCUUAAAGAUGUAUCUUUUUCUUUGUGAUUCUUGAUUAUCGUAGACUUCACAUCUCCCCUUCAAAAAUGAUUUCCCUCCCUAUAUCCCUGCCUUUCAAUGUGGUCUACGUUGUGUAUUCUGGGCCUGUUGAAUGGCAAGAUCGAGUCUUUGAGCAUGGUAUGUUGCUGUAUUGUUGUUUGGGAGUUCAUAGGAUAGUUAUUACUUCCAUGUGUGCGUGUCUGAAGCCUGUGAUCACCUGUUUCAUUUCUGGUUUACCAACUACAAAUAUUGUAACUAAUGAGAGCCAAAGAGGCCGUAUUUCUUUCUGGUUUGAGGGCCAGAAAUGUUGUAACUAGUAAGAUCCAAAAGGAGCAUUUGGUGGUUUUAUCUUCUUCAGAAGUAAGAAACCAGUAAUUAGGUUGGCCCCUUUGGGUAGUCAAAUCUCCUAUUACUGCCAGAAAUUACGAACUUUCUUUUGAUGUCCCUGCCCUUAACUUAUUAUGUUUAAGAUCUUACGACAAUGAAGUUAGUGAAUAUCGAUCAUAUGCCUUGUGAAGUGCUAUAUUUACAUUUUCUUGCAAAGGAACAUCCAAUGGUCUCUCUUUUACUGACUUAGAGGCCUUGAAUACCAUAAUAAUUGGGAUUUGCCUAGGGCAAAUUUCAGAUUCCUUAUUUUAUUUGAAGUCAGGCUGAUUGAUCGAAGCAUGAGUGCCUUUCUUUUGGGGGUUUUGUUCACGGCCUCUGAACCAAUUUAGUAUGAUUGCAAUUUUUUUUUUCUUCUUUUGGUGCUUGUCCUUGCAUUGACUGUUGAGUCAACUGGCUACCUCCUCGUGUAAUUUCUCUAGCACAAUCGCUGUUGCAAUUUUUUGUAGUUUCUUUAGUAUUUUACUAUUAAAAUGAAGACUAACAGAAGGUUCGGAGGCAUGUGCCUGAAAGACUGUUUGUUCCCCAGCAGGUUGGUUGGUAAAUUCUUGACAUGCUGUAAGGUUAAACCAAUCUACGGUGGAUGCAGCAUGCAAUGGACCUAACUUAUCCAUGACUUCAUACCACACUUUUCUACUUUCUACGCCAUUUAUCUUUUACGAUGGGGGAACUAGGUAGCAAACUGUCAAGGAACAUAGAUGGCAGUUUGAAAAAGCCCCACGCAUAUGUCCCAUUUAGAUUUGAAGUGACACAAUCAGCACUUGGUUCAUGCAUCUUCUUAGUCACUUUCGAUCGACUAACUAUUCCUAGUAAAAUCACAAUUACACAUAAAACACUGGAUAAAUUAUUUUAGUACCCCGAGUCUCUAUCUGCCGACGUACGGCUGUCUGUCUGGUCUGUGGUUUAUUCCUUUCUCUUCUUCUUGGAUAUGGAUCUUUCUCACUACUUUGUGUCUCUUCUAUCUCCUGUUCCAGUAAUAUUCGAUUUUGAACUGCUAGAUGUGGCAGUAAACAUCAUGGCAUUGUUCAUCUGUUUCGUAGAAAAGGGGAAAAGAUGUUACCGGAAAUGUGCAGAAAAUUUCAAAGAGUGCCCAAAUAGUUGUUGGUCCCAUUCAGCGUUUACUCCUCCUUUCCGGAGCAUUUUCCUGGGUAACUUCCUAAGUACCUUGUAGGUGAUACGGCUGCUUUGUACAUAACAGCUCUUCCCUCUAAUACCCGAACAUAAAAGUCCUGUGCCAAAAUAAACAGGCAUAGGAUGGACUCUGAGAACGAGAUGAAUGCUGGAAUUAUGUACGAAGCUUCUUCUUCAAAUUGCGUUGGAUAGAAUUUCAAGAAUGCGGGUGAUUAUCCAGCUGAAAACAAACUCUAUCGUACUUUAAUUUGAUCGCCGAAGUAUUUUGCGAUUUUUUUCUGUUAAAAUCAGUAGUAAAUUGCACUAACUUGUGUGAUAUAAACUGAAAAGUCAAAUUCCAAAAAGUUUAAGGACAUUUUUUUCCCCAGCACACCACCCUAGGUAACUUGCCAAACAAUUUAUCUUUUUACCAGAAAAGACCAUUCCAAACUGGUAUCAAGCACCUUUUGUUUUCGAAACAAACGAGUAAACAUGAAAAUCCAUUCGGGACUCCUGUCAAAUUAGCGAUCGAUGCACGCUUGAUGCGUGUGUAAUGAAUGUAGAAUCCUUCGUUUGAGAUAACGAAUGUAGAAUCCUUCGUUUGACAACAAAAUUUAAAAGUAGUAAAUUUAAAAAGUUAUUGCAACAAAAUAUGAUAACAAUCAAACAAAAAAAUUAAAAGAAGCAAUCACACGCAGUGAUUGACUAAUGAAUCUUUUAAGAAGUGGAAAAUUUUGUUCUAAAUGUACUCUCAUAUUGAGAUGGAACUCCACAAUCAUCUAGAGGAUAUUGUAUUCAACAAUUGAAAAGCAUCAAAAUCUUAUGGCAAGAGAUAGAAAAAAAGAAGAAGAAGUUUCGCACAAAGGAGAUGUAAAAGAAGUUAUUUAUGUGAUUUUGAUUUGUAGUUAGGUGGUGGGGGUAUUUCAUUGUGUGAUGUUAGUGGUUAGUUAGAGUGGGAUUAGUGAUGAGUAGCUAUUUUCUUGAUAAAGGUAAUAUGUACAUGUAUAAGAGAGAGGAGAGUUGAGUUGAAUGAUAAAGAAGGAGAGAUUUUUAGUAAGAGAUUCUGAAUCCAAAAUCUCCUACUUAAAAAAAAUAAAAAAGAGAAUAUAUACACGUCACAAAAGACUAAUCUAAUUUUCAAAUGGUUCAAAUCAACUUUGCAUUUCAAUGUAGGCUCCGUAUGUCUUGACUUGGAGGUGGUUCAGUAUUUUCCGAGUCUCCAGUAACAACGAAGUCGGGUCUAUCUUUUCUUCGUAGUAGUAUAGGAGUAGUCGUAAGCAAAUAUCUAUUAUGUUUGUCAAAAAAAGAAAAAAAAACAGAGAAAACACCUGUGUGUGCAACGUUUUCCCGUCAUAGAAUGUAGAAUAGUCAAUAAUGUUUCAAAUGCGCGGACUACCGAAUCCAGCCACAGUAAAAGUUGGUGUGCACUAUACAGUUGACCCCUUAAUUAUUGAGGUCUGAAUCCUUCUCUCUACCACUACCAGAAGAAAGGGUUCACGAGAUUGAGGUGCGAUUUUUCAUAUAUAUAUAUAGGUUGGAAUUCAAGACAAUCUAAGAUUUGACGUUUCUUGGGUGUUUUUUGUACUCUUGUCACCGUAGCAUUUGCGAAAUUUGGUUGAAGAUUUGAAAACGUGCAGGCUGCAGCUUAGAAAGGAGACAUUUUGGCGAUUAUCCGACGUGAAAAAACAGUGCGGACAAAAAAUACUUUGAUACGUUCGGUGCUCUUUUCAGCGUUUCCCCUUGACAAAUGACUGACUUAUUUUGUAUGUAAAAGGGGUUCCAGUCUUACAAUCUUAAAGGGGAUUCCAAUCACCAUAUGUAAGGAUUAUUUCCUUUCUUUAUACAGUCAUCACUGCACUAAUACUGGAGGUGGCAAAAUGGGCGGGAUGGGCGGGAUUUGCUUGGGUUUGAGAUGGAACCGAGUCAUAUGGGUUUGGGUCCAACCUUACCCAUAUGUGUUUUGGGACUAACUUGGGCGGGAUCAUUUUGGGAUGGGUUUAGAUUGUAUAUAAUUUUAAUAUUUUUGAUUUAUUAAAUUUCUUUUAGUUUUAUUAAAUAAACAUGCAAGUGCUUUAUACUCAAGAUUCCCACCAAAAAUUGGAUUAACAAAUAAAGGAAAAGAUAGAUAUACAGCCAUAUUCCAACAUAUAUCAAGAUGGCCAAGGUCCUUAGGAUGUUGAAUAUUUAUCCUCAUCAUUGUCCAAGGAUGACAGGUCUAAACUAACUGAAAUGCUGGAAAUUCUUGUGGAUAAUGACUAGGAAGACUACUAGAUUAUAUUCGCUGGUAUGACUAUAAAAAUUGUUAAAGAUAAUUUUUGAAUCUAAGACUCCGUUUGGAUUGACUAUUUUUUCAAAAAAUAAGUUUUUCAAAUACAAUGUUACAGUAAUAUACAAUAACUCAAGAAACAUCCCAUCCAUAUUAGUAUAUCAAAUAUUUCAAAAAAAUUUUAUAGUAAAAAUUUUUCAUAUACACGGCUACAAUAAAAUAUUUCAAAAACACCUACCAAAAAUAGCUAAUCCAAACGGAGCCCUUGCCAUUUGAGCCCAAUGGGUACCCAAGUAUUUCCCAUCCUUUCCCAUUCAUUAAUGGGUAUAGUUGGGAUGUGUCCCAACUUAAACCCAAUACCAAAUUAUAAUACCCAUCCCGCCCAAAGUUCCUUUGGGCAUGGGUAGCCCAUUGGGACUUGGGACAAAUUGCCAGCCUCUCAACUAAUACGUACUGACUUGGAGUACAUGGUGUAUUACGCAAGUCAAUUGUAAGCAAACAUUAUCUUAUUUAGUUAAGAAAUGGGUGAUUCAAGGAAAACAAUUAUACUACUAAUACGUUGUUAACUCCUAAAUAAUCUGGCCCACGCUCAACCAAGCCCCACAAGUAGCGGGAUGUAUUAAUUGUCAGUAAACGGGUUGAUGUUUAAAAGCCGGAAAUUCUCUCCGUCAAAUAGCUGACCUCAUCAUCCUCUGUGCCCCCCCCACUGGCACAGUGCUUAAUUACGAAAAGGUGUCUUGAUUGGAUGAAUGGAACAGCAUCAUUACCAAUCAGACAUUAUUAAUUAGCCAAAUGCAGAAUACGACACAAAUUUUUUGCAAUGAAGUAUUUCUUCUAAUCAUACCGUGAUAGUAACGUAGUAAUACUACCCUUGCUGGCUAAUUAAUUGAUGCCAAAGCAUUAUUAUUAUUAUUAUUAUUAUAGUGUACCAUGAUAUUGACACCAUCCACAGAAUGCAGUAAAAAUUAUCCCACAUCAGGCAGUAAAAGUCUGAAAGUACACGCAAAAGACAAAACAGGAGAGAAAAACACGCAGUUUCUAAUCUAGAUAGUCUAUGGUAAAAUUUCACUUAAUACAGCAGAUUAUUAGGCUGCUGGGCUGUAGCAACAAGAUCGUCCAUCAUCCAGAGAUCAACCGGGUCCGAUUCAGUGAUCCCACCAAACUGAGAUGUUGCUGUGGUGGUCGUCUCAGGUUCUAAGCCCAGGAAAGAUUCCAAGCUGGAAAAUUGAUCCCCAUACUGAUAAUCUUGAUCAGUCACUUGGGACGGAUAGUAAGGCUGGGGUUGGAAGCCAGGGUCCACUACUGGCGGGGUUGGUCCAAUUGACUCCAAGAUCUCCUGAUCAGGCUGAGGAUAAUAAGCCGGCGGUGGCUCAGGGGUGACACAACGCCGCUUGGCCAGUGGCUGCCGAGGUGGUGUCGGCUGUGAUGGGGUGGUUGGUGGCGGCUGAUCAUCAGCAACAAAGUUGAGUUUAGCCUUGUCGCCCCGGAUGCGCUUGGCUGCCUUGUCAUAAGCCCUGGCUGCUUCUUCAGCUGUGUUGAAUGUGCCGAGCCAAACUCUAACGCCCUUUUGUGGAUCGCGAAUCUCAGCUGCCCAUUUUCCCCAUGGCCUCUGUCUGAUCCCUCUGUACUUGUUCUUCCUAGGCUUCUGACUGAUCUUCUCAGACUUCUGAUUACCUGCUCCUACACUUCCAAAAAAAUCACUUCUUCUUGCUAAUACUACAUCAAUAAUCAUUCAAGUUCAACAAAUUCUUUCAAGUUGUUGUGUUGUAGCAUGAAAAAUUGAUCUACUAUGUACACGUACAUAUGUCAAUCUCAGAAUUACCUAUGCAUAAUACAUACAUGCAGCUACACCGUAUCAAAAUAUAUAGGUGGAUAUAAUAUAGUAAUACUUUGUACGUAUGGAUUUGUGAAAACCCUGAUGGAGUUGUUACGGUAAAGAAAUACUUAUUAGUAAAUAUGUUUAGAGCCAUCCUAAAUAGUAAAUACGCAGUCCCUAAGAAAGUAGAUAAUAAUAUAAUUGGAAACUAAAAGCCUAUUAUAUGUAAGCUUGCUGAAGUAUGCAUACAUACAUAUCAAAAUAUAGGAGCGUCCAAGUAUGCAGUAGAUGUAUUUACAUGUACGUAUGAAUCAUCAACAUAAAUCAUUUUCUGAGCGCGCAAUUAAUUAGGUCGUCAUACAACUAUUAUACUUUAUUAUUGGAGUAUUAUUAUUAUUUUUUUGGUAAUUUAUCCAAAAAUGGCAAAAAAGUACAUAAAGGUAGCAAGUGGUAGUAAUAAACCAAGAUGAAUGAUAGUAUCAGCAGAAAAUUCAAAGAUAUGUAAGCUAGUGGCAGUAGAUUGUGUUCAGGUAAUGGGGGGUGAGUGGACCGACCUUUCUUUGGGUGCUUGUUCUUGUCAGUGGCCUUGGUAUCUGCAGCCUGGCCAGAAGGGUCGAAGCCCCAGAAGGGAGAGAUGGUGUCAAACUCAGCCCACAGUUCUUUUGGGGUUAACUUCCGGCCGGGGUUGAUCGGAGACCCCCCGGAAAUGAUUGCACCUCCACACAUCUUUCUUUUUUUUUGUUGGUUGUUCUUGUUGUCUGGCAGAAGAAGAUGGUAGGAAAAAAGUUUUCAGAGAAAACUGAAGAGGAGGAGGAAAUGAAAUGAAAAAGGAGGAAUAAAUAGAGCAGAGAGAGAGAGAGAGAGAGAGAAGGAGAAGCGUUACGUAUUGAGGGUCUUAGUGUUGUGUUUUGUUACGUGAUUUUACGAAAGAGGGGACGGUUACGAAUCAAUAAUCAAAGGGAAAAUGACAAGUGAGGAGAGCUGAACCCAGACUUUGUUUUUAUUCGGAUUGUAUAUUUUAUUUAUAUACAUAUAUGGGAUCAAACGGUGGAGAGAGGGCCCAUCCAUUUGAUGUUGAUGAUGUGAUGUAACGUAACGGGGAAAUUUUCUUUUAUUUUUUUUUGUGGGUCCAGAUGAGAUGAGAUGUGUGAUGAAAUUAUGCACAUCAAAUCAGUAUUGAGAUUUUUGCAAGUUGGCAAGGAAAUUUGGGUAAAUUUGAGCUACCGUAUUUCGGUGCUCAAAACUCUGAUUUUCAUUCCGCUUACUUUAUUUUAAAUCUUGUUUAUAACUCUAAUUGAGUUCCAAAUUUCAAAGGCUGGUUCGCAAUGGGUGCGGUUUCUGCAAUUGGGCUAUUUUAAAAGAUAUACUGACAAAAUAAAUAAAUGUAAAUAUUAAUGCAUUAUAGCAUGUAAAAAAAAAAACAACAACUUUAGAAUUAUUUUGUUACAAUUAAUUUCAUCUUUCAAAUUUAUAUUGAGCACAUCUGGGUUAUUUUUUUUUUCAGACAAAAAACACAUCUGGAUUAUUAAUUGCAAUUGCUUUGCCUAUCGCAUAGAACCCAUCCUUGCAAGAGGGUGUGGGAUGUUGGUCCCAACCCUCCUUCCCGAUUUGGAUACGUCAAAUUAUGAGAGGUCUUUUUUAACAAUAAAAUUAGGAGAUUUUUUUCUGAAAUAAUAAAAAUGUGAUAUUAAAUGAGUUGAUUCCUGGUACAUAGUACUAAUACUAGUUUAUUUUCUUUGGAUUUUAGACCAUAUGAAAGAAAGCAUUGCCACUAUAAUAUAAAUAAUAAUCACAUCAGAAAAUUCUGCCCCCCAAAAAAAGGCAUUAAAAGAAAGAUGACAAUCGAAGAUUAUAUCCCAAAAAAGGAAAAAAAAAAAGAGAGUAAAGAUACACUAUUACUGUCUCAGAAAGAACCAAUAAUGUCGACAUAGUGGCACCAACCUAAAAGCCACACGCAGUCGAAGGCCCCAAAAAACUUGCUUUUGGGCUGACCCAUCUCGUUUUCCACAAAUAUUUUCUUGACACAUUUCUUAAUUACUUCACAUGCAUCACGGUAUAUUUUUUUUCCUCAAAAAACUUACAAUCCAAACGGGUUAUCAUCUAAUAAGCAUUAAUUAAAGUUUAAAUGGAUUUAGGAGACAAAUAAUGAAGUAUAUUAUGAUUUGUCCAUCAAUAAUUCCGUUUCUUUCUUGUCAAAAAAAAAUAAAAAUGCAUUAGUAGAACUCAGAAAACAGAUCAACAAGGCGCAUUUCUCUUAUCCCACCAAGGGCAAGGGCUAGUUUACUUCGGGAAAUAUAAUAAUAUGACAUCAACUGCAUGUAGCAGUGCCGCAAAAGGGCAAACUUCACGAGGCACAGCGCAUCAGACUAAAUGGCUUUUAGGGAGCGGGGGUUAGACUGCUGAGACUUGUCUCGAACAGAAAGAAACGCUUCUUUUGUUAUUGCCUCCCAACAUUUUCUAUGCCUUCUUCUGAAGAAACAGCCCAAAAGUUCCACAUCAUCCGUGGGAAACCGUUCCUUAAGAGGAGGCCAAGGUUAUGUCAUUCACAACCCUACAAGCUUCCAAUGCAAUAAUCUUCCCAAACAAAACAUAUGAUAUGAUAAUACCCAACAACUAUCACUCCAAUAAUUUCGUUGAUCUCUGAUUGCAUCUGGGGUCUGGCAAACUUAGCAUAAGCAGAAGACAAGAAUACGUUGUCGUGCCAUGCUCCAUAGGCAAAGCCCUGGGAGUUUUGAGGGGAAACUUAAGACCUGAUCCCUUGCUCACAAGUCACAAUAACACAACACUGUGAGGAUCUUAUACCAUCAAUUUACUCGGUCACCGUGGAAUUUAGUACUCACCCUUUCGUAUAAAACCUACAUGAAGAUAUCAAUGAAUGUAUAGCAUAAAUUUUCCAUGAAACAAUAUAAUAUUUUGUUCCUCAUUCAUCAUCUCAGCCUCAAUCUAAUGAAACAUGUGUGUUAUACAUGACUAUAAAAUAUCACCUAUAAUGGGUGUAGACCCAAUCAACCAAACAAAAGCAAUCUUUUAGCAGACUAACAUAUAUAAUCUCUCCAACAAAUCGCAUUAAGUGGGAAAUUAUCAAAUGUAAAGCGCAGUUGUACACCAAAGGCCACAGAGACAACAUCUGCAAGCUCGUCUAGUCAGCCAUUUUGGUUAACCGAUGAAUGGUACUUCUUGCAACCCUAUUACCAGGAUCAAUUCUCAUAACACUUCUGAGGUCUUCAGCUCCAAGCUUGUACUUCUCCAUACUCUCGUACAAAAGAGCACGUUGCACCAAGAUGUUCACAUUUUUGUCAUCUUGUUCUAGCGCCUGCACAAUCCAAUGGCCAAAAAGUCUCUUACUUGGAGUGAACCGCAAAAACUCCUCAGCACGAUAUUAAAAGAUCAAACAAGAACCAGCAUAUUUAUUCACCAGCCCCAAUUAAUAUUCAAAAAAAAAAAAACGAAAAAGAACAAACAGAAAGAUGCAUCAGUGUCCCGUGGAUUUUCAUUACCUUCCUGCAGAUGCUCCCAGAAAACACCACCUACAUUUUUGUCAGCAUAAACCAGGGGAAGAAGGAAUAGUAUCUUAAAUUACAGGUUUUCUCUAAGUGGCUAUGCCAACUGCAUACUAUUUCCAUAAACUGCAAAUACAGAUCUCGUGAAGGGACAUCAACUUAUACAGGAAGCACAAAGUGUAGAAAGAAAGGUUCAACAAAACUUUGACCUGGUCUGAAGCCUAUACCUAAGUAGCUUGCUCGUACAUCCCCUCCCCCCGCCCCCAAAAAAACCAAAGAAAAAAAACCCCGAAAAUCCCCAACAAAAGGUAUCAUGCAUAGAUGUAAACAGAAUGGAUCCACGCGGCUAGUUAGGCAAGGUGAUCUCAAUAGCAACAAUAAUAAUUAAUAAAUACAAAGGAAAGGGGCCUUAAAUAGUUUCCAUUUCAAUAAUGUGAGACACAAGGGUGUUAUAAUAGCAGUAUCGUUUUCCAAAGGCUCUCAAUGCCCCGUUCAAGCCCUUGACCAACCUCUAAACUGUUCACUAAAAGGUCUUGACUGUAGUUUGAUCCAUGCUGAUCAAGUAUGAAACUUUAAAUUUAGUCAUGGAAAGACCGACUAAAACUUCCUAGAAAAAUACCUGACAAGUCUCUUUAUAAAACAGUUUUCAUACUGUAGCAACUUGGGACUAAAUAUACAAUUCUUGAUCCAAUUAACUAGUCCUCCAAUAUAUCGGGGAGCUAGUCUAUGAAAGAGGGAUGGUUCAACUCUAACUUGCACAAGUAGUUUCUUUAGCAGUUGAAGUGCCAUGCCAACAUUUAAGUAUGUCACAGAAACAAGAGCUGCUACCCCUAUACUCACAUAAAAUAAAAAUUCUUGAAGUUAUCUGCCAGAUAAAACGCAAAAUUCACCAGUUACUUGACGAAGUUCAGUGCUCAGACUAGCUAUAUUUUGGGAAGGUGCAAUUACAGGGCUAGUUAUUUUGGCACAGCAAUUCAACCUGGAAAAGCACCGAAAAUCAUGAAAAAAUGAUUUUGAAGAAAAAUAAUAUACCUUUGUGCAAUCAGCUACAGCUUUCUUAUAUUCACCAACUUCUUUGUAACAUGCAGCUCUGCAUGUCAAGACGUCCAUGAUGCCAGUAUCAUCUCCAGCUUUCUCCAAAAGAACGACGGUCCAAGACAACCAUUUUAUGGCGUCAGCAAACUGGCCCUGCUUGUAAUUGUCUAAUCCCUUAUUUUUCGCAGUUGAAGCACUAACACCAGCAGGUGGGGGUGGAAGUCCUUCAAGUUCGGUUGUCCCACCUGUGUCAUGGCCAUUGAAGUCCGAUUCGAAUCCCCAGUCAUCGCGCCCAGAAGAAUCCUGGCUUUUAAAUUCAGCACCGCUGCCUGGAGUUGUCGUAAACAAUGCAUCAAAACUAUCAACACCAGUGGACUGACCAGAUGGUCGACUAUGAGGCUGACUACUAGGGAACCCAAAAUCAUCAAUAUUCGAAAAAGAACCUCCUGCACCUGGCCCAGCAGUAUUAUGGUUCCCCGAAGGAAAACUACUUGGCUGACUCUGGGACGGAGUACUAAAGAACCCAAAAUCGUCAACAUUUGAAUAAGAACCUCCUGCACCUGAUCCUGUCGAGUUGCUUUUUCCUGAGGUAAAACUACCUGAAGGAUGUGCAACUCCACUUGUUUUUGAAGCACUCUGAAAACUUUGAAAUGCAUCAUCUCCAACUUUACUACUAGCACUUCCUUUACUCUCUGACUUCAUAUUACCACUCGGUUUAGACGAAAAAUCAACUAAGGAACCAAACGGGUCCUUAUUUGAACCCAUCCCACCCAAUCCUCCACCUCCAGCCAUACUCUUCACAGAAGGACCACCAAGAUUUGUUCCUUUACUAGCAUUCCCAUUCAAGUUAACAUUCCCUCUAUCACUGUUGUUACUGCUAAAUCCACUCGUAUAAGUCCCGAAAGUUUCACUAGACCCCCAAUUUCCGCUACUUUUUGUUGAAUUACCCGUUUUGGGCAAUGAAUCCGCCAUACCCCCCAUUGAAAAUGAGCUCUUAUUCGACGCCGGAGCUGCAUUUUUCAAAGGCACAUUACUAUUGCCCUUGUUCUGACCCAAUGCCGAGCCAAGCAAAUCACCAAACAAGUUGGGAUCUUUGUUAACAACUCCACUCCCAGAAUUCAAACUGCUAGCUGGGGCAGAUGAACCCCAACUCUUCCCAAAAAUAUCCCCCACCAUCGAAGUGGGACCCGAUAGAGAUCCUGUCCCAGCUGAUUGAGCCGGAGCAGCUGGUUGGUGGGUCCAUGAGGGUUUGUUAAUAGGCUGGUGAGUCCAGGACGGCGUCGUACUGGGCUUUGCCUGAGCCGAUGAAUAUGAACCAUAUGAAGAAGUCUGGUUCUUUUGAUCGUUAAGAGAUCGAGAACCCGACUUUCCAAGACCCAAAUCGAAGUCGAAACUAUUUAAGGAUCCCGAUUUGCUAUUGGAUUUUCCGUAGUUUGAAUUCAUUUUCCUCCUCUAGAUGUGAAUUAUGUUUAGGAAGUUUGGGCUAAUCAAAUUAAAGCCAGAUAAAAAAUCGAAAACUAAACGUAGAUGAUCCGAAAAUAUAGAUCAAACAACGAACUACUAAAAGAAAGAAAGAAAGAAGGGAUCUCGGAUGGGUUCAGUAUAUACCUGAUGGAGUUAAAAUUGGAAUUUGCAGAGAGGUUAAAGAAAAGCUUGGACCGCGUAAGGCUGAAAGGAGCUCAGAGCCACCGCUGGAGAGAAACCAAGUCGGGGGGAAUAAGAAAUGCGACGGGACCGCGAGUUGGAGCAGGAGCUGGCUAAUUAUUUGUCAUGUUUGAUCCGGUUUACCAAUUUAGCGACUGAGGCAAAUUUUUUAAAAUUUGCAAAUCCCCCCAAUGAGUUACUCCUGUAUGUUAUAGGAGUACAUCUACGCAACUUGAACAUAAAUGACAAUUUCCGUUAAUGUUUAGUAAAUAUCUGCAUGGAAUUAUUUUUGAGAUCUUGAACAAUUUAAAUAAUGAUUCCCAUUACACACGAAAGUCAUAAAGUGAUGUGUUUAAAGAUUAAAUCCAUCAAUUUAUUUGUAGGUUGACCAUGCUCAAGUUCCAUUUAUGUCAGAUGAAUCUUAAGAGUGUGUUUGAAUAACAAAUCAUUUGGGAUAAUUUUUUUUAAACUAUUGUAGCGCUUUUUCUUGUAAUGUAUGUAAGAUAAAAUGGUAAUUGAAAAAUGUGUUGAUGAUAGAAACAAAUAAAAUUUGAUGAAUAAUCACUAUCCAAACAAAUAAAAUUGUAGGGUUUUACCAUGAAAUGUUUUUCAAUAUUAGGCUUCUUUAUUGUUUCGUUAGGUGAUUGACUAAUUACUUUUUUUUUCUCUUUUUUUUUUUUGAAGCAAAAUAGGAGCACCUGAAAUACCCAUCAUUUACAAGAAAGAUGUAGGUACGCUUCUCAAAUUUAGAUGGAAUUUUAGAGCAGUCUGUUUAAGCUUUUAGGAAGAUUGAUAUAUUGACUAACUGCAGCGAAAUGAGGGUUCACUAUCAUUUUUCACAUGAAAUUGGCAAUUAAUCUCACCUCCAACUAAAUGAAAUACACUUCUUUUGUUGCUUUUACGUUGAUAUUAUCCUCUAUUACCAAAAUUAUACACUUCUUUUUUUGGUACAAACGAAAAUAUACACUUAUUUUGAGGUUUUUAAAAGCAUUGGCAUUGAAUAGCCAAGAUAUUUCUGAAUAGUCACAAAAAGAAUAGUCACAAAAAUUAUCCACUUCUUUUUCUGGUACAAACGAAAAUAUGCACUUAUUUUGAAGUUUUUAAAGCAUUGAAAUUGAACAAUGUAGCCAAGAUAUUACUGAAUAGUCACAAAAAGAAGACAACCGUAUUUCUAUCAGCUAGCACAUGUGCUGAAAGAUAAUUUUUCCCUAUCAACUUUUGCAACGAAAACAUCAAAGGGGAAAGCAAGCAAGGUAAGAAUAUCUUGCAAUUCGCACCGGCUUCACUUCGAGACACUCUUCUUCAAAUCCUUAAGGUGCAAGAUGAGCAGCAAGGCUUUUCAAUCCCCAAAUACACAUUUGUAGUCAGUACAAGGCAAGAAGAGGCAUUUUUUCCGUUUUGACUACAUAACUUAGAUGUUUGUUGUUCAUCACCAUCUAACUUCUCGAGAAACACAGCAACCGUCACCAUUUCCAGUUCUAUCUCUUAUUAAUCGGACAAGAAUUCAAGGUUCAAAAGGAACUUAUAGUUGCAGUUAAAGAAAAUGCCUCCUGAAGUUUCAGUUACUUCAAGGGCCAUUCUACUAAAUCAAGUAAAAUACCAAUUACAAAAGAUCCCAAUGGAUAUUCACACGAGUUCUGACAUGCCAGGUAACAUGCAGUCUUUCCUAACCAGCUAACUUGACAAUACAUGACGGGCCAAAUUACUAUCCAUCCCUCAAGCUUAACUAAAUUCAGAGGAGUCUCAUAUUUCAACAACUAUGAUUUUCAGGCAUUUUUCCCCUGAAACCCUCCCUGGUUUGGUUGAUAACCACCCUCACCACCCUGAGGUACAUUCUGGCCAUUCAUUGGUGUUGGCUGCUGCGGCGCUGCUUGCUGAUUUGGAGACCAGGUCUCUCUUCGAAUAGGCUCUCUCCUUUCAACCUGCAUUGUCUCGCGUCGUCUAUCAUACCGUGGACGAGGCCUGUUCCUGGUUUGUUGCCUCUCAUUGAAUCUAUAUUGUGGCCGAGGAAUAACCUUUCCAUCAACAAAAAGAUCCCCUAUAACAAAUCCAAAAACAGCACCAAGAAAUGUUUGAUUACCAUGAAAAAGUAAUAGAGGAAAUGUAAGGACAUAAAACAUUUAAAUUUCCACUCUGCUAACCUCCAUAGUCCUUGUUGGGAACAUCAAGAUAGGAAUCAGGCAAAACCCACAGAACAUCUGGUAAACCUAUUUCAAGACACGCAACGUGGAAUUAGUCCAAAAAAACCUCAAAAGUAAUCUAGAACAAGCUAUUUUUUGUCCAAUCUCAAAUUAAUUACUUUAGCAAAAAUAAAUCAAAAGUUUGAUUAAGCCAGGAACAUUAGCAAAUAACAUGUUCAGAUAGUCAGGAGAUAUAAACAAAAAAUAACUGUUCCGGCCAACAGUUUCCAAAGAAUGUAGAACAUUGAACACAAUUCCCAUAAGUGUACAUUCAAUUGAAUAUCUCAAACAAUGACUCUACAAUUACGACUGUAAACAAAUGAUAAGCAUAUACUAGACCUUUUAAAACCCAUCAAGAUCCUGAUACUGCAGGAAUAGGUUGGAAAAAUAGAAUACAUAUCACAAUGUGACAUCCCUUGCUUCUUCAAUUUUCUUCUGUACAGAAGUUGCCAUAUGAUUGUUUUGAAUUUUAUUGCUACAGAAGAUGAUGUUUUUCCUUCACCUAAUUCAGACUAUUAGAACAAAGCAAACUCUGAUCCUCCAAAAGGGGAAAGAUCAAGAACAAAGUAAACUUCACCCAAACCCGAAAAAAUAAACACAAAAAGACAUAGCAAGUCAUAAAAUAACUAUGACACUUUAUUGAUAUCAAAAUCUCUCCAAUUACCAUGGGGCAUUGAUUACCUUUAACUUUGUAUGAGAGCUCCUCAGAUAUCAAAGCACCAAAUCCAGUGUAUGUUGUUGUGCAAACAGAGUAAAUUUUCUUCUUUGCCUCCUCUUCACUGCAUAAUAAACAAACAAGACCCGACACAAUCUCAGAUUAACAACUGUAUGUUGAACCUUUAGAUAAACUAUGGCUAUUAAGCAACUAGGGGAAACAUUUCCAAAACCAAUGGCCCAAACCUAGUGCCAAGCAGCACACAGUUACGUACAUGAAGUUCUCACAAACAACUUAUUGACACUGAUGAUUAGUUCCAUUUACUAUAUUUUCAGGCAGAUAACAUUACAGUAUGCUGAAAUGCCAAUUCAUCAAAAUGCCAUCUAACCAUCCUAUACCGAAAAACAUGCAUUCAAUCUGAAAAUUGUACAUGCACUAGUAGAUGUCGAUGACAGAGUGGAAAAGUAUAGCAACAUUCAUACUGGAAACAGGUAAAACUAAAUGCCAGAAACGUAUGAUAAGAAACUGCAUUGAGUACAUGAAUUCCUCUUUUUUGCCACACUUUCCAGUACAAAAAACAUGCAGAGGAAACUUAAGUAAACAGGUUAAAGAAUCAUACUUUAUACAAAGAUUUUCCAACAAUAUCAAUGCCAUGCAAUCAUAAAUAUUUCCUAGUUUGGGUUUUGCAUCUCAAGGAUAAUCCCUUGAGCAAAGCACACAUAAUGUUUGUUUAAAAAAAUUACAAGCUGAAUUAAAAGAUCCCCUUUUUUCUUUUUUUUUGGUUCUGCCUUUCUCUUGUCAGCGAUUUAUCAUCAAGCAAUUAGUUAAAAACACAUAAACUAACAACAAGUACAUCAAUUAAGUUCAAGGGCAUUAUGCCUUAAAAAAUCUUGGAAUUUCGUCAUAAGCUAAACUAUUUUUUUUUUUCAUUUUUCUUUCCAAAAAAUUAAUUACUACGCCACGGUUCAAAUCUAGUAAAACAUAAAUAAUUGGAUAAAAACGAUAAUCAUGUCAAGAAUCUAAGCAACAUGUGGUUACACACCGAGAAAAAGUAAUUGUACCUUCCAACAACAGAGGCUAGGGUUUUAACAUAAGUGUUAACCAUUUCUUCAUCCGAGGGUUUGGGGUCAUUUGGGAACUCCAUAACGAUAAGCCAGUGUUCAUAGUCGCAACCGUCGAGGAGUAUCGUCUCCUUCGGCGGUCGGUUGCUCCAGUUGGGUGACGGGUCAUUUAGGGGAGAGUAGCCCGACCCAGAUGUUCUGUUCCGGGUUAGGAUGUUAUACGGGAUCGGGGCCGCCUCUGGGGUUUCGUUAUGGAGAUUGAGGAGAGGGACAGUGAGGCGGGCACGAGAAGGAGAUGAUACGGUGCGGCUGAAAAGGGUGGCUAAUGUGCGCCGGGCGGCGAAUAGCGCCAUGGGUGCUGCUGCUUCUGGCUACAGAGCAUUGACGAGAUGGUUGGGCUGUUUUAUUCAUCUACUCAUGGGAGAAAUUGCACUUUGGCCCUUCAUGUUUGGAUUUGUUCUUUUUCUGCUAUUUUCUUUACUCAUUCUUGAUACUACUUCAAGAAUUGAAUUUAAACAAGUCGAACGCUUUCGUGUAUAAUCAAUAAUUAAUUUCUUACUUAGCUUGACAAUCAAUGAUUAGUUCUUUUAUUUUGUUUUGAUGAGGGAGGUAAAUGAGUUGUAUAUACUGAACACUAACCAAUCGUUUAUAAGCACAGUUUCACUGAGUAAGUUUGACUUAAAAAUAUUGGGGAGUUUGGAUAAAGAAUACAAGGCCUUGUUUGGAUUGCUGUUUUUCAUCGAAAAAUUACGUCGUUUUUCGUAAUCACAUUUCCCUGUUACCUUUUUCCUUCACAUACAUCAAAUCGCUACAGUAAUUUUUUCAUGAAAAAUCAUGAAAAAUGCAAUCCAAACACAAAUCCAUUAAUGUGCAGUAGAUAGCAAAUUCAGCUCAAUCUCAAAAUUAAUCCAAGUUUAUUUGGACCAAUCCAUUAAACCAUGUUGGUUUUAAUUUGCCUAUUCUUUGUCCACAUAAUUUGCAUGGAAAUGAGGGACAUAAUUUUUUCCUUCUUUUUUGGUCUCUCUAUAUAUGUAAUUUGUCAACAAUGAGAGGCAACAGAUCGAAAAGGGUAUUUUGAGCGAAUGUACAAAUUUAAAUGAGGGGCAGCAUGCUGUUUCCGGGCAGCGAUUGCAUCUAAAAUUAGGGUCUGUUUGGAUUGGACUUUAUAUUUGGAAUAAUUAUUAUAGCACGUUUUGUGACGUAAAUAUAAUAUAUGUGAGAUAAAAAAGAUGAUUGGGAAAAUAAAAGUGUAUGGUGAAAAAUGUGUUUGUGAUACCAAACAAAUAAUGUUUGUGCAAAUGAUGCCUAUUUCCCUGUCCUAACAAGAAUGCUUUCUCUAUUUCCGUCCUUGCAAGAUCUUCAGUUUUGUGCAUGCAGUAGCACUUGCAACAUUCUCCCCGUUCGAUCUCCAUAUCCUAUUCGCCUCUGCAUAUAUAUAUUGACAGCCCCUCCCAUCCCCAAAAAAAAACAAGAUUCAGCUUCUAGAAAGCAGAAAUACUUCUUUCCCUACACAUCUGUUUGUUCUUUUUUUACUGGAAAUGUAUCUAUAAUAAACAAGGAGUAGGGGUUUGUACACCGCUAGAGAUAACUUGCGCAUUAGCACAAAUGGAGGAAAGCCUAGCGCUCCCCAUGUUCCUGAGAUUGAUGUUGGUAAAAUACAUAUUUUGGCAAGGAACCGAUGGGCUGCACUUUAGACUGAUAGCAGAUUCUGUGCUUGUGGUUCCCCUUAUGUUUUCAUAGACAACAUCGGUGAUUCUUACUUGAGAUGGCUGCAUAAGAUUAAACAAUCAAAAUCAGAAUUGGGAUUUCUUUCUUCUUCGCAAGGGAGAUUAAUCACUUCAUAUUGGCUUUCAUUGAUUGAGGUCUGUAGCUUAAUUUGUUUACACAGCUGGAGAGAGAGAGAGAGAGAGAGAGAGGUUAACCGAUCGACCUGGGUGGAGGAUCCGCCAUAGUUUUGGUCUAUGAUGAUGGGGUUCAACACAUUUUCCAUGACAAUAUCGCUGAAACGCAUCCCUGCAGCAACACUUGGACCUGAUCCUGCGUAUGUUUUAAUUCUGAUACCAUUUGUAGUGCCUUGCAGUGUGCAAUUUUUCACAAUCAGCCCUCUCACAUCCAAUUCAUUUGGAUACUUGCCCAGGCUACCUAUGCUGUUUCAUGAACAAUAAUAAUUACUAUUAACCCGAAAAAGGAAAAAAAAAAAGUUAUUAACCAAGAAUGCAAUCACCAAAAUGAGCUAGCUAGAUUUUGAUUCGCACGACGAACCAAUCAUCAUUAAGCAAACAACUUUACUUUCGUGUAAGCCAAAAAAGCACCUGAUGCCAUGUCCAGGGCCGCAGGUGACUUUGUUAAUGGUGACAUUAGUGGCUCCCGGUCCAAUAGAGACACAAUCGUCGCCUGUUCUGAUUACACUUCUGGCUAUCUUCACAGUGUUAGAUUUGCUUACGUGCAUGCCGUCGGUGUUGGGACUAUCUGGAGGCGCAGUAAUGGUGAGGCUAUGUGCUCUAAAUAGGUAGCUGUUUGUAACGUGCAUGUGAAAUCCCAUGGCGUUUACCAAGCUGAUACCCUUGAUUUUUGCAUUCUUCACACCAUUAAAGUGGAAAGACUGCACAAAUUCAUCAAAAAAAGAGCUGGAUUAUGUGACAAUUUUUGGACGAAGAAUUGCAACCUCGCAAGACUCAGUUUAUUUAGGUGCUUACGGCUGGUAAAUGCACGCAAUCACCAUUAUUUUUGCAGUCAUUGUAUUGCCAUACAUUCUGGCCGCGGCCAUCAAUGGUACCUCCGCCAGUAAUUACCAAGCCGCUUAUCGUGUCGAAAGAAAUCCAGCCUUGACCGGAGUAUGCAGAAACAUCAGACACGGCUUGUAAGGUUCCGGCAACCUGGAAAACGAUGGGACUUUGGCUGCUGCACGGCCCCUCAAAUGUGACCUCUCCGAGCGUGAAAAUCCCUGGAGGUACAAACAAACUUGCCCUUGGUCCAACGAAUUUACAUGCAGCAUUCCAUGCCCUCAUGAAAGCCUGCUGGGACGCAAUUAUGGAAAAUUAUUCAUCUAUUUAUUUUGUUUUGUUUUUUUUUCUAUUCUAGCAAUCUGUAAAAGGACAAAUCAUAAUCCAAUAUUCACCUGGGCACUAUCUGUAUUGCCGGGCUUUGCACCAAAGCUGACCACAUUAAAGAUGGCAGGAGGGGCGGGCCGCGGAAUGCCGCCAGCUGCAUUGCAAGAAGCCAGAGACGAACAUAAAACAAGGACCGUAGCAAUUGUGCUGCUGCUUCUUCUAUCCAUGGCCAUUUUACCUCCCGCAGCAACCCUCAAAAUUAAAACCGGUCUCCUCCUCCAAUUGUCUCUAUAAAUUGCUUGUUUGCUCCCACCCCAGGGAUUUUAGAUGUUGAAAGGGCAAGAGCUCUAUCUCUCUCCGAUAUCUUUGUGUUUGGUUCUUUUUAUAAUUCAAAAGCAAUCAUUGUUCACACUCCAUAGUUAUCGGCAAUGCCUGUAUAUUGGCUGUUCGGACGCUGCGGACGACCUUAAGUUUACGUUUUGUUCUUGUUCUUGUUUCGGCUUGUCCCCGAAAUUGAGGGCUGUUAUUUAGUCACCCUUUUAAGUUCCUUCAAACAUAGCACUAAUUUAUUAGCCGCCGGGCCAUCCACCUCUCUCUUUCUCUCUCACGCCCGCAAACUUUGGUAAUUGACCUCUCGCCUCUCAUUUUCAUCGAGUCCACCCAUAACUGACAUUAACGCUCGCCAGUUUUAACUUCCUGAGAACCUUAUUAAUUGUACAUGUCUCAAGCCACACGGUGGACUGUCACCAAGUAAUGAUCAUGGUACUAAGUCAUAUGUUGACUACUGUCACAUGAUGCACAGAGAUUAUGAAAUUCCCUCUCUGCGGUUGCCCUACCCAGCUAAUUAACCUCGGAUUAACAAACCAAAUGCAAAGGGCAUGUAUGAUUAAUUUUCAUGAUUAGUAUGGCUAUUAAAGCUUGCUCUUCUUUUUUUUUUUUUUGAUAAGAAAGCUUGCUCUUCGUUGAUCUUGUAGACAUAAAAAUGGGAAGUGUUUUGGAUACGUCACUCAUCAAUAUAUACUUUUUUUUUUAUAAAAAGGAACUUGGGUGGAAAUAUAUAAUCAUGGGAUUGGGACCGGUAUGAUUAACAUGGUACAAGUGAUAGAGUUGUCGUAUUUUUUUUUUAUUUUUUUAAUCAUCUGGAAUAUACUUACGGACAUAGUGUACUCAUACUUCGAAUUAGUGUAUUAUCAACAAAAUUUAUUCGCACAACAGAAUAAUGUAAGGAUAAACCAUAUCUAAUAAAAAGGGGAUAAUUUCAGAAAUCUCCCUGAGGUUUCUGAUACUUUCAUUGAUCUCUCCUGAGGUUUUAAAAAUUACACUAACCUCUUUUGUUGGAAAUUUGGACCCAUUACUUAUAUAAGAUAUAGUGAACGUACUACUUUGCCCUAACACAUUAUGCAUUAUUACAAAUAGAUAUUUGACAAAAAAAAGGUUAGGGCACUGAAUAAUAAGAUUAACUAAUUAAACCAAAAAAAUGAUUAUUUCAUCUCAAAUUAGCAGCCAUAAUUACAAUAAAAAAAUGACACCAAUUGCUAUCCUAAGAUGGCGCUAUUUUUGUGAUUAAUAUCACUUAACAAUGGUCAGGACAGACAACCUUAUAUAAUUUGCACAGAUAGAUUUUAUGAGCAAGAGAAAUAGAACAAUUUUCUGAUUGACUUCUUUUGUCAAAUCUUGUGUUCAGACAAAACUAUUCAUGCCUUUUGUUGUUGAUUUGUUGACUAAGACUUGUAUGUUUUUUGCACCAAUGCUUUUCCUUUCACCUCGUCAACUAAAAUAAAAAGAUUAAUUUUUUACCCAAAUUAAGAUGCUUCUACUACUAAUUUAAUAGCAUUAUAGAGUUAGUUGUGUCUUUUAUGUGCAGUUGCAAAUGACAAAAAAACAAUUUGUGCUAGCUAUGUGCAGAGACCAUUGUUGCUUCAGGUUAUAGUUGCUACAUCUUUUCAAAUUUUACGUAUGUCCCUUGACUUUUCAAAUUUUACCGAUACAACUUGAGGACAAUUAGAAAAGGGUAUAUAUGAAAAAAAAUUAUCAUCUCACUCUUCAAAAUACUUUUUUAAUAGUACUUUUUUGAAUUGGACUGAUUAGGUACCAAAACUUUAAGUUAAAGAGAGAUUAGUGUUUUUUUUUAAAAAAAAACUUCAAGGAAGGUCAGGUUUUUAUCUGUUUUAAACAUCGGAUUUCCUUUAUUUUGCUGGAUCCGAUUUAUGAACUUUCCUCACAUUCCAAACUUUUAUCCAUGUGGGCCAGUUCCAAAGUCCUGGAAUUUAGAUGUCUGUAUCCACCACCACACCCCACCGCCGCCCAAAAAGAUAUAAAGAAAAAAACAUAGAUGAAAAGAAAAUCUUUGUGAGAUACACACACACUUGCAUAUCCAUGUUACUAGUUCUAUAAGCUUAGUAUUAAUGCAGAUUAGAGUUAGUCCUAGAAAAAAUAGAGAGCUCUCUUAGAGUACUAAAACUAGAAGUCCAUUAAAACUAGCAGUAGAUUUGAGAGAUCACAGCCAGACACCACGCUGAUACGUACGUACUAUUUCAUGCAAGACCUAAUAUACUACUAGAAGACGAGCAUAACACGUAUAGAACUAGUAACAUCUUCUGAUGCUUCACGCCGGCGGCUAGCUAGCUAGCGGAGUACCAUAACUAACUCGUCUGAUUUUCCCAAGUGGUGCAGAAGAAAACCUCAGGAUUAAUCAGCCACGGAGAACACCAAAGAGUGAUUUUCGCUUACCAGCAUCCUUAAUCAACACCCCUCCAUAUUUUCUUGCAGCUUGGUUACAGUCAAUGGCUUCAUUUUCUUUCGUAGGAAUAUCAAUGUUAUUACUCACCAAUGGCAAGUUGGACCUUCGAUUUGACCAAAAUGGUUGCUGAAUUCGAUUUGCUUGAGGCUGUUGACGCUCCGGACGAGGCGGCGGCGGCGGCGGCCUGGUGGUUGGACCACAGUACUCUUCCCGUUCCAACGUCGCAAAGCCUUCCAUGCCAAUCUCCACAAGACUUGCUGCUCUAUUCCUACGUCCCAUUACAACCAAAGACUACUAUUUGGAUGCUAAUCGAAUACUAGUAAUUAUAUAUACUGGUCGGAUGAGCAAAGAGUUCGGUUGCUUUUGCUUGGUGCAAAAACUAAUGGAUUCAUACCUCUUAUAUAUAGAGGACCAAAAAGUAUCACUCGCAUCCUGCAUGCCAAUGGUAGCCUAGCUAUAUACUUUACUUCCUAUCUAGUUUUAGCUUCAUUAUUGGCAAUUAAUAUGCAAUGUUCAAAAAUCAAGUUGGGCUGGGUGUGGUUAACCAUUCAUGGCUUUUGAGCGAUAUUGAGUCAAAGAUUCUUUCUUUUUAGGUUUUUAUGCAAUAUGUACUAAAAUAUUCUUUCUUUCGUGGCUCUUUAGGCUUUACAAUAUUGAGUAAAAAAAAAAAACAAUUCUUUCUUUGGUGGCUCUUUAGGUUUUCGCGGAGGCAGUGAAUAAUUUAUUAGUGGAGAAAGCUCCAAAGAGAAAAAUUAUUCGGAUAGACAUUAAUAAAAUGAACAAUUCGAGUUUGAUUGUUCAUUGAAAUAGCUAGUUAACAAUUGCGGUAGUAGCUUUCAAUGUUAUCUACCAAACAAUAAACAUACCACAAAUUUUUUUUUUUCAUUAAUUCUACUUUUGUUUUGUCGUUGCUCUCUGCAGUUUUUUCUCUAAGUUUUUUUUUUUUUAAAUUUUUUUAAUAGGAGAAGGGUUAGGUUUAAAAAGCGCGCGGCUAUGAUUUCGAUCAAUCUUAGCCAGUAAAUUGAGAUCUCUUUAACUAUUUUUUUUAAUGUAUAUAAACACUAAUUCGAGCUUUUUCUGUUAGUCAAUAAUUACAGGGUGGAUGAGGUCAUUGAAUUACGUAACGCUGAAUGACGUCUAAAUGGUAAUUUUCCGUGUUCUAGAGUUAACGGUAAAAGUUGCCAAAUAGAUUCAGCAUUGUAUCUGCAAUUCUUUUUUUGAAGCUUGUUGAGCAGGACGAAUCUAUAGAAGAAAUUACUACCGACAUCUUUAUUCCUUUAGCAUUAUCUUCAUCUUAAGUAAAUUUUCGGUGAUCUGAAUUUUGAGCUUCCUAUAUCUCCUAUCCAAGUCGACCGACCAAGUAAAAGAGUUGCUGGAAUUUCCACAUGCAGAUCCACCACCACCACCACCACCGAGUACGGAUGAGAUAAUGUUUGAUCACUGAUCGCCCAAGAAUUUAGAAGAUUCCUUAGUACUACGCUUAAGUUGUGUAGAUUCUACGUGUUGAGAGUCAUAGUCCAUUCUUCUGGGGUUUUUGGCAAUCAUAUGAAAUCACGUUGGUUUCAAUCUACAAGUGAUGACGCAAAAUACUAGCUAGAACUAGUUUGUCGACUCAGCAUCUGGUUCAAAACAUCUAGCAUCUAUAGCCCUUAAAUGAUCCAGCAUCGAAUUACAACAAGUUAAUGGAAUUUGAAAUAUUUCAACAACCCUUAAAGGAUCGUUCAAUUGUCAGUAAUAUAUAAUUUAUUGGCCUGGAUGAUUGGUAGAAGUACGUACGGCAAUGUUCGAUAACGAAGAAAAUCUAGCUUGUGGGAUAAAUUAAUGUGUGAAUUGGAGGAUAUGGAUUCAAUUUUUUGUGGGAUAAGUACUAAACUAAUGAUUUUUUCCGCUUCAUGAAAUCUGAGUCGACCAACCUUUUAGAUUAAUUAUUGCAAUUACAUAUCUAAAUAAAUUGUCACCCGCGCGAAUCAGAUUCUGGUGCCUUGCUUAUUGUGCGUACGAGGACGUCAAAAGUUUAUCAAAGAGGCAUCCAUUAACCAAGCCAGAAUAUAAAGUAUAGUAUUAUACUAAGCUUUAAGGUUCGCCAAUAAUGCAGUAAUUAAACAACAUGCACUAAUCAUUUGUUCUUAGACUAAAAUAUGGGAUUUUUCACACAACUUUUUCUUUUCUAGAUGCGAUUGCGGCUAAGAAAGUCAUUCUUAAUUGAUGGAUGAGAAGAUCGCACCGCAUGCCCCAAUAAUCUCGGAAGUAUAAAUUAUAUGCGUACUUGCUAUUUUCAGAUUAAAAUUAUCUGGGGGAAUGAUCUUGUGCAUAUGGAAGGCAAAUAAAUUACAGUGGCAUCAAGCCAUCAACUAACUCCAGAGCAUGUUUCAGUACUGGAAUCAGGGGCCAUUCCGAACGGAAACCAGAUUGGGUUUUUCUGGUUUAAUAACAGCGUGAAUUCACUCUGGUAAGGGUUAUAAUUGAAGGUCAAGAAGUGUAACUUUCAUGCACAAAGGGAAUAUCCAACGUCUUCAGCCGGAGAUGCCACCUUGUCGCAGGAAUUUAAGCUACGAGAUGCAAACUUAUCUGAUCGCCAUUCAUGAAGGCACCCAUGAUCAUGAAUCAUGAUCAGCUCAGCACUUCCGCGCACGUAAAAGAGUUUUCUCUUGGGACAAAUCUUCAAUUUAAUAUUGAGAAACAGAUUGAUGCGAAUCCAAGCCUUACCGUCCUGGCUAAGUAUGCAGAGAAAAUUACAAUCUGUUGAUUCAUCGACAUCCAAUGGUAUGUUUAGUAUGGUAUAUUCAAAGGGAAAAAAGCAAAGAGAUAAGAGAAUAAAAUGGAUUUGCUUUAUUCGUCGUCUUUGGAUUACCUUUGAACAAGAAAAUUGGGGAGAUCGAGACAACAGAAAAUUAAGGUGUAAUUUAAUUAACUGUCCAUAGCCUUAAAGCUUAGAUAAGUUUCAUGUCCAUCAUAUCAAAGUGGAAGAAAACGCAUUGGCUACAAAGGGCAUUUGAAUGAGAUUUAACGGGUGACUUUCCAAUGAAAAAGCUCAAGCUGAAUGAAAACUCGAUUUGUUGGAUAGCUAAUUUAACACCAAAAAAAACUAACCUAGCUCAACAUAUAUACUUGAUAACAGUUACUAUUUUUUAGACUUCUUAAAAACCAAUUCAAACUUAAAACAGCCUAAGUUGGACUAUUAUUAUUAGCUUGUCUACAAUCCAGAGGGAUGAGAGACUGCUUUCAUCCAUAAUUCAGCUCAGAUUUGUUCAAAGCUCGUAAAAAAUCUUAGAAGGGACAAACUACACAAUUUUAGGGUUUUAACAACCCAAAAAAAAAAAACAGACUGAAAAUUUUCUUUUCUUGGACAACAUUUCAGCAAGACCAAAAAUGUUCAGCAAGACAAAAAAUGUUUUGAUGCUAAUAAUGGGCAAAUAAGUCUUGAGCACGUACAGCUAAUUAAUCAUUUUUAACUCUAAUGGUGAUUAUCUGAAAAUAUACCAUUCAGUUUGAGUAUAGUACAAACAAUGUUGACCCAAAGCGCUUUUGCUCCCUCGCUCUCAUUCGGGAUCCAUAACACGUCUAAAUCACAUACCAAAGAAAUAGGAAUUUGUUGAACCACAUCCACGAAUUUGAUGACGCUAUUUAGCAGGAAGUUAUUGAGCCAAGCAAAAUUAAUUAAGCUCGCAUACGCAUGAAGUUGUCGAUAAAUGUGAAACUUAUCAUCAAACAUUCUGAAAAAAGAACGUGCUACCCAGCCAGGAUGAACUUACAAUGCGUCUAAAUCUAAUUUCCAUAAAUUAAGUAGAUGAAUAAAUAGAGUCGCAGUAUCUGAAUGUAAUCACGAAAUUUAUCCUCGUUGGACCUUUUUUUUCCCUUUUUGAGGUGGUCGGGCUGGGAAGGUGGCGGAAGGGAGGGAACGAAAGAGAUUCAAAAUUAUAUCAAUAGCCUGCAUAUAUUACAGAUGCAGUACUUGUUACAAGUAGUUUUUAGUACUAUGUAUGGGUUGUUAUACAUACACUUGCCCGAGUACCUUUAAUAUUACAUCUUGCAAGCCUGGCAUAUUAUCAAUAUUAACCAGGAGGUACAAAGUACUGCCUUAAAACGAGCACUUUUAACAUAAGUUCAUACAAGAAGUAGCAUACGAUCAAGAUUCAAGAGUGUCAUCCUUAGGAUAAGUGGAUAACAGAUUAAUUAUAACGCAUAUGAAAAGGUGGCCCCUGAUAAUCCAUCACCGGCAUGUAUUCGACAGACUUUGCAUAUGCCUCGUAUUGAUAGCCGCUCACAACAGUUGCUUCUGUUGCAAAGGUCUUGUUUACUCGCACAGUAUUGGAUUCCUGGAGCCGAUAAACAAGGUAUGAUUCUUGAGGUUGAGUCGCUUCUGCUGCAAAGGCCUUGUUUACUCGAACAGUAGUGGAUUCCUGGGGUUGAUGAACAAGGUAUGAUUCUUGAGGUUGGUAACGCUGGUAGCAAAUUUGAUGAGGAUGAUUUGCAUGGAAAGUGGUGGCUGCGUUGGCAGCUGCAGGAGCCCUUUGUGGUGGUGGAAGGACUUGACGACUCGGCCUGCGUCUCCGGCCGGAAUAUUCAUCAAUUAUAGCAAAGCCCUCUUCGCCAAUCUUAACAAGGUCUGGCUUGGAUGCCAUUGAAUCUCAAAGGCUACACUGAAGAGAAUAGUAUUACUUAGCAAAAAAUAGUUGUGUGUUUGGUUACUGAUGCAGAGGUAGAUAGGCAGAGGCCUUUAUAUAGAGGCUUUUUUUUUUUUUUUUUAAUAGAUAGCAAGGGUCCCAAAGUGGGGGAAAAAGUCGAACCAUAUGAACAUGGCUGCUUCAUGGAAACGAGACAACUUCCCGUGCUAAGUUACAAACAUUUUUAUCACUUCUAACGUUUAUGCCCCCACAUUUUUAUCACUUUUGCUGCAGUGUCUCUCGUUUUUUCAAAUUUUUAAAAUUGUUUCUACAUCCUUUUUUUUUUUUUUUUGCAUUAACUAACUAUGAUUAAUUAUGAUAACUAAUUAUAACGAGCUAUAUUGAAAAGACCACAGCUCGACAUAUAUAAAAUCCAUAAUCUUGCAUCUAAAAUAAAAUAAAUAAAACUAAAAUUUUUUGUCCCAAAAAACAACUUAGGCCCCGUUUGGAUUGCAUUUUCCAUCAUUUUUCAUGAAAAAAUUACUGUAACGAUUUGAUGUAUGUGAGGGAAAAAGAUAAUAGAAAAAUGUGUUUACGAAAAACGACGUAAUUUUUCGACGAAAAACAGUUGUUUGGAUAGGGUAUUAUUUGAAAUAUUAUUUGGAAUAAUUACUGUAGCACUUUUGUGAUGUGAUGUAUGUGAGAUAAAAAGGUGGUUGGGAAUAUAAAAAGGUAGGUUGGGAAAUGUGUUUGUGAUGCAAGCAAAAUAUUAUUUGAAAUAAUUGAGGUAUCCAAACACUAAUCCAAACAAGGCCUUAAUUUUCAUGAGUUACUUUCUACAAACAAAACUUUUAUCAUCAGUUUUACCAUUUUGUUACAUCACCCACACAUUGGGUAUCAUUAGCAACAUUUUCUAGCCAUCACCUUAGUUCGAUUUUGGCAGAUUUAAUGAAAUGGUGAUGUUUUAUCCUCCCCAAAAAAAAAAAAAAAAAAAAAAACCCAUCACCUUGUUUCGAUUUUGGCACCACAGCCUCAUAGUGAGUGGGAAGAAAAAUCUGAGAAAAUUCCAACUUCCCAAUAUGUGGCGAUUCCGGGAGACAAAGGCAUAAAGCUAAUGUGAAAGGGGGAGGCACCUGGUGAUUUAAUUCCGGAGGGUCAUAUUAUUCCGUUUGAUCGGCAAGGGAAAGUGAUUUUAUACGGUCGUGGUCUUGGCGGUGGACUUGGUGGUCUGAGUCUUCCCUCUUUCGGUGGAAUAGAACAUGACAAGUGUCUAAUGGAUUGGAUGCCUUGUGCUUCGGUUGAAGACUGGACGACUUCAAUUUUUAGUCCACUAUUUGUGUUAAUCUUUCAUCUAUGUGCAGAUUAUAAACUAAUUUUGAAAAAUGAUUAUAGACGAAACCAGAAUAAUUUGGAGCGACUCGUGAGUGUAUUCUAGAUUUUAACUUUUUAAUUAUUCAAAAUUAUUAAAAGAAAGAAAGGAAAAUAAAUAAUCAGAUGAAUAGAGCUCCUAGUUAAGCCUGGUUGUUUGCUUGACAGCCACAAUUACUAGCAAGCAGAAUUAUUCCUCUGACUGAAACAAACAUAACAACUGAUCUUUUAUUGAUAAAACGAAAAUUCGGUCAAGGAAGAGAUAAUUCCUUUUUGCUUUUCUUUGGUUCUUUUCAUCCGACUAGGAUAGACCAAUCCAAAGUUCAGUCAAUUAACCUAUUUAAUUAGAAGCAUAAACUUACUUACAGAAUCACAAAAGAAAAAAGAUUAAAAAAGGAAGAAAGUCUGCAAUUUGUUUCUGCUUUGUUAGGAUUGUGAUUUUUUGUAGAAAAAUAUUUACAUUUUCCAUGAACAUAUUUUUACCUCACUCACAAGCAUUAAAUCGCUACGAUAUAUAUUUCAAUCAAAUUAAACUCCUAAAAAUCACAACAGUACAUCAAAUUUUUAACUGGAAAAUGUAACCAUACUCAAAAGUUUACCAAGCUAGUGCUGUAUGCAACAAAAGUAUUACGGUGAGUCGUUUUGAUCAGAAGAAAGACACCAGAUCUCUCUGCUUCUAUGAGUUGUUUUGAUCAGUUAGGUUUUGAAUCUAUUCUUCUCCCAUGUUAUAUGAUUCUUUAUGUUUAAGCAUUUCGUUUUCAUUGGUUUGGAUAGACAAAAAUCUGAUCAAGUGGUGAAAUUAAAUCAAAUGACGAGGAAAGUGCAAGCUAAAUUACGAGAAUAGUGUAUACUCUUCACCACGUACCGUGCUAGAACCAGCUCGAGCCCGCUUGGCCUUUCUGUAAAACCACUUUCUACAAUCAAAAGGUUACAACUUCAUAUGAAUUGUGAUUGAUACAAUGGUAUUUAGUUUUAUGUUGUACUUCUUUUUUCAUAAAUUGUGUUUGCUAUAGAGGUUUUCACGCAUUUUGCUGCUUUUUUUUUUUUUUUUUUUUCUUGAUACGCAUGCAUUUAGUUAGAAGAAACCACUUCAAGUUUCGGCAUAAAUUGUAAUGUCUAGAAUGAAAAUGUAAUGCAUCACAGGUUGAAAUAUUCUGUCAUGCAGCAAAUACAAAAAAAAAAAAAAAAAAAAAACCCCUUCCUACGAUAAUGAAAAACACUUGCAAAUUUGUAGAAAACGAUCAUUGAUGACUGUUACGAUAACUAUUAGCAGAUUAAAUAAGCGAAUUCAUCAAUGCAAAAAAAAAAAAAAAGAGGAAAAGACAAUUUCUUUCAAGCACUGGUCUAUGUAUGUAUUACUUGCAACUUUCAGAGUUCCAGCUCGAGAAGUUCGGAAGCAUAAUAGACCGUUAAAAAGAAAAAGAAAAAAAAAAGAAAUCAGCGAUGAAGAUGCAAGUAUAUUAAAAAGAGCAUUCUAAUAUUGCUUCAAAGCUCGACUUCUACAUAUUUCUUCUGCAAGCCUGGAAACUAUAAAAGACUAGCAGCCAUACAAGCUGUAAUUAUGUGCUUGCUUGCUAGUUGUUAAUUGCUACUACUGCUACAACACAGGAGAAACUUUCUGCAGUACUCUGCACUCUGCAGUGAUGUAUCCACAUAUUACAUCUACAAUAGGCCUGCACACAUAAUGGAACUUAGUAAGCCAUAGCUUCUGAUUUCCUCUUGGAAUAAUCCAUAAUGAUCAUCAUCCCAUCAUGCAACUUCAUAGCACCAUAGCGGGUGACCUUCUCUUCACUAGAAACAGGUUUCAUCAUCUGAUAAGUUAGGGGUUUCUGAGGUUGAUAUGGGGGACAAUCUGAUAUAUAUGGACGAGCCGCGGCAGGCCCAGCAGGAGCCUUCUGCCUCGGUGCAGCAGCUGCCCUUUUUUUUCCUAAAUAUCCUUCCUCUUCCAGCACCUGAAAGCCUUCGUAGCCUAUCUUAAGAAGCUUUGAUGGGUUGUCCAUCUUGUUGUUACUGGCCAUUUCUAAGCAAGAAGUGAGGAAAAGUGGGGAGGCUAGCUUCUGAUGAAACUGGGUUUGAGGUCUUCUUUUGUUGUGUAUGGAAAGGUUAGUUUGAGUUGGUGGUUUGGUGUAAAAGGCUAUGAGCAAUGAGCCCUUUAUAUAGGGAGAGUUUUUACUAAGAUAUAGCUGAGAACGCGGGUUGUUGAUCUGCAAAUGCUCCUCCACUUUGGAUUGAUUUGUUCACUAAGCAUUUACUUUUCCAGGUUACACAUUUGACUGAAAAUUUUUUUUUGGUCAU